rnacentral:lncRNA from 1 species
GUGGAGGAUGUUACUAAGUGUAUCAAUUUCUUGCAACCGAAAGCUACAAGUUUUGUUAGGUUCCCAAAAGAUACCGAUGAUGAUGGCAAUAGAAUUAACAGACUUUGACAAUAAUAUACUCUUAGAAUUUCAAGAUACUGAAAAAUGGGGGCAAGUUUGGAGUCUUGUUUGCACAGCUGCCUCAGAUGAUAGUGCCGGUGCAGCUUUAAUUCUUUUAUCAUUGCCAACUUCCCCACAUGUUUCUCUCAGCAUCCUUCCUUCGAAAAUUCCUCUUCGUUGAAUGAAAAAUAAACCAGUGCGAGUAUUUCGAGAUUGUGAAAUCUCUCCAGUACGUUCCAGAUUGGAAAACAAGCUGAGUCAUCUCCGGCAAUCUCUAGUUGUUUAAGACUGCCAAAAAGGUGUUGUGGGAAAUCGGCCUGCAAAAUCAUCUUCACAUCUUUUCCACUUAGUGAUAGUUCCUUCAAGUUGGGUACGAUCUGAUCAUCAUCAAUCAUAAUAACUAAUGAGGUCAAUUGAUGUUCUUUCAAAUGAUUUUGAGUAAUCCAAUCACGCAGUGACUUUAUAGUAUUUAUUUUAUAUUAAUUUUACCCCUAAAAAAAUUGAAUUAGUGAUAAAAUUCAUUAUAUGAUUUUUUUAUAUGUUAGUUUUAGAGGUAAUAAAGAAAUUAGGGAAAAAAACGAAAUUAUUUUAUUGCACGAUAGUAGACUCUUGCUUCUCAGUGCCUUUGCCACUGUAGUCAAGGCAAUGGGCAAACCUCCACACAACCUGGCGACGUCUGUUGCUGUAGAUUCCAACUCACGAUUUUCAACAUCAUCACCGGCCAUCAUCUUAAACAAUCUCCAGGCUUCUUCUUCAUUUAAAUUGUUAAUCAAGAAGUUGUCUUUAGAUCCCAUUUUUAAGAGGACGCCACGAUCUCUUGCUGUCAGCAGUAGUUUGCAGCCUUUAUGAUCUUCUCCAAAAGGAAUUCCAACUGUCUCCAAGUCAAGGUGCUUCCAGAUGUUAUCUAAAACCACAAGGAUCUUCUUCUCAUUUCUCAAUCGCUCAAAUAGUUUACAUGCUCUUCUAGAUUCAACUUCCUCGUGCAACUCCAGGCCCAACUUCUCGGCAAUUUCCUGUUGAAUCCUUUUUAUGUCUGGAAUUUGGGAAACCUCUGAAAAGACCACCAUAUCAAAGAGCUCGUCUUCCAUAGCUUGCCUGGCGACCUUCUUCACCAGUGUCGUCUUUCCAAUGCCGCCCAUGCCGUACACCCCAAUGAUGCUGACACUAACAUCGAUCAAUGCGUUUUUUACAACUGACUUCAUCAACAAAGCUUUUGUGAAUAUGCGUUACAUUACAACUGCGAUAUCCUUUCACUGUAUAUUCAUACAGUGGCAGGCCAUGUGACGUUGUGACCCAUGUGCUAGCUUUCACUAUUCAUAUUAUUUUUUUACACGGUGUUUAACAAAAUCUUCACGUAAAGAUUUCAGACGCGUGAUCCUAAUUCAGUAUGCAUUAUUUAUUUAUAAAAUGAAAAUAAAAAGAUAAAAGGAUGUGACUUAACUUGCUAUCAGUGCGGAUCCAGGACUUAAUAUUAUUUCGGGUUAAAUUUUAUAUUUUAAAAUUUAUAUUUUGAAGUGAACAUAAAAAUUUAUAAGUAGAAAGAAGUAUAUUAAAUGAGGGGAGAUAUGGAGAGCUUUAUCCCUAUGAAUAUGUAUUAUAAACGAAAAUAAUUGUAAGAAAAGAGUAGAAACCAAAAGGCAAUUCAAAUAUCAAAACAUUAUUUUUCAAUUAUGGAAUCCGAUAUUGCAACCUAUAAUAACAUGUAAUUAUAUAAGGAUUAAUAAAUCAAUUAAGAAUUUCAAACUAAAUUAGAUCAGUACAUGUGAUUAAAAUUAAUUAAAGAUUACAAGUAAAACUUUUUUGUUUGAAGUCAAGUACUAAAUUACCAAGCUUAAAUAAAUUUAAAAAAUUAAAAUUCAUUCAUUCUUUCGAAUUAUAAAAGUAUUAUUAAUAAAAAAUUUAGUAAUAAACUAAAUUCAAUUCAACAAAAAGUUAUUUGGAUAUCGUUGUUUCAUUGCCAGUGCACUAACUUUCUUUAUAGAAGUAGAUGUUGAUGAUUCUUCUAUUAAAGUUCCUCAAAAUACCUAAAUUUUAUUUUCUAACUUCUUCUCGUAGUUAAUGUAACUAAUAAAUAGAAUCUAAAAAAUCACAUAAAAUGUUUAUGAAAAUGUUGAUAAUUGUUACUAUUUAUUGUUUUCGUAAGUACUUUUAAUGCUAGUGACGAUGUUAUAUUACAUUGAUUUAUAUUUUUUUUCAAUUAGAAGUUUUUUAAAAUAAAUUAAAGCGAUAAUAAUACUUUAGCUCCUAAUGUUUUCAAUCUAUCCACUAAGUAUAUAAUUUAAUCAUUUUAUAAAAUAAGUCACUAAUUUCAAUUGGAAAUAAUACAAUUUAAUUAGGGAUAUAUUUGAAUAUAAAAUAAUAGCCCAAUUGUUAUACUAAAUUGAUGAAAAUAUAAGGGUAAUUGAGUUAGGGAAAUAUUUGAAUAUAAAGUAAAAACUCUAUUGUUAAACUAAAUUGAUGAAAACAUAAGGAUACUUGAGUUAGGGACAUAUAUGAAAACAAAAUAAAAACUCUAUUUUUAUAAAAAAAUUAUAAGAAAACAAGGUGUAUAAAUGAUUUUUUCUGUGCUAGACCAAGCUACAACCCAGUCUAGCCCAACUGUAGGUCCGCCACUACUUGCUAUUUACAUACAGACAUGUAGCCCUUAUUCUAAUAUCUAUAGGAAAAGACACUUAUACUCCAAGAUUUGAAGAAAUGGUCACGUAGAUCUCUAAGUUUUCAGUAACCAAAAUUUCUUUUUGACUAUAAUACUUUUUGUACAUAGUAAAUAAAAAAUGACUUUAAGAUUUUUUUUAAUAAAUAUAAAUAUAACUUAAAUAGUUUAAUCUGUCUAAUAGACUAAUAAUAUUAGAAUAUUUUUAAUAUAUAAAAUAUUUUUUAAAUAAAAACAUUAUAUUUAUUUUAAUAAUAUAUUUUUAUUUAUCAUAAAAAUAUCAAAUAAAUCAUUGGGGUUAAAUAGAAUUUAAAAUUAAUAAAACACAUCUCAUUAAUAAAAUAUAUCUCAUGUAGUAAUAAUAUUGAAAUUAUUUUAUAUAAUAUUUAAAAAAUUUAUAAAAUUUAUAAAAUUUAUAAAAUUUAUUUUAAUAUUAUGUUCUUAUUUAUUAUAAAAUUUAGUCUAAUAUAAUAUAAGAUUGUUAAGUAUAUAAAUAUUUUCCUAAAUUGAAGUUGUUUUAAAAUGUUAAUAUUUUAUGUUUAUUUCAAUAUUAUAUUUCUAUUUAUUAUAAAACAUAGGAGUCAAUUUUUUUGAGUUAAUAGAGUCAAAUGUAUUAUAGUCGAAAGAGGUAUUGGUAUUCCUUAUUAAAAAUUUAGGGGUCUACAUGACUAUUUGCCAAACCUUAGGUGUAACGUCCUUUUCUCCAAAAUUGAUUCUCUAUAGGUAUUUCAUGAAGGAAAAUGAUAUUUACAAUGAAUCAAACCCCGGACUAGUUAAAAUGCAUUAUUUCAGCUUAAAUAAUGGUAAAUAUUUGUUCAGUCUCUAUAUUUUGAAUUAAGUACCGUUUAGUCCCUCAAGACACCUUUGUCAGUAAGCACAAUAUAAUCCUACCCUUACUUUUUCUUUGAUUUUAUAAUAACAUGCUUGCAACAAUAUUCUUAGAUAUGUUAAUGUAAAGAAAAAUUUAAAUUUAUCAAAUCAGCCUUAAAAGUAAAAUACAAAUUAGUUGUUAUUAUUAUUAAUAAAAUAAUAAAAUAAUAAAAUAAUAAAAUAAUAAUAACAAUAAUUAACAUUAAUUAAAAUAAUAAAGUUAAUAUAUUAUAUAACAAAAAAAACAAUAUUUACAUUUAUCAAAUUUUCAUGUGUUUAAAAAAAAUUAUGUGAUAUUACAUUAUUAUCUUUACACAAUCAAUCAUUUUUAUGAUCAAGUUAGGCUAAUGGAUCAAGCUUUAAAAAAUUUAAAACAAUAGGAGUUAUAUAAAUAAAUAUUUAAAAAAUUUUGUUUUAUGAUAUUAUAAUAAACAGUAAAGAUUUAAGUCUUAAUAACCAAUUGAACACAUCUCAACCGUUGACAGUAGCGGCUCGACCUCUAGGCAACUUAAGCGGUUGUCUAGAGCCCCGCUUUACAUUAAGGUCCUAUGAAAUGAUUAUUUUGUAUAUAAAAGGGAAAAGUGAAUUUAAAAGUCAUUACUAUGCAUUUAAUUUGUUAUUAUUUUGUAAUUAUCUUUUUCUAAAUAAACUAUCAAAUUCCUAUAAAGUUUAUUUAAUGUAGUACUUAGUAGUUUUAAUUCCUACAAAACCGAUAAAUUAAUAGUUUCAAUCCUACAAAUUCUCUAUUUAAUUGUUAGAAUUAAUAUGUUAUAAUUAAAAAGUUUUAUAUUCAUUUUAAACCUCUAUAAAAGCCCCACAUUUUAUUACUUAUCUAUUAAAUUUUUCCUCUAAUAAUCAAGACACGAUAUGUUGUUAGUGUUUGAGAGAAAGAAAGACAGAGAUGGAAAAAAUCAUGCUUCCUCUACUUUCCACUCAAGAAGAAAAAAAAAAAUCUAAUAAUUUUCUCUAUACUCUAUGGCUAUUGGUCAUUACUUAAAUCCUCAAAUAAUUAAUAUAAAUAUAAAGUUAAUUCAUGAUUUCAUCUCAAAUUCCAGAUUUUAUCUUUUUAUUAUUCUCUUAAUUAGUUGUGUUAUUUACUUGUUCUUAUUUUUUUUCAAUAUAUUCUUUUAUUCAUCUACUUUUUUUUGUAUGCUUGUUUUAUCUAUUUUGAAAUAAAAUUAUAUCGAAAAACUUUAGAAAAUAGAAAAAUUAGUUUAAUCUAGAAAAGGAGUAGUAAAAAAGAUGUAAUUUGAGUUGAAGAACAAUAAGUGAAAAUAUUAUAAUUGAAUUAAAAUUUAAUAGAUAACCCUAAUUUUUUUAUAAGAACUAAUUAAAAUCAUUUGCCUAGGGCCCCAAAUAUGGUUGAGUCGGCCCUGACCGUUGAACACUUUAGCUAUUAGAUUCAUCAGUUGAAUUAGAAAAAUAUAAAAUUUGGGGUACCGUGCAACUGUUGCAAGGUAGGCGGACACGUUAUAUUUAAUAUAGAAUAAAUAAACUAAAUAUGUGUAAAGAAUAUAGGUUAUUAACCUUGCAAUACUUCAAAAAAUUAUAAAAUAAAAAAGGUGAAAUUUCAAAAUAAGGAACUGUAAAAAGUAUUAGGUUCUAAAAUUUUAUUAUUUUAAUAUUACAAAACUUUACUUUUUUAUAACAUUUUUGUUUUUAAUAUUAGUUGACAUGUUAGUUUAUUUGUAUAUAAAAUAUGUUAAUUUACCUAUAAAAUACUAAUAUUACUCUUGAAAUUUAAGGAAGCCAUUUUAAUUUUUUAAAAUUUUAAAUGUAGCCCAACAAAGUCAUAGAAAUAUAAAUAAAGAAUAGCAUAAAAGGAAGUUAGUUUAAUUUUUUGAAGAAUACUUCAAAAGCAUUUGAGUUUUAUGUUUCUUGAGAAUUAUACCUUUUUGUUUUUUAGAUAUUUGAGCUUGUGAAUCUUGUUGUAAUGAUAAUUUAUUAUUUAUUCUUGAUUAAAAAUAAUUGAAUAGUAAAUUUAUUGGUUUCUAAUUACUCUUUUAAAUGUAGGGCGAUUGCUUAAUUUUUAUUAUGUUACCCUAAAUUUUUUGAUGAUGGCUAAUCAACCACUGCAAAAGACUCUACCAUGAUUAUUUUUACUUUCUCUACAUCCCUCUAGACCAUCAUCACUCAAAGAAUUAAGAGUCCAUUUGGCAUACUGUAUUAUAUUAUACUGUAUUGCAUUAUUUAAUAUAGGUAUAUUGUAUUAUGUUAUAUUACAUUAGUACUAAAUUAUAAUAAUAUUUGUACAACAUUUGGUAAUUGGUAUUACAUUGUACUGCAUUAAUUUUAUAUUAAUAUUAUACUAACAUUAUUUAAAUUUAUUAUUAAUUAUAUUAAAUUAUUAUUUUUAUAUAAAUAUAAUAUGAUAUAAUAAAAUAAUAUGAUAGUAUAAUUUAAUUUUAUAUUUUUAUUUAUUAUUAUAAUAAAUAAAAAUAUAAUAAAAAUAUAUUUAAUGCUUAAUUAAGGUAAAAUAAUAAUAAUAACAAUAGUAUUACUUUAAACAAAAAAAUCUAUAAAGUUUAAAGAUGAUGAUGAUGAUGUUGACGACAUUAAUAAUAACAUAACAAUUAAAAUAAUAAAACAAAUAAAUUUUAAUGAUAUUAAUAUUAAUAAAAUAAUAAUAACAAUAAUUAAAAUAAUAAAAUUAAUAUAUUUUAAUAAUAGUAAUAAAAAUAAUAUUAAUGACAGUAAUAAAAUUAAUAAAUAAUAAUAAUGACUUAAUUAAAAAUAAUCAUAAUAAUUAAAAUAAUAAAUUUUGAUGAUAAUAAUAAUAAUAUUAUUAUUAUUCUUAUUAAUAUAAUAAUAAUGACAUUAAUAAAUAAUACUAAUAAUAACAGUCAAAUGUUUUUGAAAAACCAUUUUAUCCCAAAAAAAGGGACUUAUAUAUAAAAUUUUGUAACUUCUAAUGUCUAUUCAAUUUUUUCAUAAAAUAUAAGGUAGUGCAGUGUAAUUAAUAAAAAAGACAAAAUUCGGUGGUAUGCUGCAAUUGUUGCAACAUAGUUUCAUCUUUAUUUGUGAUCCUAAAGUUUGAGAUAUGUGAUCCUUAUUCUAUUGUGUCAAUUAUAGUCCAGUCCAAUGCCGCCAUCAUUAUCGAACAGUCGAUAUCCAACACUUGCACGAAGAUUCCAAGAAGUUGUGUGGCUGCCGACUUUUAAAUGCUAAGCCUUAUUGUGUCGAAGAUACACAAAACAGAGCAGUCCAGGUAAUUGCCAAAACUUAGAACUAAACAGUAGCUUAGUCAGAAAAUCAAACAAGUACCAAUAAAAUGACUGAUAAAAAUAUAAAGAAAUCAGUCAAAUCACGAAGAUUGAAGAGUAAAUCAAUGGUUUUAGAUUUUUAUUUUUUUUUUUAGAUAAUAGAUAUUAUUUUGAUGAAUUUUUUAAUAUUAGAAUAAUGUUAGGAAUUCCAAUAGUAGAAUUCUAGCUUAAGACCCAAUUAUUAUGUGUCAUUUUUUUAUUGGAUAAUGAAUUUCAUAACUAAUAAAAUUAAUAUUUCGAUCAUUUAAUAAAUGACUACCAUAUUAGUUGAGACUCAAUUAUUAGGAUCAUUAACAUUGCUCUUAGUAUUAAAUUGGACAUCUUAUCCAAAUCAGAUUAAAAAUCAAAUUAGAUUUUAAGCUUUUAUUCAACAUCUCCUUUUUUUUUUUUUUUUUUGGUCUAUUUGAAGUGAACAAAAUAAAAAUACAUUAGGGUCAACGACUGGGCAAUUGAUAGUCAAGUAUUUUGUUGUUUUUGCUACCUUGAAUUAAAUUUUCUCAAUUAGAUCAACAAGCAUUAAGCUUGAAUUAAAUUAUGCAAGGUUCAUUUCUUUUGUUUGAUGCAAAAAAAGAAAAAAAAGAAAAAAAAAUGUUUACAUUCUUGGCGACUUGAGUAGAAAUAAGCGUUUUGAUAUCAUAAGGUUCAUUCAAUGAGUUCAUUCUUCCCAUUUUGAUCUCUUUUUCUUUCAUAGACAUUUCUUUUUCAUUUAACCCCAUUACAACAUUUCUAAGACCCUUAGAUUUUUGCAUUUAAUUCAUGUUUUAUGGAUUGAGAUGUGAUAUAUGAGCAAGCUCAUGAUAAUAGCAUUCUUUGAUUUGAUUUGAGUGCAUAAAUGAUACCUUAAACACUUUGAGUACAUGGAGUGAAGUUAAUGAGAGGGCUAUUAAAUCUUGUUGCACUUGAAUUUUGAAUGGAUAUUUGAUAACUCUAGGAAAUGAGAGUUAUUACAUCAAUUCUAGACUUGAAUCAAGGUCACUUAGAGAACAAAUAAAGUGUUUUUAUUACAUUUUGGGUACCUUUUUGCAUAAACAUUCAUUUUAGUUGAGUCUAAUAAAUUUUGCUUGAAUCAUAGUAAUUUGUGCUAAAAACAGGUUUUAAAUUGUAGGUUUUAAAUUCGUGAGAGGAUGUUGAGGCAUUAGAAGAGCAAGAGGAGGAAGGAAGUUGGCCACAAAAGAAGUAAAGCACAAUCGGGAAUAAAACAGUAUUGUAGCAGCUGUUAGAGCAACCAGUGCUAUAACAAUCUUGGAGCAAUGCGGGAGAAAACUUAGGCGCGAGUCAGCCACAAAAUCGUGAUCUGCAUGUUUCCUAAUUCAAGCAUAUGCACGCUCAUAGGCUUUGGUUUAACCUAAUUUGCAAUAUAAAAAAGAGGCGUGCAGCACAUAGAAAGGCGGCAAGGAAUUAUCAUAAAAAAUAAUUACAAAGGCAAGAAGAAGGAGAUCAAGAUUAAAGAGUGCUAUUCGGAAACAAAAGGAGAGAGCCGUGCAGAAUUAUUUGCCUUUCAUCGUGCUCAACUUAUAUUUUCUCUUUUUCCUUGAAUUGUUGGGAUGUAUUCCGAGUUCAACAUAUUUGUGUUUAUUUUUCUCAUCCAGAUUAUGAACUAAAUUUACUUGUGGUUGAGUGAAAAAUAAUCCAAUGGGUUCUUGACUAUUCUUUUAUGUUGUUAUGGUAAUGUUGUAGCAUUAUACUCUAGUAGUUUUUAUGAAUACAACUGUUGUUUCGGUUCACCACCCAUUUAAUAGUUUCAGUUAAGAUAGAGCAGCAAAAGGGCAUGUCUUAGCGGACAUUAUUAGAGUAUUACUUGUUCUUAAGUCGAGUUUCCUGGAAUAUGUUAUCUUGAAUCCCAUAAGGGCAAUACUUGAAGUUAAGAUUUGUGACACUCUAGACAUAGGUGUUCACCUUGUAGGGUAGAGAGAUUAAAGGUUAUAAUGCCAUACCAUAAAUAUAUGAGCAACUGGUCAUUGUUAGUAGAUUUAAAAGUAUGAAAUUUCCAACAUGCGAUAGCUGCGGAUGCAGAUUUAUUCUACCCAUUGCUGCAGCACUUAUUGAAACAAUUGGUGCUAAUUUGGUAAACAACAGUCACCCCAUUAGGAGAGUUUGAUCAUUCAACUACUAUAUUUUCAAUUGAAUCUUAGACACAUUUAACUUAGUUUACUUCAUUACAGUAUUGUUUUAUUUUCAUCUCUCAUAAUUAUUAGUUACAGCAGAAUUAUUUGACAAUUGUUUGUUUCGAUCUUUAAUUGAUUUGCACUAUUGUGAUUGUUUUAGCAUUUUGAGUAACAGCAAUCCCUGUGGAGACGAUCUUGAAUACUCAUCACUUUAUUACUUGUUGUGUAUACUUGCACAUUGGCAUUGAUAAUAAUUGCUUAUAGAAAUUAACCAACAAGUUUUUGGCGCCGUUGCUGGGGAUUGAUUGUUUAUUUUUGAAGUGUGAAGUAAAUCUUGAUAGCGCCAAAUCUGAUUUGAUUUAUUCUAUUUAUUGGCAGAUCGGUACAUGCAUGUGUAAAGACAAAUCUGUGGUAUUCUAAUUCGAUCCUGAGAUUGAAAGGACUGUCAGGAGAUUACGAAGAGAACAAAGGAAUUCAGAAAUUGCUUCAAGCAUGAAUAAUUUACAAGAUGCAGGAAAUUUGAAUCCUCACGGGCCCUUACAACCAGUGAACAUUCAAGAAGAGCAGAAUGACCAUGCUAACGGGAGACAGCCAGGCAAUAACAAUAUUAUUUACAUGGCUGAUGACAGAGACAGAGCUAUAAGAGACUAUGUUGUGCUAACUCCUCAAGUUAUAUAUCCUGGCAUCAUCAGACCUGAAGUAGACGCUGCCAAUUUUGAGUUGAAGCCAGUGAUGUUUCAAAUGUUGCAAACUGUUGGGCAUUUUAUUGGAUUACCAAAUGAAGAUCCUCAUCUCCAUCUUAAAUUGUUCUUGGAAGUAAGUGAUGCUUUCAAGAUUGCUGAAGCAACACAAGAUGCCUUAAGGCUGCGGCUUUUCCCUUAUUCCUUAAGAGAUCGAGCAAGAGUAUGGUUAAAUUCGUUACCAUCUGAUUCCAUCACUACAUGGAAUGAAUUGGCUGAUAAAUUCUUAAUGAAAUAUUUCCCACCGACAAAAAAAUGCGAAGUUGAGGAAUGAGAUUACUUCCUUCCAUCAACUUGAAGAUGAAAGUUUGUACGAGGCUUGGGAAAGAUUCAAGGAAUUGCUCAGAAGGUGUCCUCAUCAUGGUAUCCCUUGUUGCAUUCAAUUGGAAACUUUUUACAAUGGGUUGAAUCCAAGUACAAGGUUAAUGGUGGAUGCUUCAGCAAAUGGAGCUCUGUUAUCCAAAUCUUACACUGAAGCCUAUGAAAUUCUGGAAAGAAUUGCCAACAAUAAUUACCAGUGGCCUUCAGCCAGGCAACCAGCAGCAAGAGGAUCAGCAGGGGUACAUAACAUUGAAACAAUUACAGCUUUAUCAGCUCAAGUAACCUCAUUGACUAACAUGGUAAAAGCCAUGACAGCUGCUCCAGCAACAGUAAAGCAAGUUACUGAACUUUCUUGUGUCUACUGUGGUGAAGAACAUGAUUUUGAUAAUUGUCUUGGAAAUCCAGCCUCAGUAAACUAUGUGGGUAACUUCAAUCGACAACCUCAGAACAACCCAUAUUCAAAUACUUACAACCCAAGCUGGAAACAACACCCAAAUUUCUCAUGGAGCAGUCAAAAUCGAAAUGCUCCAGCAUUGAAUGGACUAAGUACAAACACACAACCACUUAGUUUUCAUUAGCAAAGUCAAGGGCAAAAGCAUAUUAGUCAGGAUCCAAUCACUUCACUAGAAACACUGAUUAAGGAGUAUAUUGCAAAGAAUGAAGCAAUUGUGCAAAGUCAAGCUGUAUCUUUAAGAAACCUUGAGAACCAAAUGGGACAACUAGCUACAGCAAUGAGCAGCAGAACUCAAGGAAGCCAACCUAGCAACACAGAAGACCCUAGGAGAGAGGGCAAAAAAGAAGUUACAACACCAGUAGUUACAACUUGCACAAAAUCAAACAAACAAAGUUUAAUAUCCCCUGAAGUUACCCAGCAGUUUAGACAUCCACCACCUUUCCUACAAAGGUUCCAGAAGCAAAAAUAAGACAAGCAGUUCAGCAAAUUCCUGGAAGUGCUGAAAUAAUUGCACAUAAACAUACAUUUUGUGGAAGAUUUGGAGCAAACGCCAAAUUAUGUUAAAUUUCUAAAAGAUAUCUUGGCACGAAAAAGAAGGCUGGGAGAGUUUGAAACUGUUGCUUUAACACAAGAAAGCAGUCAUAUGCUCCAGAGCAAAAUUCCCACAAAAUUGAAAGAUCCAGGGAGUUUUACAAUACCUUGUUCUAUAGGAACUAGAUAUGCUGGCAGAGCACUUUGUGACUUGGGAGCUAGUAUUAAUCUGAUGCCAUUAUCUGUAUUUAAGCAACUGGGAGUAAGGGAGUGCAGACCAACAACAGUCACUCUGCAAUUAGCUGACAGAUCUCAUGCAUACCCUGAAGGAAAGAUAGAGGAUGUAUUGGUGAAGGUUGACAAAUUCAUCUUUCCAGUGGAUUUCAUUGUGUUGGACUUUGAAGCCGACAAAGAGGUACCCAUUAUACUUGGAAGACCUUUUCUAGCAACUGGAAAAACUCUGAUAGAUGUGCAGAAAGGAGAGCUCACCAUGAGAGUGAAUGAUCAGCAAGUCACAUUUAAUGUGCUAGAGGCAAUGAGAAACCCUAGAAGAUUGUAAUUUCCUAAGUGUAGUGGAUCUUGUUGUAGCAGACAGAAUGGACAGAUGCUGCAGUAAUAUACUUGACAAAGUCACCACCUUUGAGGAUGUUGAAGAGGAAGAUGUUGCAGCAAUCCAAACAGAUUGGAUGGACAAACAACAAUCUGAUAGGUACAACAGGUUUAUUGAACACCUGAAUCUUUUAGACAUGGAAGUAAAAACAACUUUACCAUCUAUUGAAUCACCUCAUAAUUUUGAGUUAAAAUUGUUACCUUCACAUUUAAAGUAUGCUUAUCUUGGUCAAAACAACACACUCCCUGUAAUCAUUUCUUCUACUUUGGAUGCAGGUCAAGAACAUAGUUUAGUAGAUUUGCUGGGAAAAUACAGAAGAGCAAUUGGAUGGACCAUGGCAGAUAUAAGGGGGAUAAGCCCAUCCAUCUGUAUGCAUAAAAUCCUAUUAGAGGAUUGUUCCAGCAAUUCGGUGGAACACCAGAGAAGGCUGAAUCCUAUUAUGAAAGAAGUGGUGAAGAAGGAAAUCAUCAAAUGGCUAGAUGCUGGAAUCAUAUACCCAAUAUCAGACAGUUCAUGGGUAAGCCCAGUUCAGUGUGUUCCAAAGAAAAGAGGGAUAAUAGUAAUGGCUAAUGAGAAUAAUGAACUUAUUCCUACAAGGACAGUGACUGGAUGAAGAGUGUGUAUGGAUUACAAGAAGCUUAACAAAGCCACAAGGAAAGACCAUUUCCCACUUCCAUUCAUAGAUCAGAUGUUGGACAGACUUACUGGAAAACAGUACUACUGUUUCUUAGAUGGGUAUUCAGGCUACAACCAGAUUGCUAUAGUUCCAGAGGAUCAAGAGAAGACUACAUUUACUUGUCCUUAUGGAACAUUUGCCUUCAGAAGAAUGCCAUUUGGGCUAUGCAAUGCUCCAGCAACUUUUCAGAUAUGCAUGAUGUCUAUAUUUUCUAAUAUGGUAGAGCAAACUUUGGAAGUUUUCAUGGAUGACUUCUCAGUUUUUGGAGAAACAUACAAUGAUUGUUUACACAACUUGGAAGAAGUUCUUAAAAGAUGUGAGAUGACCAACUUAGUACUCAAUUGGGAAAAGUGCCAUUUCAUGGUGCAAGAAGGAAUAGUGCUGGGUCACAAGAUAUCCAAGGAUGGUAUUGAGGUAAACAAAGCCAAGUUAGAGGUAAUAGAUAAACUGCCACCUCCAACUUCAGCAAAGGGUGUUAGGAGUUUUUUGGGUCAUGCUGGAUUCUACAGAAGAUUCAUUAAGAAUUUCUCCAAUGUAGCUAAACCUCUGUGUUCAUUGCUGGAGCAUAACAAACCAUUUCACUUUGAUACAGAGUGCCUUAAGGCAUUUGGAGAAUUAAAGAAAGCUCUUAUCAUUGCUCCAGUAGUUAUAUCUCCAUAGUGGACUUUACCAUUUGAAUUGAUGUGUGAUGCUAGUGAUCAUUCUGUGGGGGCAGUAUUAGGGCAAAGAAAGGAUAAGGUUUUUCAUUCCAUAUACUAUGCAAGCAAAACGUUCACUCCAACUCAGAUCAAUUACACAACUACAGAGAAAGAGUUGCUAGUAGUAGUUUUACUUUUGACAAAUUCAGAGCUUACCUGGUGGGUACCAAAGUAACUGUUUACACAAACCAUGCAGCCAUCAAAUAUUUAAUUUCAAAGAAGGAUGCCAAACCAAGAUUAAUCAGAUGGAUCUUAUUGCUUCAAGAAUUUGAUCUGGAAAUUAAAGAUAGAAAGGGGACUAAGAAUCAAGUGGCAGACCACUUGUCACGGUUGGAAUCAGACACUAGUACAUUGACAAGGAAGGACAUCACCGAAACUUUUUCUGAUGAACAGUUGUUGGUAAUACAGCAAGCACAGAUGCUGCAGCAGUCAGAAUCUCCAUGGUAUGCAGACUUUGCUAACUACUUAGUAAGUGGGUUGCUACCACCUGAGCUGAAGUUUUAAGAGAAAAAUAAAUUUCUUCAUGAUGUUAGAAGUUAUCAGUGGGAUGACUCACAUUUAUAUAAGCUAUGCUCAGAUCAAGUAAUAAGAAGAUGUGUUGCAGCAGAAGAAAUACCUCAUAUACUGGAGUCAUGUCAUGCUGCAGCAUAUGGAGGAUAUUUUGGUGGUCACAGAGCAACUGCCAAAGUUAUGCAAUCAGGUUAUUAUUGGCCCACUAUCUUUAAAGAUGCUUAUGAAUUUGUUAAAUGUUGUGAUAUGUGUCAAAGGACAGGGAACAUAACUAGCAGACAUGAGAUGCCUUUGACUAACAUAUUGGAAGUGGAAGUUUUUUAUGUUUGGGAAAUAGAUUUCAUGGGACCUUUUCCCCCAUCCUUUGGGAACUUAUAUAUCAUUGUUGCUGUAGAUUAUGUCUCCAAGUGGGUAGAAGCUGCAGCAUUACCUACCAAUGAUGCUAAAACAGUGGUGACUUUUCUUCAAAAAAAUGUUUUCUCUAGGUUUGGCACUCCUAGAGCAAUUAUUAGUGAUGAAGGCACACAUUUUUGCAACAAAAUCUUUGCUGCAGCAAUGAUGAAAUAUGGAGUCAGACACAAGAUAGCAACAGCAUAUCACCCACAAUCCAAUGGUCAGGCUGAAGUGUCCAACAGAGAAAUUAAAAAGAUCUUAGAAAAAGUGGUGAACCCAAAAAGGAAGGAUUGGUCUUUACAUUUGCAUGACUCUCUAUGGGCCUACAGAACAACAUACAAAACUCCACUCGACAUGUCUCCUUACCGAAUUGUUUAUGGCAAAGCAUGUCAUUUGCCACUAGAGCUAGAGUACAAAGCCCAUUGGGCAUUAAAGAAAUUAAAUUAGGAUAUGCAUGCUGCAGCAGGGCAAAGGAAACUUCAACUUUGUGAGCUUGAUGAAUUACGGCUGUUUUCAUAUGACAAUGCAAGAAUCUAUAAAGAGAGAACAAAACACUGGCACGACAAGCAUAUUCAACACAGGAAAUUCACCCCUGGUCAAUUAGUGUUACUCCACAAUACAAGACUAAGAUUAUUUCCAGGAAAGCUCAAGUCAAGAUGGUCUGGCCCGUUUAAGUUGUUAAAAUCUUACCUUCAUGGAGCUGUUGAUCUUCUAGAUGAACAAACAGGCCACGAGUUCAAGGUUAAUGGACACAGGGUUAAGCAUUACAUACAUCCAGCAGCAGAAUGUUCAAAGGAGGUGUUACUCCUUAAAGAACCUAGCUAUUGAACAAAGAAGGAAGGUCAUGCUGAAGGACCUUAAAUCAAGCGCUUCAUGGGAGGCAGCCCAUUGAGGAGAUAGCCACUUCAAACCAAGUUUGAUAGCCUUUGGUUUUGUAGACAGCUUUCUCUCUUUGCCAUCUUAUUUAAUUUCUGUUUUUCUAUGAUUAGCCCUUAUUUUCAUCCAUUUACAUUAUUGCAUUCUUUACUUUCACUUUAAUUUGCUAUAUCUAUUUCUUUUAAUAAAUUUUAGACUUAAUGUUAGUAAGUGUGAUAAUUGAAUUUCAUAUUGACAAGUGAGAGUGAAUGGUGGCAGAAUUCAGAGGUGAAUCACGUGUUAGAAGCUUUUAGUGGGGAGUCUGUAUCCGUUGUUAGAAUAAGCGAAUGGGUGCUGCAGCAGCUAAUUUUACCGUUACAGUAAAUUAAAAGCUGGAGCCUUUCACUUACCGUUGGAGAUAAAAUCGUGACAGAUGGAUGCAUGGACAUGGAUAGAAAAUUGAGGAAACCAAUCUAUGAAAUUAAAGCUUUAAUUUCAUUGGCCGAUAAUUUUGGGGAUAUGGACAUUUAAUUCAAAUAUUUUAUUCCCUCAAUUAUCUCUCGUUACCGUAUUUAUCUUCAAAUUAAAGUCCAUUAUAAAAAAGAAUCACUGUGCUUAGUGCUCUACGCCACUAUUCCCCAUCUCCUUCGCAAAGACAACUCUAAAAACUCUUAAACUCUUUUUCUCUUUUUAUUCUCAGGAACAGUAGCUUCAAUUUGUUAUUGCUACAGCAAUGCCGAGAUACAAGAAAAUAGUCAGUCGCCUCAAAGAUCUAUCACGAUUCCAGAGUUACCACGCUGAAGAAAAAUAUGAAGAAUUCAUAGAGCCACGUCGGAUUCUGGAAGAAAAAAGGGUUUCAAUUCCCAGACCAACUCACGGGAAUUGUGCAAACCAUUCAUAAUGCUAUAGCAAAGCGAGGAUGGUUAGAGUUUUGCAACCACCCUCGCGAUCCUGUGUUGCCUGUAGUCAAAGAAUUUUACGCCAAUUUGGUGUUCGUCUUGACGCUAGAGAUGAACAUGUAAAAAAUGAUGGUGCCUGUACGGCACGUACCAUUGAGAGAGUUGCUGGUGAGAGUGCUGGAACAACCACUGAACCAGCUGCUAUCACUGGAGCAAGACGAGCCAUUGGUUUAGAACAGACUAUCCAGGUACUCAGCAAUAGUAUAACUCAAUGUGUGGAAGCUCAACAGAGGGAAAAUGGUCGAUUUUGGAGCUAUCUACAGCACUUGGAUAACCAACUACACCAAUUUGAUCUGUACAUGAAACGCACUCACUGGAACUUCCCUGAUGCACUGCUCCAGCAGUUCCAUUUUGCCAUAAACACCACAGGUGCUCCAGCAGCAGCCAGUGAAGAAGCCACUCCUUCAGAUGAACCAGCAGAGGACGCUGCCACUGAGCUACAAGCAGCAGUCGACUCAGAAGAGGCUGAACCGUCUGAUCCACCUGAGGACGAAGGUGACAAGUCUGAGACUGAUAGCUCACCCUCAGAGGCAGAGGAUAACUCAGAGAAAGAAAGUGAGGAACCAACCAUCCCAAGCUAGCCCAAAACUAGAAAAAAGCAUAUUAUUCAAGAAGAAGAAGAGGAAGACCUUGAAGAGGAGCUGCCUAUUCCAGUCUUUAAGGGUAAGAGGAAGGAUAAGGGUAAAGCAAAAUUGGCAACCCCUCCAGCCUCUGAAGAUGAAAUGGAGCAAGUCGAUGCUGAGUUGGCUGCUGCAGCAGCCAGAGCUAUGCCUACACCUGAGCAAGCCUAGCAACUACUUGCGGUUAUUGCUGCCAUCACCGCUGAGGGCCAGGCAGCUGAUGCAUUGACUCAAAAGCCUCCACAGCAAACUCCUGACCAGCCUAUCCGCACCAGUCCAAGACAAUCCAGCAAAUGAAAAGGCAGUACGUCUACAGGUACUGCUACAACAACCCCAGCCACCACUCCUCUCACCAGCCCCGCAGCGAAAAAGACAAAGACAUUGCCAGCCACUUCCCCAAAAGCUUCACCAAAGGAUAAGCUGCGCAGUGCGUCCAAGAAGCGCUGAUAGCAUCCUGUCAUGUGCUGCAGUCCCCACCACAGGGGAGUACUCUUUCCUUACUAGUGCAUUAAAAAAAAAAAAUUCAAUUUGUGUGUCAUUGUUAUGUUUGCUUGUGAGGACACAGCAACUCUCAAGUUUGGGGCGGGUUGUGUUCCCAAAUGCAUAUGUUUAUGUUUGUAUGCAUGUGUUUAUGUUUGUGUGGUGUGGAGCUCUAUUAUCUAAUAUUUGUGUAUGGAUUUGAAAGCCUAAUGAAGAUAAAUUGAGUGCUAUUCAAUAUAUAUAUGCCAAGUAGAGAUAGUUAUAGAUGAAAGUGAAAUUCUGUCCCGACACUUAGACUUUGGUUGAAUUGUACGAGACUGUUAGAGCAAAGCCAAAAGAAGAGAAAAGAUCUCAAGUUUGGGGGGGGGGGGUAGAAGCAAGUUUGAAUAACUGUGAUAUCUAUGGAAUACAAUUUGUUCCAAUGACUCAAGUUGCUGAGUAACCAUAUCUGAGUAUGUACCCCAUAUGCAGACUUGUGUUCAAAGGUAGCGAGAGUUAUGAGCAAUGCUGCACCAUAUAUAUAUAUAUAUAUAUAUAAAGAAAUCAUCUGUCUAAGGCAUUGAGUAGUUAGGUCUGUUCAUGAGCCCCAUGUUCAGCCUUGAGUAAAAGAUACUUCUAGAUAAGAUUACCUUACAAUUACUGGUGCAGCAACUCUAAUCUGGGCAUGGUUUGAUUAAUUGGGUGUCAUCAUUACAAUUGAUUGACAUUCACAUGAAAGAUAAAUGUUACAGUGAGGAGGUUAAAUAUUUCCUAGUUUGUCAAUCCUAAAAUAAUCACAGUUGAGUAUGUGAAAGUUAUGAUUACCCCAUUUAUGAAUGAAGUGUUCUCACUGUUGAAAUUCAUGCAAUCCCUUGGUGAUGCUAUAGCAUAUCUAGAAUUCAACCGAAAGAGCACACACACACACUAUGGACAGAAAGAAGCUUAAGUCUAGGACUAAUUUACUAUGGUCAUCUUGCUUGAUUGAGAAUAUGAUCUAAAGGUGGAAGAAUCCUUGCAAAGUUGAUAAAAGAGUUAAAUUUGUGUAAAGUGUUAGUAUGUGUCAUUACUUGAGGACAAGUAAUAGUUUAAGUUUGGGGGUGUGAUAACUCUAGGAAAUGAGAGUUAUUACAUCAAUUCUAGACUUGAAUCAAGGUCACUUAGAGAACAAAUAAGGUGUUUUUAUUACAUUUUGGGUACCUUUUGCAUAAACAUUCAUUUUAGUUGAGUUUAAUAAGUUUUGCUUGAAUCAUAGUAAUUUGUGCUAAAAACAGGUUUUAAAUUGUAGGUUUUAAAUUCGUGAGAGGAUGUUGAGGCAUUAGAAGAGCAAGAGGAGGAAGGAAGUUGGCCACAAAAGAAGUAAAGCACAAUCAGGAAUAAAACAGUGUUGUAGCAGCUGUUAGAGCAACCAGUGCUGUAGCAAUCUGGGAGCAAUGCGGGAGAAAACUUAGGCGCGAGUCAGCCACAAAAUCGUGAUCUGCAUGUUUCCUAAUUCAAGCAUAUGCACGCUCAUGGGCUUUGGUUUAACCUAAUUUACAAUAUAAAAAGGAGGCGUGCACCACAUAGAAAGGCGGCAAGGAAUUAUCAUAAAAAAUAAUUACGAAGGCAAGAAGAAGAAGAUCAAGAUUAAAGAGUGUUAUUCGGAAACAAAAGGAGAGAGUCGUGCAGAAUUAAUAGUUUCAGUUAAGAUAGAGCAGCAAAAGGGCAUGUCUUAGCGGACAUUAUUAGAGUAUUACUUGUUCUUAAGUCGAGUUUCCUGGAUUAGGUUAUCUUGAAUCCCAUAAGGGCAAUACUUGAAGUUAAGAUUUGUGACACUUUAGACAUAGGUGUUCACCUUGUAGGGUAGAGAGAUUAAAGGUUAUAAUGCCAUACCAUAAAUAUAUGAGCAACUGGUCAUUGUUAGUAGAUUUAAAGGUAUGAGAUUUCCAACAUGCGAUAGCUGCGGAUGCAGAUUUAUUCUACCCAUUGCUGCAGCACUUAUUGAAACAACUGGUGCUAAUUUGGUAAACAACAGUCACCCCAUUAGGAGAGUUUGAUCAUUCAACUACUAUAUUCUCAAUUGAAUCUUAGACACAUUUAACUUAGUUUACUUCAUUACAGUAUUGUUUUAUUUUCAUCUCUCAUAAUUAUUAGUUACAGUAGAAUUAUUCGAUAAUUGUUUAUUUCGGUCUUUAAUUGAUUUGCACUAUUGUGAUUGCUUUAGCAUUUUGAGUAACAUCAAUCCCCGUGGAGACGAUCUUGAAUAGUCAUCACUUUAUUACUUGUUGUGUAUACUUGCACAUUGGCAUUGAUAAUAAUUGCUUACAGAAAUUAACCAACAAUAUUCUUGGUGGUUGAUUUUGUUUUUUUAUACUAGCUUAUGAGAUCCUAUGCUUUAAAAUUCUUGUCUCUCGAAUGUUGAUUGAUUUAAAUUCUUGAGGUAUGCUUGCUUAAGAUUAUUUUUGGAUGAGUUGAGAUGAGAAUUGAGUGGAGAUUUGGGAUUAGUCUUGAGUUAUAUGCUUGAGGACAAGCAUUAUCUUGGUGUGGGGGAAUUUGUUAGAGUACAAUUUAUGCACUAGUUUUGCAUUGUUUACCUCCUUUAAUAUCGAUGUUUUGCACUUAAUAAUAGUGAUUUACUUGUGUUUUAUUUUUGUAGGUGCAAUUCGAUUGAUUGGUGCUAAAAUUGAGCUACAAGAUGAUGUUAGAGGAUGAUUGUUUUCCUGGAGAAAUUAUGAGCUUCAGAAGAACUUUGUUGAUAAGGCGUGGGCGCGUGCUGUCAACUAAGGACCUGCAGUUUUUAUUUUAACGUGUUUUGUCUCUUUGUUUAUUUUUGUAAUUUUGAAUUUAAUAUUUAGAUAAUAUUUUAGAUAUUAGUAUUUUAUUUUUGGAAAAACUCUAUAAGAGAAAGGAGACGUGAAAAACAAAGGAGGAUGAGAUUUUUAAAAAAAGAAAAAGAAACCCUAGAUCUAAAUUUUUCUCUUCUCUCUAUGAAGAACUAACCUAUUAUUCUGGUUGAAGGUUAAUAAAGCUUUGAUUCGUCAUUACUGGGAGAUCUUUCUUAUGCUUUAAUUGUUUUAUUACUUUUUGGGUAUUUGUUUAUUCUCUAAAUUAUGGUUAUGAUUAUGUUUGUUAAUUAGAUAAUUGGCCACUAUUUAAUUAUCAACUUAAUCUAUUGUCAAUUAAAAGAUUCAUCGUAUGAAGAUUUUAAUGUUUGUGACAAAUAGCAUAGCAAUGCGUUGUGUUAUGAGAAUAAACAAUCUAAUUUAAAUGAACCAUCGUAUGCGUUUGUUGAUUAGGAUUUGGGUCUCUUUGGUUUUUCAGGUUGUCAAUUGAUUAAACCCUAUGAUCGUAUCUAGGGUUGUCUAUUGAUUAGGGAAAUAACCAAUGGUCGUACCUUGGUUAUCGACUAGUUAAUGAGAGAUUAACUAUUAGAGGGUCUCAGUAGCUAUAAUCGGUCUAUUCAUAAGUAGUAAUGAUUUAUAUUUGAAUCAAUGAUCAGUAGUCGAAUCAAGCUGAGUUAAUUCCUUCAACUAGAGCUUUUCUCAAUUUGAAUUACACAUUUAAUUUGCAUUCUUGUUAUUUUAAUUUGAUUUUUAUUAUUGUCAAAAAUCCCCCCAUUUUGUAUUUUACAUUUUAAAAGGAUUCAAAUAAUUACCGAUCUCUGUGGACACGACCCUGCUCAAUCACUAUACACAAUUUAUUUAGAGUAGGUAUUUAGUUUUGCUGGCUUCGACAACCAUUAAUAUUAAAAAAUAAAUUUAUAUUUAUCAAGUAUAAAAAAUAAAUAGACAAACAAAAAUAAUAUGUUACCUAAAAUAAUGACAAUAUCAAUAUUUAACACUCUAUAAUUUAGUGAUGUGUUGUCCAACUGCCAUACAUUGGUCCCAAACAGAGCCUUAAAUAUCAAAGUCCAAAGUUAUUGUGAUGAUGACUUAUAAUCGCCAAACUUGACAUACGGGUAAUCAUGCAUUAUAAGGUGCUGAUUUCUUACUAUCAGAACCUUAUUUGUCAUCUAUAAAUAAAUAAAUGAUGUGACUUCACGGUUGGCGGGGUCCUUUGUAUCUCCUUUUGCAUCUACUUUUGUUGUUAACAUUACUUUCAAAAGCAGCUCGUUAUGUAUGCAACAUUUCAAAAUUAAUCUAAAAAAAACAAAAAUUAGUUCAGCUGACUAAAUUUGAAAGCAUGGAUUUGCUGUCGAUUAAAAACCGUUUUGUAGGGAAAAUUUUUGGAUUGCAAUUCUCAUAUAAUACAUAGAAUUAUCAUAAUUUAUAAAUUUUAUUUUCGCUUUUCUGUGGUAGUAAGUCAGACUCCUUAGUGACAAUUUAAUUUGAAAAAAUAAAAUCAUAAAUAAGAAUUAUUCGAUAAGAAUUAAAAUAAUUGAUAAAUAUUUGAGACGUGCAAUUUUGGAAGAUUCGAUUUCUAAUAGGAGGGGAAUUUAAAUUUUACAGCCUUUGGUGAGGAAUCCAAAAUGCACAAUUUGAUGAAAAUUAAAUUUCAAUAGAAAUUGAAUUCCCAUAUAUUAGUGAAAACCAAACAACAGAAAAGUGAAAUGAAUUUGAAUUUAUUUCCUUCCUCUCUUCUCCCUCCAACUAAAUACCAUUGAAAUCCAAAGGUAUGGGAUUUGUUUCGGAGUUUAAGAUUGAAAUUAAUCCCAAUUGUUGAUUUGGGACUAGAUAAGAAUUUAUCUUGGAACUCCAAUUCUCCCAAUUAUUUUAGUUGACAAUAUGUUUAACAUUAUUUUUUUAACAUUAUUAAUUGCAUAUUAUUUAAUUGUCAGUAUAUAAUAUUCUUUAAUUUUCUAAUUUAUAGGAUUAGACGCAAAAUUGAUUAUGGCUUUUGAAAUUUAAGUGUUAUGUCAAUUGAAUAGAAAACAUGGAGUAAAAAUUUUGGAUGCUUUUGUUGAUUAUCAAUUUAUGCAUGAAUUUUUGUACAUUUACUUUGGUUUAUUAUUAUUACUUUUAAACAUUUUUAUUAGUUUGGUUUAGGGUCAGUUUGGUAAUCCUGUAGCUUUUACAAUAAUUACAAUUAGCUAUGCUGUAGAAAUUGAUCAAUCGUGAGGAGAAUCAGCUGAACAUUUAGUAAAAUUUAUUUUUAAAAGUACUUUUAGUUUUAAAAACAGUCGUAUGUAUUUCUUAAAUCUUAUUGUUAAACUGGUGCAAGAAUAUAAAUGAUGAAUUGGACAUAAUGCGAAAUAAAAUUUAUUUACAAACAUGUAUAUAAAAUAUUUUUAUUAUGUACAUAUAAUUAUUGAUAACUAAAAUAAAUAUUUUAUAUUAUUAAAUUUUAUUCUCUAUUUUGUUAUCUCAAUAUAAUUGGUAAUAAUAAUAAUCUUUUUAAAGUUAAUGAUUUUAUUUCUUAAUUAAUAAAGAUAAUUUUGGAUUUUUAUUAUAUAAUGAGAAUAUAUAUAUAGAAUUGGAUUAAGUAUAGAAGUGAUUCUCAAAACCAGAUUUUGAAAAACUAUUCAUUCCCUACUUUUCAAAAUCUAAUGUAUGAUGAAAUGAUUUUGCCAAAACUAAUUACUAAAAAAAUUUAUAAAACACUAAGAAUUAACUUUUACUUUUUAAAAUCACUUUUAAGCUUCCCAAAAACAAUCCUAAGGGCCUUUAUUUGGGUGGUGUUGGAACUUGUAACUUUUGGAUCUUUUAGCUUUUAUUGGUUUGACACAACUGUUACACUAAAAAUUAAAUGCAUCUUAAACCCCAAACUUCUUCUUCUUCUUUUUUGAUUGCACAAAAUUAAAAACAAUAGUGAACACAUUCUUUAAUAAACAAUAAGUAAUAACUAAAAUUGCGUUAAAGAAUUUAGUUGAUAUAUAAAUUGAUUUCAAUGUUGUAUAUGCUAAAUUUCUUAAAAGUUUUCUUUCACAAUCUGCUGCAUAGUUUUAUUAGUAUUUUGAAUAAAUAAAAAUAAUUGAUUUAUAUUUUUUUAAAGAAACUUAUUAGGUUCAUGUAAAGAUGUUUUUUUUUUUAUUUUAAAAAAGUGUACAAAGUAAAACUUAAUUUUUUAAAUUUAUUAGAUGAGUGCAUAUAAUAUUUGAGUGUUCAUAGUAAUUUUUAAAGCAUAGAUAGUCGGGCCCUAAUAUUUUUAAUAUACGGAAAUUUUGCUAAUAUGUUAAUGAGAAUUAAAAUGAUAAUUAAGGGAGGCAUUCGAGACAGUCAGGAUAGUUAGGAUGGGACAUCAUUGUGAGCGGUUUGAGAUUGGUCCUAAUUUUGAUCACAAAUAUAUAAACUGGAUGAGUGUAUCCAUACUUACAUUCCAUUUGAUAAUUAAGAUAAAUGUGGAAUUGUCAAAUCCCAAAUCAUCCCAGACCAUUGCCACCAAAGGUACUCUCACUAAUAAUAUCUAAAGAAUAAUCUACAUCUAUUUCAUACUUUUUUUUUAACGGAAAGAGCCCUCAUGUGGCUUGAAAUGUUAUCCUAAAUAAUAUUCAGAAUAUCAUACCAUGAUUGGGUUUGUGACAAACAAAUAUUACAUAGUUGGAAUACGUAGUUACUAGUGUCCCAAUUUAUGCAGUAUCUAUCAUUUAGUGCACAUAUAAAGUAUUAAUCAGCUUAAUUAAUUUAUAAAAUUUAAAUCUAAUUAAUAAGUGACACAUAAAUGCCAAGUGCAAUAUAUGCAAAUCAUGUUUGUCGAUCAUUACAAAACUGGCUCUUGAAAACAAGCAAGAAAGCUUAAUUAAGAACUUAAAACAAAAAGAAUUAGAUCGAGAACAGUCAAGCCUUAUUUUUUCAAGGAUGGAGCUUAUAAAUCUUCAAGUACCAACAUAUGCUUGCCCCAGUUGUUGUUAUUAAAAUUUUAAUAUAUAUAUACACACACACACACACACACACACACAUAAAAAAGUAUGACAUAGCAAAAAUUUGAUGGUACAUAUGUCGGAAUAUACUAGUUCAUGGAUGCAUUUGAUUAUUGUUUCCAUAAAUUUGAACCAAGAAGGAUGACUCGAUAAAAAUUGAUUUUACGGUAUGGUUGAUUUCAAUCUCAUGCACUCAUUUCUUAAGAUAAUCAAAUUUUCUCUGGCAUCUUUUGCAACUGUGGAAAUAUCAAUUAUGAUCAAUCAAAAGGAUUUCAAAAACUUUCAACGAGACAUAUUUAUAAUACAAUAUUGUGAAAAUUACACCAAAAAUUUUAUUUAUUAUAUAUUAUUAUCCAACCAGCACACAAAAAUGAAUUCGUACAAAUCUAAAAUACUUAGCAAUUUUCAAAUAGAAUUUACCAUGUACUACAAGAAAAUAGGGUAUAUGUGACCCCUAAUGUGAAAAUAGGGUAUAUGUGACCCCUAAUAGAAUUUGUUGAACCUAGACCAGACUUAAUAUCCAAUCAAGAAUCUCCAGGAUCUAGCUGAACUCUCUAAUCAAGAUCUAAAGAAUGGUUAAUCAAUUCACAGAAAAGAAUCACCCAGAAACAGUAUGCAAAGAACAACAAAUAUAAGUGGUUCGGCUGAAAGAGCCUACAUCCACUGAAGAACAGACCAACAGCUUUUCACCAUUAACAAAGAACAAGUUACAAGUUUAGAGAUGAAGUUACAAGCAAUACAUUCCCUGAUUUUCCAGUCCUUAAGACUACUUAUACUAGCUUAAAGGCCCUCACAAAGACCCCCUGUCAACCAGCUGUAAUCUAGGUUUGUUAGCUAACAAACCCAGAAUUCUCCCGCCUAUUGUAACUGACUUUAACAGCUUCCAGGACACGUGUUGAAUUCUUACAAACAGCAAGCCCCAAAACGACAUUCUUUCAUGCCGUUCAGAGUAAGUGGAAGCACGUGACAUUUACGUGCUUCACUUAAAGCUUUGGGUGACGACCAAAGUUUGUCAUACAGGCUUGUAUCCUUUACAGCUGACAUGUCGUAUACCAACAUGACCACAAACUGACAUGACGGUUGAUCUUCUGGAAAUCAGUUUAAAGCUCAUACUUUAACAUUCUCCACCUUGAGCUUGAAACUCUCAUGACCUGCUCAUCUUCUCUCCCACCAUCUGUAUUUUAAUUAUCACAGAUGCCAGCCAAAUCCAAACAGAAUUUGAAUUUAGCCCCUGAAAUAGCUUUAGUUAACAUAUCUGCAACAUUGUCAUCUGUAUGGAUUUUCUGAAGCAUCACAGUUGCUUUUGAGACUUCCAGCCUGAUGAAGUGCACCUUAAUGUCAAUGUGUUUGGUUCUUUUAUGGUGAGUUUGAUUCUUACUUAGACAUAUAGCACUUUGGCUAUCACAAUGUAUCACCACAGACCUCUGAUUGACUCCAAGCUCCUUCAACAUACCCUUCAGCCAUAUUGCCUCUUUUAUGGCUUCAGCAUCUUUUAUGGCUUCAGCAGCAGCUGUGUACUUUGCUUCAGUUGUGGACAAAGCCACAACACUUUGUAGUUGUGAUUUCCAGUUUAUUGUGCAGUUGUUGAAUGUGAACAGAUACCCAGUUAGAGACCUUCUUCUAUCCAAGUCUCCUGCAUAAUCAGCAUCCACAUAUCCUACAAUUAAACUGUCAUCUCUUCUCUGUCCCCCAUAUAUCAGACCAUGCCCAGAAGUUCCCCUUAGAUACCUGAGUAUCCACUUUACAGCCUUCCAAUGUUCUUUUUCAGGAUUGGACAUAUACCUACUAACCACACUGACUGCAUGUGCUAUGUCAGGUCUGGUGAGUACCAUAGCAUACAUUAAGCAGCCUACAGAACUUGCAUAAGGAAUUUUCAUCAUUUUAGACUUGUCAGCAUUAGCUUUUGGGCACUGCUGCUCUGAUAAUCUGAAGUGGGCUGGUAAUGGUGUUUGCACUGGUUUGGCAGUAGCCAUGUCAAACUUAUCAAGUACUCUCCUGAUGUAUUCCUCAUGUGUAAGAAACAAGGUGCCAGAUUUCCAAUCUCUGAUUAGUUGCAUUCCAAGUAUUUUCUUAGUUGGUCCCAGAUCCUUCAUCUCAAAUUCACCUUUGAGUUGUUGUUUCAGAACUUUAUUUGUUCCAUGCUCUUACUAGCAAUAAGCAUGUCAUCCACAUAUAGAAUCAGAUAAACCAUUUCCCCUGAUAUCUCUUUGUAAUAAACACAGCAAUCUAGAUUACAUAUUUGAAAACAAAUUUUCAUCAUAAAGCUGUCAAACCUGAGAUACCAUUGUCUUGGAGACUGCUUGAGGCCAUAAAGUGAUUUCUUCAGAAGGCAUACCCAAUCACCAUUUGACUAGUCUUCAAAGCCUUCAGGUUGAGACAUUAUUAUUUGUUCUUCAAGCUCACCAUGUAAAAAUGCAGUCUUAACAUCCAUCUGUUCAAGAUGCAUGCUAUGAACUGCAACCAGUGCUAGGAUCAUUCUUAUUGAGGUAUGCCUAACUACAGGUGAGUAGACUUCUGUAAAAUCUAUCCCUUCCUUCUGUGUGUAGCCUUUGGCAACCAGCCUAGCCUUAUAUCUCAUGGAUUCAAUCCCUGGUAUACCCUGCUCGACCUUGUAAACCCAUUUGCAGCCUACUACCCUUUUGUUUUCUGGUCUUUUUACAAGCUCCCAAGAGUUAUUCUUGUGUAAUGACUCCAUUUCAUCCUUCAUAGCUUUUAUCCACUUGUCUGCAUCUUUUCCUGAAACAGCUUCUCUGAAGGUUUUAGGUUCAUCAUUGUCUAGUUCAUGGGCUGCUGUUAGAGCAUAUGCUAUCAAAUCUGGAUAUGCAAACCUCUUAGGUGUUUUGAUAAUUCUCCUUUGUCUGUCUCUUGCCAGCUGAUAGUCUUGAAUAUCUGUAUAAGUUCCAGAAGUUUCACUAAUAUCUUUAGUUUCUUCUCUCUCCAUGUCUUCAGCUUCAUCAUGGUAGUUCAGAGUUGAUUUACCUUUCAACUCCAUCUUCAAAUGUUGUCCCUGUGAGUCCACUCCUCCUUCUGGUUUAGCAGGAUCUUUUUUAUGUCUUUUCAUCAGCAUCUCUGACUCAUUGAAGACUACAUCUCGGCUAACUAUACACUUUGGUGGCCUCAUUUCAGUGCACCAGAGCUUAUAACCUUUGACACCUUCAGGAUACCCUAGGAAUACACAUUUCAGUGCUCUUGGCUCCAGCUUCCCUUGCUUGACAUGUGCAUAAUCUGGACAACUAAAAAUCUUUAGAUUUGUAUAAUUUGUUGUUCUUCCUGACCACAUCUCUACUGGUGUCUUGAAGUUUAAGGCACUGGAUGGGCUUCUAUUCACUAGAUAAUAUGUUGUCAUCAAAGUUUCAGCCCACAAUGUUUGAGGAAGCUUUGAAUGAAUCAGUAAACAUAUGACCUUAUCCAUCAAAGUCUUGUUCAUUCUUUCUGCUAACCCAUUUUGCUGUGGGGUGUAAUUCACUGUUUUGUGUCUUGCUAUGCCAUUGAGUUUAUAGAAAUCAUCAAACUGUUGAUUGCAGAAUUCAAGCCCAUUAUCAGUCCUCAGUCUCUUAAUCUUCCUACUACUCUGAGUUUCUACCAAUGCUUUCCAUUGUUUAAACCUCUCAAAGACUUCAUCCUUGCCUUUCAAGACAUAAACCCAUACCAUUCUCGAGUAAUCAUCUAUAAAGAAGAGAAAGUAUUUUGCUCCACCUAGAGAGACAGUAUGUGAUGGCCCCUACAGAUCUGAAUGGAUGUAAUCUAGGGUCCCUUUUGUGUUAUGCACUGCAGUUUUGAAACUAGUUCUUGAGGAUUUGCCUAGGACACAUACCUCACAGAACUCCAGAGACCCCAACUUAUCAUCCCCUAAGACUCCCUGUUUUUCUAAAAUUUUUAGCCCCUUCUCACUCAUAUGUCAUAACCUUAGAUGCCAUAUGAGAGUUUUAUCCAAACCCAGACUUGCUGAAAUACUGACAUCUCCAGUUACAGUAGUGCCUUGAAGCACAUAUAAGCCAUUUUGCUUAUUCCCUUUCAUUAUCACUAUAGACCCUCUAACAACCUUCAUUACUCCAGAUUCAACUUUAAUGGAGCAUCCAACCUGAUCUAGAGUGCCUAGAGAUAUUAAAUUCCUCUUUAAAUCAGGAAUAUGCCUUACCUCUCUUAGCUCCCUAAUCAUCCCAUCAAACAUCUUAAAUCUAAUGGUUCCUAACCCAACAACCUUACACAUUGUGUUAUUCCCCAUUAGAACCUCACCUCCAUUAAAAGAAUUAUAAGUAGUAAAAAGAUUUUGAUCAGGGCACAUGUGAUAUGAACAUCCAGAAUCAUGAAUCCACUUACUGUUUGUCUGAGUUUCAGAAGCCAAAAGUACACCAGCUGAGUCAUAGCCCUCAUCCUCGGAUGCAACAGCAGCAUCACCAUUAUUUCCAUGCCCUUCCUUACCCUUGUUCUUUCUGUCUGGACAGUCCCUCUUGAAAUUCCCUUCUUUAUGGUAGUGAAAGCAUUUCAUAUUUUUAUUCUUGGACUUUGACUUGUCUCUUUUCUUCCCUUUGUUGUAUUCUCUCUUUUCAGGUCUUCAUCUUGCCAUCAGACCUUCCCCAGCUUUUGUUUCUGACCUCUUUGUGACUUCUUUAUAACUGAGAGAAUCCUUUACAUCAGCCAUCGAUAUUGACUGCCUUCCAUAGAGCAGUGUAUCUACAAAGUGUUCAUAGGAUGGUGGGAGAGAUGAUAAUAAGAUUAUUGCCUUGUCUUCAUCCUCUAGACUCACAUUUAUAUCUUCAAGAUCCAGGAUGAUCCUGUUAAAGCUAUCAAUGUGAGUUGCCAAAGAACUUCCUUCCUCCAUUUGCAAAGUAUAUGGCCUCUUUUUGGUACAAAGUCUUUUGGUUAGAGACUUCUUGGUAUAUAGGUCUUCAAGCUUUUUCCAGAGGCCUGCAGCAGUAGUUUGAUCUCCCACUUCCCUAAGAACUCCAUCUCCCAGACUCAAGAUUAGAGUGUUAUGAUCUUUAUCCAAAGCAUCUAGCAUUUCUUCAUCAAAAAGCUUGCUGGGUUUCUUUUCAGAUCUUGGAUCACCCAAAGUAUCCUCCAGCCCCUGAUGAACCAACAGAGCUCUCAUCUUGAGCCGCCAUAGAUGGAAGUCAUUUUCUCCAGUGAAUUUUUCUACCUCAAACUUAGAGGUUCUCAUUUCUUGGAUCAAAGAUCAGAGAUAAGGCUCUGAUACCAAUUUGUUGAACCUAGACCAGACUUAAUAUCCAAUCAAGAAUCUCCAGGAUCUAGUUGAACUCUCUAAUCAAGAUCUAAAGAAUGGUUAAUCAAUUCACAGAAAAAAAUCACCCAGAAAUAGUAUGCAAAGAACAACAAAUAUAAGUGGUUCGGCUGAAAGAGCCUACAUCCACUGAAGAACAGAGCAACAGCUUUUCACCAUUAACAAAGAACAAGUUACAAGUUUAGAGACGAAGUUACAAGCAAUACAUUCCCUGAUUUUCCAGUCCUUAAGACUACUUAUACUAGCUUAAAGGCCCUCACAAAGACCCCCUGUCAACCAGCUGUAAUCUAGGUUUGUUAGCUAACAAACCCAGAAUUCUCCUGCCUAUUGUAACUGACUUUAACAGCUUCCAGGACACGUGUUGAAUUCUUACAAACAGCAAGCCCCAAAACGACAUUCUUUCAUGCCGUUCAGAGUAAGUGGAAGCACGUGACAUUUACGUGCUUCACUUAAAGCUUUGGCUGACGACCAAAGUUUAUCAUACAGGCUUGUAUCCUUUACAGCUGACAUGUCGUAUACCAACAUGACCACAAACUAACAUGACGGUUGAUCUUCUGGAAAUCAGUUGAAAGCUCAUACUUUAACAUAUAUCACUAACUUCUAACUUUGUAACCCCGAGUUGCUUUUGUUACCCUUUAUGUGACUGCCACACUGCUGUCACAUAUGUUAUUAACCACGUGACGGUAAAGAGCCGUUCGGUAUACUACUAUUUUACAAUUUUAAAUUUAUUUCCAGUUAGAAAACUAUUCGCUGGACUCCGUGUUACAUAUGCCACCAUCGUAAACCUAACUGGUUGCCGGCGAACGGCGUAAAACACCGGCCAUCUUCUUCUUCAUCGUAUUCUCCCUUCAUCUUUUGUUCGUAUUAUAGCCGUUAUUGUCAAUUUUUGUCCCGCCAGCAAUAUUUUUUUAUUCCUACAAGUUGAAGCACCCGUGCUCUUGUUCCAUUGAUGAGUUUGCUCACUCAAAUUAAUUUUGUUCUGUAGAAUUUACAAAGUUCAAAUGGAUUCAUUUGAAUUUAGCUUUAAUUAUGUAUGUCAAUUAUGUAUUUAGAUUAUGAAUUUAGCCGUUAUUGUCAAUUAUGUAUUUAGAUUUACUUUAAUUUUAUGCUUAAAGCUUCUACAUUGCUGAUUCUAUAUUAAUAAUGUUAUGUUCUAUUUUCAGAAAUUAUAAUACAAAAGUUUUUACAAUGUUGUGCAUCUACAAACUGAAUUGACUUGUAGAAUAAGAGCUUGGAGUAGUGUUAUGUUCUUGAAUAAAUGAAUGUUCAUAUUGUGUAAGAGCAUGUAGAUGUAAAGCAUCAUUACCAUAUCUACAAAGUGCUUUCAUUCUGUUCAGAUGCUCUUCUUGAACUUUGAAAGGUGCCUCGUUCAAGUCCUAGCUAUAACUACUAGUUUUGAUUAAUUAAGUUCCUGUACUAGCUGAAACAGAUUUAUUUAAUUAAUUAAUUGUGUAUGUACUAAUUAUAUUGAAAGUAUAUGAAUUUUUUUUUUAAAACAUGAAUGACUUCUAAAUGACUUAAAAACCUAAAGGAUGUGUGAAAUAAUGCUCAUUUCACUUGAAUGAACCCAUUAAUACUUUUAUGUCUAUGAUUGUCAAUAUUGGCUUAAGCAUUUCAGCUAAGUGGUUUACCUAACAGAGAAAAAAAUUUAAUAGAAAACUUCAGAGUUCUAACAGAAAUAUAGUUCACUAUGCAGAUAUAGUUAUUUUACGGUAUACAAAUCAAGUUGUCCUAAUCUCAAUGUCCUAUGACCGAUUUUAUUUUAUAUAGUCAUUAAUUUUUGCCAUGGUUUUUUGUGUUUAUGAGUAUGAAAUAGUGGGAUUUGGUGUACCUUAGCAUCUUUUGAAAAUUCUCUUUAUGUGUGGCCAACAGAAUAUAAUCAAGUUUCUUAAUCGUGUAUAUUAGUUUUGGGUAUGAAUGUUCCUAUUCUAGUUCUAGGCAAAGCUUCUUCAUUUUGGUCUUCAGAUUUCCAGUAGGUUAAGUUAAUCAACUAUCACAACUGACUAGCUAGUUAUUGUCUGCCUUGGCGCCAUUACCCAGGCCAUUAUAUUGCAUAGCAUAAGGAAUAGUGAUUAGGUGAUUAUUAGUGAUUUGUUGAGCUUAUUAUUGACCAAACAAACAUAUUCGCCUUUGCCCACAACUUAGUUUGAUUAGUUAUUAGACCUUAAAGAGCCUUGAUCUAUUCAUUGGCUUUAUUAUUUUUAUUUGGUUUUUCUUUCAACAAUAUUGUUGAUUUCUUAUAAAAAUAUUCAUUGGUUUUUAAACACCUAAUCAUUGGCUAUAUGAAGCUAAUUAAAACUGAGGCUUUGGAUCAAUUUCUUCUAACAGGAUACAAAUGAGCAUAACCUAUCUCCUCUAAGUAAAUUUUUUUAAUAUCCUUGAUUUGUAAGGAUCUGGAGGCCUGAAAUCCUCUAGAUUUUUUUUAACACUGUCAAUGUUCUUUUUAUUCUGAAAAGGAAAUAAAAGGUUUUAUCUUUCAUACCCUAAUAGUAAGCUGACCUUGUCUUACCCGAGGAUUUGCAAGAUUCAUAGUGCCCCCCCCCCCCCCCCCCCAAAAAAAAAAAAAACACAAAUAGGAAGAUUUUGCAAGAUUCACCACCAGGUUUUUUUUCAUUUAUUAAUUGUGUGUACGUACUAGUUAUAUGUUGAAAGAAUAGGAAGAAGUAUUUCAACAUGAAUGAAUGACUUAAAACUUAUUGCUCAGUAAACAUAAUCUGCAUCAGUGCGAAAAUGUAUUUAUCGGUUGUAUUUUUUAUGGUUUUGCUUAAGAAAUGAUAUGUGAAAUAAUGCUACAUUGUAUCAGGAAUAAAUUGAAGAGAUUUAUGAUAUUUAUGUGUUAUUCAAAUUUCAGAUUCAAUUUUAAAUACGUGCAUUGAAAGCUUAGACUUGUUUAAGAAAUUAUUAAUAGACACAUGUUUUAUUAGUGUCAUCUUUGGAUGAUAGUGAGGUUCAUAUGUCUAUUAAUAAUUCUUGAAUUGUCCAGGCUUGGGCAGUUUGGGAAUGCAUAGUUCUCUCUGGUAGCUAGUAGCUGAAGUUUUUUUCGCAAGUAAAAAUGGGUUUUUCGGUAGCUGCUCCUCGUGUUCUCUGGGUACGUACUAGGUGAAUGGGUGUCAUGUGUUGUUUUGGCAUAACGCAUAAACACUUAUAUAGCUAUGUUGUGUGCUUCGAGAAUUAUAGGGAGAUGGUGCCGAAAUUUUUAUAAACGUAGAAGAAAACUUUAGGUACUUGAGAUUGAAGAAACUUAUGCAUUCUUGAGUGGGAUAUGUAGGAUUACUUACCUUUUGUAAAUAUGAAGGGAAUGUUGGAUAUAUUGAGGAUAGUGUAGGAGCUGAGUUGGAUGAAUGUAAUUGGUCAUGAUUUUGCUGAGCUGACCUUGGUUUUGAGCUUGUAAUUUUGUUUGUAAAUGGAGUGCUAUCUCCAAUGUUGGUUUAUAAAAAUGUUUCAGGACUUGCUGACCUAAUUUUUUUUUUCCUAGGUUACAGGCUUUAUAUAUCUGUAAUUGAUAGCCAAGUGAAGUUCUCAGCACUUGGCGAGGAUAUUUCUUUACAGAAGGUAUUGGAAACUGUUUUUUACAUUAAUUAUUGUUGUAUAUAUACUUUGAUUUUCACAUCUUUUUCUCUGAUUCUUGUGGCUUUGCUUGCUUUCAUAUAUGUAAAUUCUAAUGAAAUUAACCAUAAAAUUGUAAAAUGAUCUUUUUAUUAUAUUGCAAAACCGUGCACACACGAAAAUAUCUUGUUUAGUAGUAGAAAUGAAGAACUAAAAUGAUUUACUUAACUAAUUUUUGUAGCGCAUUAAAAGGAGAUAGUCAUGGACAAGUGUUGGGCUGGUUUGCCAAAUAGAUAUCCAAGUCAUAUACUGAUGGGGUUGAAAAUUUUAUAGAUUUUGCAUUUGAGAAUGUUGUUGAUGAUGAUAUGAUUGGAAUGAUACACUGCAUCACGUAAUCAAAUGUUCAAGUUACACGCAGCAUUGUUAUGGAUUAUCAGUCACUUUCUAGUAUUGCCAACUUGUCUGGGUGGAGUAUUAAAGGUAAAUAAGCAUGUCUUGUUUGCCAACAAAACACUAGAUCUAAUUGGUUGAUACAUAGUAGAAAAUUUUGUCACGUGGGUCACCGUCGAUUUUUACCAACAAAUCAUAGGUUUCGAAAAUAUAGUUUCUUUUGAUAAAACUAGAGAGUAGGGACAAGCACCUUCUUGGUUGUCUGGAACUGAAGUGAAAAAGCAGUUUAAUAUACUUACUGAGUAUAAGAUUGAAGACUUGAAAAGAGAAAUGAUAAGAUUACUUGGAAGAAGAACAGCAUUUUUUUAUGAACUACCGUAUUCAUCAUGAUCUUGUUGUCAUGCACUGCUUUGAUUUUUGUUAUGAACUCAGAUCAAAAGUUUAAUGUGAUCAAAAUUUCUUAAAAAUAGUGAAAACGACUCCUCCUAAUAAUAUGGAAGAUGGCUAUAAAAGAUAAAAGGAAAGGCUUAAAAAGAAAAGCCAUGCCUGUCAAAAAAAAAUAAAAAAAUUGGCAGCGUCAAAUUUAUAACAAAAAUCAAAACGGUUUUGAGAGUGUAUUAAAAUACAUUUAGAGUGGGAGCUGUGUUGUUUUUUGAAGGUAGAAUGAUUGUGAGAUAUUUGUCGACGAAGCCAAAACCAAAGAUGAAGCCCAUAGAGCUCAAAACUCCACCGGAGCAAAUUCAGACAAUUACGAGGGUUAUGUUUGACAUAGUCAAGGAACACAGUCCUCUCACCGUUGCCGAAACUUGGGAAUGCGUCAAGGUGUGUGUAUCUGUUAAAUUGAAUUUCAACCCGUUUGAUCUGUAAUUAUAAUUAAUCCAAUCGAUCUGACAGUGAUCACUAGUAGUUGUUUUACAUUUUCAGCAAGCUGGAGCGAGUGGAUUGACGGCCAAAAGCCACAUGAAGAUUGUGUUGAGAUGGAUGAGGGACAGACAAAAGCUCAGGUUCGUCUGCAAUCACGUGGGCCCUCAUAAGCAAAUCCUGUACACAACUUGGUUCACCAAACCCGACAACUUGAAGCAGCCAAAAUCAGGGAAUGAUGCUUCUAUGUCACAACCCUAGAAAUUUCAAACACGGUGAAGAUGAAGUAAAGCAUAAGUAGAACAAUGAAGAUGGUAGCCCCUCAGCAUGUAAACUUUUCAACAGUAACACAGCUCUUAUUCCAGAGGCUGCACAGAAGAGCGACCUGAGUCCCCUUCAAAACUUUCAAAUUUUUAUCAAGUAAAGCUUUCAAAUUUCUCAACAAAUUGAUUAUUUGUGUGGUUGCCACAUUUUGUGCAACUGCCAUUCGUGUUCAAGUUCAAAUUCCUUGCCUAGUAAGUUAGGGAAGAGAGAUGUGAAGCAAACAGGGAAACAGAACAAACCGGCCAAAUUUAAAAUGACAGAACAGUAAUGAUGGCAAUUAACAAACUAAUAGCAAUAUUACAUUUGAUUCUUUAGCCCAAUUGUUCCUUCUGUCAGCAUUCUUCAAAAGUUUUUGAAAAUUAGAUGUGAAGCAAACAAAAUAAAACAAAUUUAGACAACAGAAGCCCUGUAUUCAGCAUCAUAUAUAUACCUUGAAUACCUAAUAUAAUAAAUUUCACAUCUAAAAUACUAGAAAUUUCAAACAGUACCAGCAAUAGAAUAAUGACAACGACAACAAUAACAGAAAAUUACAAGAUUGCUGAUAAAAUUUCAUUUGCAUGGAUGUAUAACAAAAAUUCUGUGAUUUAAUGUGCGUUCAUGCAUGCAAGUCCUAACGUUCCUGUGAUCACAAAAUGAAACUGAAGAUAAAUCAGAACAACUACCAAACCUCUGACUGAAAGUUCAAAAGAAUUUAUAUUCAAAAUGUCAAAAUAUACUGGAAAUUUAUUGCACAUAUUACAAGAAGCAGUACACACCAAUGGUAAAUUGAUACAUCGUUUUUGAACUUAACAAAGUCAAAUGAAAGAAACACGACGGAGGGUUAAUGUAAAAGUGAAUACCCUCAGCAUGUAAACUUAACUUCAAAGGACGGAGCACAAGUUUCACAGAAAAGUAGCUCUUAUUCCUGAUGCUGCAAACACACAGGAGUGACCUCAAUCUUCUUCAUAACUUGGGAAUUCUGCAAUUAUAGAGCACGACAUUGAGCAUGAACUAGAAAAAAUAUUUAUUUUGUACAAUUUUCAUAUAACUUGACUAACCAAGAUUAAUUUCGUGGUAAUGUAUUGAGUCAUUAAUUCAUAUGUUUUUAAAUAUUUUUAAAAAACUAAUUUCUCAAUUUGAAAUGGCCCAUAAAAAUUAUUCUCAUAUAAAAACUAAAUUUGACAGACCCCUCGAUUAAAGCAGGGGAAAAGGCUUUCCACAUGAAAAUGUUGUUUGUCACUUUGAAUGAUAUUUUGAAGGGAUUUCAUUCUAAAAAUAAAAUACCUGGGACCUCAUUCUUCAAAAUUGACAACUCGCCAGGUAUUAAAAGCGUAUGAGAUCAGUACUGCGACGAGUAAGAAGACGACCCCUCCAACAGCUGAAAACAAAAUUCGCAUUCAUCAAUUUAAAUUAAAAUUCAUAUUAUGAAACUAAAACUAAUGAUUAGUGAAUUUUCGAGGAAUUUAAUAAGAUUCUCAGAUAUAAACGUGAUAACAAAUUCACUCAUCAAUAACAAAUAAUCUAACAGUUAUCCGUACCUUUUCUUGAUGUAAUUGUUGUAUGGUUGUGUUAAGGUCAUUAUUAGACCAACGCAGGUUGUCCUCUCUCUGCCCGUACCGGACGUUUACUCUGACAUGGGUACUUAAUUCUCCUGAAGUGAAAAUCUUCAUCUUGGGACAACCAAUCACAGCAAGAUAUUCCAAAGAUGGGAAUUUGAAGGCGUAAUUGCCAGAGGAGAAGCUUGUGAGACUAUCUAAAUCAAACAGGGACAACGUAGUCAGUUUGCUGAAAACAAUCUCUUCUUUUAAAUUUGCUGUUUCAUCUUCGUCACUUAUUACGACUUCUGUGAUUGCUCUGCAUCCAAAUACACCCAAUGAUACGAGUCGCUCUAGACUUUUUGCUGUGGAGGAUGUUAGUAAGUUCAUCAAUUUCUUGCAAGCACAAGCUUGCAGGCGUGUGAGAUUCUGAAAAGAUACCGAUGAUGAUGGCAAUAGACUUAACAGAUUUUGACAGUAAUAUGCUCUUAGAAUUUCAAGAUGUUGAAAAAUCAAGUCCGGCUGUUUGGAAUCGUGUUUCCACAGUUGCUGCAGAUGAUUAAGUCUGGUCAGGUGUAACAUUUUUAUCAGUGCCAGCUUCCUCGCAUGUGUCUCCAAAUAUCCUUCAUUUGAAAAUACCACUUCGUACGAACAAUCCGACAGGUGGAGAAAUUCCAGAUUGUGAAACCUCUCAAGUAAACCAAGUGGAAAGCAAGCUAAGUCAUCAUCCCCAACCUGUAGUCGUUUGAGACUGCCAAAGAGGUGUUGUGGGAAAUCGCCUUGCAAAAUCAUCGUGAUGUCUUUUCCACUUAAUGCCAGUUCCUCCAAGUUGGGUAAGAUCUGAUCAUCAUCAAGCACAAAUUAUUAACUUAGCACAUUGAUCCCUAAUUCGAGACUGGCAAAAUUCAUUGUUAUAUACACACACAUAUAUAUAUAGUAUUUAUUAAAAUUUCUGGUCUGUGAGUAAGAAACAACAAAGACAACUGACAAAAAAUCUAAAAGUUGGUUUCAUACCUUCUUGAACGAGAAUAGGGGCUGUUGUGCCGGAACACCAAAUUGAUCAUUCUCGUUAUUCUGGGAUAACGUCAUUUUAUCACAAUUACACGCCUCCAAUAUUUUUAGUGCUGGCCAUUCCGAUGUAUGCAUUCCAGGGUAUAAACAUCUAAGUUCUGGUAGACCUUCGAGUUUCAGAGUGGUCACCCGUGGAAAGACAAAAUAAGCGGUCACUUGAUCUGUUCUGUUUUCAGAAAUGAUUUCUUGUAAACUCUUACAUAACCGUAUCUCCAGGUGUUGGAGUUGCUCAAGGCUUUGGAUCGUAGAAGCUGAAAAUAUGUAUUUUAAUUUGUCACAGCCCCACACUAUCAAUCGUGUCAAACUUCGAAGGCAAGGAACCAUGGCCGGAAGUUGAUUGUAAUGCCAAAUCUCGUCGACAUUAAUAGCAUUCAGCUCCAAAGCCUCCAAAUUUGGCAACACUACCUAAAGAUAAUUUUGUCGUUAGAUCCAAUAUCCAUAUAAGAAGUGCUUAUUGAGAGCUUAAUUAGUGAGUGUAUGAGAUUUUUUUUUUUUGCAUUUUCUUUUUCUAAAUGAUUUAAUUUUUUUUCACUUAUGGCAUCAAAUGCAAGUUCAUGAUAGAAUAAAAAAAAAAAUGCAAUAUCCAUAUGAAAAGGACUUGUGUGGUCCAGUUUGGGAUUAUGGAUGCUGAUUAAAUAAGUUGCUCCUGCUGUACGGAUGCAAUAAGUAGUUGAUUAAAAAAGCAGUUAGCUGUUUGGUAAACUGUGUUGUUGCAGUUGCUGUGAGUUUGAAAAGCAAUGUACAUGCGUUUGGUAAAUUUUAUUACAAACGUGUUAUUUUAUCAUAUAAUGACCAAAAUAUAUAUAAGUUUAAAUUUCCGUUUAUUUUUUUUAAGCAUGUUUAAUAAUCUUUAGAUAUGUCAUUUUCUUUUUAAAAUACGUAAAAUUAUAUUAAGUGAAAAAACUUAAUAAUUUGUUACAUAAAAUAUGAUAAAAAUUUAUACUAGUAUAUGAUCCAAAUAAAAUAAAAAAAGUAAUAUGCAUUACUUUCACAUUAAACUUGUUGCAAUAAACACCAUGACUAUAGAAAAUAUAAAUAGAUUGAAUGUUAAAAGCUAUGGUUAUAAAAUUGAUUUUAAAAGUUAUGAUUAAUUUUCAUGUGAAAUUGUUUAUAGUUCAAAAAAAAUUUACAUAAUUACAUGCAAGUCUUUUUUAAUCUUAUUAUAGAAAAUACAAGUAUAAUAUAAAAAAUAUGAACUUACUAAAUCAAAACUUUGAUAUUAGAGAGAAUAUAUAGUAGUUGUGGUGGUAAUAUGAUAUCUAAUAACUUAUAUAUUAGAGUGUAUGGAAAUAUAUGACAUAAUUAUUUUUGUUAAAAUAUUAAUUAAGGUUAUAAUAGAAACUUUAAAAAGAUGUGAUAGCUUAUUUAAUAAGCUGCUUAUGAAAAGUAACUCCCUAUCUGCUUUUAAAAGUUAAUGUCAAAAUAGAGAAAAUUAUAAAAUAAACAGUUUUUACAAAAUUUAACAAAUACUAUUUUUGUCACAGAUUAUGAAAUAGACAGUUUAUUGAGUUUUAACCUCAAUUCCAAACAGGGGCCACAAUAUCCACAUGACAAGCACUUAUUGAGAGCUUAAUUUGUGAAUAUAUGAGAUUUUUUUUUCUUUUUCUAAAUGAUUUAAUUUUUUUGCACAUAUGGCAUCAAAUGCGAGUGCAUGAUAGAAUAAAGGAAAAAAAAAAAAAAAGAAUGCAUUACCCUACGCACCUUCUCGUUGAAAAGCAGAGUUGAAGUAUCCGAACUGAUCUCGUUGGAACUAGCUAUCAAUUCCUCUUGCGACUCUUGUCUGUUUGGUGAUGUGGAAGGAGUCUUCACUUCACGGCAAAACCUUGUAACCUUUGGAAGCGUUCCCAGACUCAAAGAUCUUAGUUGACCAAACUCUAUCGUCUCAUCAACAUCGACAUCAGCUUCUCCUCCAGUUGCAAAAAUCUCUUCCAUGCUGCUGCAAUUGAGAACUGCAAUCCUCUCAAGUCUUGGAAGGCAUUUUGUACUACUAGAGAGCCAGAAGAUAUUACUCAUCUCAUCACAAUUUUCCACUUUUAUGGUUUGGAGUUCAUUGAAGGACUCUAUUGUGAGUCGAUCAAUACAUAUCCUCUCCAUAUUGAUCAAAUUGUGAAGAGUAAGGGACUCCAAAAGAGGAAAGGCGACACAAGGUUCUCUCUCCAUUGAAUCGGCAAUACACAGGAAGUCUGGAUUAUUUUGAACAUGGAGAUGCUUCAAUUGUGAAAAGCCCUCAGUGUCCAAUUCGAAAACAACAUUCUUGAUUCCUUGCAACUUAUCUAAACAUAAGUAUUCAACGUUAUUGAUGCCCUGCAACUUCUCGGAGCAAAUGGCCAUAGAAUCAAGCUUGAGCUUCAAUGUUCUUAAACUCUCAUGAUUACUGAUUGUUAGAGCAGCUCAUUAUGCUGAACAGAAGAAGGUGAAGACUAAGAUGAAGAAAAUACAGAGCAAGUUACAGGGCAAGUGUGUCAGCAGUGCCAGCUCAGCUAACAGCUCAGCAGAUUAGUUAAAGAUGGUUGUAAGCAUGAUGUGCAUUGUACUGAAGUUAGUUAGCUUUGAUUACAGUUAGUCUUUGGAUUAGUUAAAUGAAGUUACCGUGAUUGCAUUGUAUAUAAACAGGUGAUGCUUUGUAAUCAAAAGUUAAGCAAAAUAAAAAUCAAAGUUUGUUAAGGAAAUAUCUCCAGAAUUAUCAAUUCAUUUUCUUAGUAACCAAACAACUUUAUUUCAUUUUUCUUUCAUGGUAUCAGAGCAAGGUUAAUGGCUAGUUCCAGUAGCACAACAUCAAAUCCAAAUCAAAUGAAUAUAAAUCAAUCAUCACAUAUCUCCUUUUCGUUCAGCACUCCAGUCAAAUUGGAUCGAUCAAAUUUCAUGAUUUGGCGAAAGCAAGUUCUUACUACAAUAAGAGGAAAUCGUCUUGAAGAUUUUAUUUCUGGAAAUCAAAUCAUACCAGAACAAUACAUUUCUAAUACAGUAGCUGAUGGAUCAGUACAGAGAAUCACGAAUCCAGCUUACAUCAACUGGCGAGCUCAGGAUCAAACUUUGCUUGGCUGGAUUUUGUCAUCCAUAAGUGAAGGUAUCUUAAAUACUGUUCUUAAUUGCGAAAAUUCAUUUGAAGCAUGGAGAUCAAUUGAAAAACAAUUUGGAGUACAAUCUGAGGCUAGAGUAUUGCAAUUGAGGUAUGAAAUGAAUGUCCUUAGAAAAGAGAAUAUGUCUGUUGAGGAGUACUGUUUAAAAGUAAAAGCUGUUGCUGAUAAGCUUGCUUGUGCUGGUAGCCCUGUGUCUGAGAAAGAUCUGCUAAUGCAAAUUUUGAAUGGCCUAGGACCUGGAUUUCUAGAUCUUGCUUCAAUAAUUACUGCUAAUAGAAUGUCGUAUGAUGAUGCUUAUGCAUUACUCUUAACACAUGAGGCAAGAAUGGAACAAAAUCAUAAUACUAAAGAUCUUUUUAGUGCAAACUAUGGGAUGAUGAAUGCUAACUACUCUCAGUUUAGAGGAAAUAAUAAGAGAGGUGGUUAUAGUGGAUAUCAAGGGCAAUUUAAUGCUGGAAAUAGGAAUCAAAAUGGAGGAAGAGGAAUGUUUUUCAAUUCAUUCUCAAGAGGUUUUCCAGCUGGUGGAUAUACUGGUAAUGCUGGUGGCAGAGGACAGCAAAUGAAUGCAUAUGCUUAUAAACCUGUGCUUAACAACAGGCAUAAUUUCAAUAUGAAUCAUGGCUCAACUUCAAUGUCCAAUGGAAAUGGAUCUGAUGAUAAUGUGCUUAUCUGUCAAAUCUGUCAUAAAGCUGGACAUGCAGCUGAUGUUUGUUGGCACAGACACUUUGAUGGCUAUGCUCCUCAACCCAGACAAUUUGGAAGGGGCAGAGGGCAUAAGUCUGCUUAUAUGGCUAACUUUGAUCCACAAAUUGGCUUUACUUCACAAUUUGAAGAUUCGUUUGCUACAGAAUAUCCUGGUUAUCAUGGGUACCAUCCACCUGAUAUGAAUGCAUCAGUUGCAUCAGUAAGUCAUCACUCAUCUGAUAUGCAUUCUGUACCUGGAGCAGCUUAUAUUGCAAAUUUUGAAGGACCAGCUGAUGAAGGGUGGUAUCUUGAUAGUGGAGCUACGCAUCACAUCACUAACAACAUGGCCAAUAUGCAUAUCAGAGAUCAAUUCAGUGGAGCAGAUCAGCUCAUUAUUGGAAAUGGACAAGGUUUGCCCAUAACUCAUGUUGGUGAUGCAUCCUUUCUCUUUAAAAGUUCCAAUUCUACACACAAACACUCACCUAUAGUACUUAAAGAUAUUCUGUUGGUGCCUUCCAUUACCAAAAAUUUGUUAAGUAUCUCGAAGCUUACCACUGAUAACAACUUGUCUGUUGAAUUUCUUGGAAAUGUUUGUUUUGUGAAGGAUUCUCUGAGGGGACAGGUACUUCUGCAGGGUCUUGCUGAGAAAGGGUUAUACAGGCUGUUAUUGAAAUCAUCAUCAUCCUCUCAGUUAUCAUCAUCUUUUCUUUCUCACAUGUGUUCCAAUAAACCUUUGUCUAUGCUUUCUUGUUGUUGUUUCAAUUCUGUUCCUUCUGGAGUUGUUACAGAAUCUCAGAAAUCAUGUAAUCAAACUGAUGAUUCAUCUUGUAAAACUUCAGUUAAUAAAGCUAUUUUGCUUCAUAGAAAGUUUGGUCAUCCCAAUCAUCAAAUAUUAACUCAUAUACUCAAAACAGCAAAAUCUAUUCAUUUACCUGCAUAUCAAAAGCAACAAAUGCAUCAGCACAUCUGUGAGGCCUGUCAAAUGGGCAAAACACAUAAACUUCAUUUUCCUAUUACUGAAACCAAAACCUCCAAAACUCUAGAACUUAUACACACUGAUUUAUGGGGUCCUUCUCCCAUUAUUUCUAGAGAUGGUUAUCAGUAUUAUAUAAGUUUUGUAGAUGACUACAGCAGGUAUACAUGGAUUUAUCAUUUGAAGCUAAAGUCUGAGGCAUUAGAAGUCUUUAAGCUCUUUAAACUGCAGGUUGAAAAUCAGUUUAGCACAACCAUUAAGAUGAUGCAAUCUGAUUGGUGGGGAGAGUAUAGACCAUUCACUGAGUUUUUAAGCCAAUUUGGUAUCAUCUUUAGACAUCCUUGUCCUUAUACUCAUCAUCAAAAUGGGUUAGUUGAAAGGAAGCAUAGACAUAUUGUUGAAUUGGGUCUGACUCUCUUAGCUCAAGCUCAACUUCCCUUUAAGUUCUGGUGGGAUGCAUUUCAUACUGCUGUAUAUCACAUCAACAGACUUCCAUCUCCUGUUUUGCACCUUUUAACCCCAUAUGAAAAGACAUUCAAACACAAACCUGAUUAUGAUUUUCUCAGAUGUUUUGGGUGUUCUUGUUAUCCUUACUUGAGAGAUUACAAUAAACAUAAAUUUGCCUACCAUUCUAGUAAGUGCAUAUUCAUUGGUUACAGUCCUUCACAUAAGGGCUACAAAUGUUUACACCCUUCAGGUCGAGUCUAUGUGGCAAGACAUGUUACCUUUGAUGAAUCAGUUUUUCCUUAUGCCACUGAGUUUGUUUUUCAUAGUCAUGCUAAAACUGAUUCUCAAAUUUCUCAUUCCCAUACACCACAGCAAAUCCAUCAUAUCUCUUCUUUGCCUGUCAAUAACAGCACUGGUAAUCUGAACUCUGUAAGAUCUGGAAGCAGCAGUUCAAGUCACUCAGAUCAUCUAGAACAGACAGCAACUGAUCAGAAUUCACAACAAGCUACCAUAAAUGACAGGUCACCUUUUCAUACAUGUCCAACAAUUGUUGAAUCUAUACAAAAUAUUCCAGAACCUCCACAUCACUCUUUGCCUAUACAAAGUCACCAUCCUAGCAACACCUCUUUCUAUCCAUAUACACAACCAAAUACACAUCAGAUGAUAACCAGAAGUAAAGCAGGGAUUUUCAAACCCAAAAUUUAUACUGCUGUGCUUACUCACAAGGAACCAGAUACUGUGCAAGAAGCAUUAAAUGAUUCAAAGUGGCUACAAGCUAUGAGGGAGGAAUAUGAUGCCUUGAUUAAGAAUAAUACAUGGACAUUGGUUCCAAGACAAGCUGAUCAGCAUGUGGUUGGAAAUAAAUGGGUGUAUAGAAUCAAAUAUAAUACAGAUGGAAGUAUAGCUAAGUAUAAAGCUAGACUUGUUGCAAAGGGUUUUCAGCAAGUGGCAGGGAUUAACUAUUUUGAGACAUUUAGUCCAGUUGUGAAGUCAGCUACAGUUAGAGUAAUACUUAGCUUGGCAGUGAUGAAUCAGUGGAGAAUAAGGCAAGUGGAUGUCAAUAAUGCCUUUUUGAAUGGAGAGCUAACAGAAGAAGUUUUCAUGUCUCAACCUGAUGGCUUUAUUGAUGCUCAGAGAUCUGAUUUUGUAUGCAAAUUACACAAGUCUCUGUAUGGGCUCAAGCAAGCUCCUAGAGCCUGGUAUGACAAGCUUAAAGGAUGCUUAAUAAGCUGGGGUUUCACUACUACUAGUUCUGACACCUCAUUGUUUGUUAGGAAGAUCAAGACAUCUAUGAUCAUAGUUCUUAUAUAUGUUGAUGACAUACUGAUCACAGGUCCAAACACUGAGGAGCUGGAAGGUUUCAUAACUGAAUUCAGCAAAACUUUUGCUCUAAAGGAUCUGGGAGUGUUAUCUUAUUUCCUUGGAAUUGAGGUAUUAUAUGAUGCAGAUUGUAUGUACUUGUCACAGAGAAAGUAUAUCAGAGAUUUGUUAUCGAAGGUAGAAAUGACUGAAUGUAAGGGCAUUGAUACACCCAUGAGUACUGGCUCUAAACUGCAAAAGAUAGUUCAGGGGGAACUUGGAUACUAUCUUGAAGAUCCAACUCAUUAUAGAAGCAUAGUUGGAGGAAUGCAGUACCUGAUACUUACCAGACCUGAGAUUGCGUUUGCUGUAAACAAGCUCAGUCAGUAUGUAGCUGCACCAACACUACAACAUCUAAUGGCAUGCAAGAGAGUUCUAAGAUAUCUGAAGGCAACUCAAGAUUAUGGUUUAAAAUUUUUCAGAGAAGGAAGCUUAACACUCACUAGUUUUACUGAUGCAGAUUGGGCAUGUGACUUAGAUGAUAGGAAAUCAGUUGGUGCUUAUUGCAUUUAUUUAGGCAAUAAUUUGAUAUCCUGGUCUUCUAAGAAACAAUCAGUGAUAACCAGAUCAAGUGCCGAGAGUGAGUAUAGAGCUUUGGCAUCAGUGAGUGCAGAGCUGACAUGGUUACAAUCCUUAUUUUCUGAGUUGGGAUUAAGUUGCAUAGAAAAGCCAAUCAUAUGGUGUGACAACAUUAGUGCCACUGAACUAGCAAAGAAUCUUGUGUAUCAUUCAAGAACAAAGCAUAUCGAAAUUGAUAUGCACUUCAUUAGGAAUAAGGUUCUUGCUGGUGAGUUGAUUAUUCACUAUGUACCAAGUGAAGAACAGAUUGCAGACAUAAUGACCAAGCCUCUCUCAUUUGUAAGGUUUAACUACUUGAGGUCCAAACUCAAUGUCCAUCUUUGUCCUCUGAGUUUGAGGGGGGCUGUUAGAGCAGCUCAUUAUGCUGAACAGAAGAAGGUGAAGACUAAGAUGAAGAAAAUACAGAGCAAGUUACAGGGCAAGUGUGUCAGCAGUGCCAGCUCAGCUAACAGCUCAGCAGAUUAGUUAAAGAUGGUUGUAAGCAUGAUGUGCAUUGUACUGAAGUUAGUUAGCUUUGAUUACAGUUAGUCUUUGGAUUAGUUAAAUGAAGUUACCGUGAUUGCAUUGUAUAUAAACAGGUGAUGCUUUGUAAUCAAAAGUUAAGCAAAAUAAAAAUCAAAGUUUGUUAAGGAAAUAUCUCCAGAAUUAUCAAUUCAUUUUCUUAGUAACCAAACAACUUUAUUUCAUUUUUCUUUCACUGAUCAUAAAGUGCUGCCGACAUUCAAACCAGUCGUUCCCAAUAACCUUGGUAGAGUCGAAUGAUGCAUCUCCUAUUGAUAUAUCAAACCUUUCCAGCUUUUUGGAAAAAAAGCCAUCCGGUAAAAUGCUAUCGUUUUUAACAUCUAUUUCUAAAGUGGUCAAUCGCCUCAAAUGCAUCAAUUCGUCGAGGGUGGCAUUACUUCUUUCACUAUUGGCUUUUUCAACUUCCCAUUCAACAGGGGAAUUACCCAUAUACAGUUCUUCCAAUCGAGUGAAGCUUGAUAAGAUGUUGGGCAAAAUAAAUUUUAGUUGCAAACAAUCUCUUAAAUCUAGCAGCCUUAACUUAGUCAGUUGACCUAGUUCGUAAGGCAACCGUACAAUAUCAGACCUUAAAAAGCUAAGGAUUUCUAGAUUCUUCAACUUCCCAAUUAUGGCUAUGUCUCCCAACAUGCUUUGUACUAGACACAGUGUUUGAAGAUUUGCUAGAAGAUCGAUUGAAGAUGGCAAUGAAAAUAAUCGCAUUCCUGUCAAAUCCACAACUCGAAGCUUUUUCAUCCCUUUGAAAAAGUUCUCAGGGAUAUUGAGCUCGACAAAAGAGUCUUUGGGAUGAAUAAGUAAAAAUUCAAGUUGCGGACAUUCCAAUUCCUUAGAAACUUCAUGAAUGCUACUAUACAGUAAAGAGAUUGCAGAGCAUUUUUUAAGUGCAUCCUCAUCUGGCCACUCCCACACAACCUCACUUCUCACCAAGAAAACAUGUUGUUCUCGACAUGCAAUUGAAAUGGCAACAUCGCAGACAACAUCAUGCAUAGAAAAUUGUUCAUUACUAUCACCCUCAAGCAAAAAACAACAAUCUCUAAGUUCAUGGAGCAAUGCAUAUAAUUUGUUUCGUGCAUCUACCAUCCUGUUGACUCCUUGAAAUAUGCCCAAACCCAUAGAGUACCUAAACAAGUCUAGAAACCAAAAACUGUUACCUAUUAGACUACAGAGAAGAAAAUUUUUCUUGAGUUGCUCACCUUUUAAAUACUUGAAACUCAGCUCAAUACUUGAAUAAGUCUCUGCAGGCACACCUUCGAAGUUUACCAUUGAAGGCGUUUGGAGUUCUCGCAAGGCAUUCUUCCAUUCAUGCAGAGUCUUGUUUCUCAGUGCCCUUGCCACUGUAGUCAAGGCAAUGGGCAAACCUCCACAUGCCUGGGCUACAUUAAUUGCUAUAGACUUGAACUUACAAUUGUCAACAUCAUCACCAAUCAUUAUCUUAAACAAUCUCCAAGCUUCUUCUUCAUUUAGAUUGCCAAUCAAAAAGUUAUCUUUGGAGCCCAUACUUAAUAGUACAUUAUUAUCUCUUGCUGUGAGCAAUAGUCUACAUCCUUUAUGAUCAUUUCCAAAAGGAAUUCCAAUCGUCUCCAAAUCAAGAUGUUUCCAGAUAUUAUCUAGAAUCACAAGAAUCUUAUUCUCAUUCUUCAAUCGUUCAUACAGCCUGCUGGCUCUUCUAUAUUCAGCUUCAUCGGACAACUCCAGACCUAACUUCUCUGCAAUUUCCCCUUGUAUCUUUUUUAUGUCUGGAGUUUGUGAAACCUCUGAAAAAACCACACGAUCAAACAGCUUCUUUUCCCUGGCUUGCCUAGCAAACUCCUUCACCAGUGUCGUCUUUCCAAUGCCGCCCAUGCCGUACACCCCAAUAAUGCUGACGUUCACAUCAGUCAACACAUUUUGUAUAGACUUCAAAGUAGAAACUCUUGAUUCGAAGGCCUCGUAACCUUUGUUAGACUUAAGCCAUAUCUCCUCCGGAAUGGCACGGUGGGAAACGAUAUCAAACUUCUUAACUUCUUCUCCAAGUUCAACAAGGGCCUUCACCUCUGUCUCUGCUUUCUUGCUAAGCUGAUAGCGGGUCUUCAAAUUAGGACACAAGCCCUUGAGACAGCGCUUAUUUGUUGACUCUUCAUCUUCAACGAAUUUGGCUGCCCGGUCAAUGAUGCCGUUAGCACUAACCAGCCACUUCUCAACCUUCUCUUCAAUCUCUUCCCCUUUUUCUUUCGCCUCUGAAACUCUGCGCUGAAUGCUCGUACGUUCAACCUUCAACUUCUCCAUUUCCGCCUUGAGAUUCUCAAGGUUGGCAUUGUAGUUCCGCUUGCGCAAAUAAACAAGUUGGCGUUCUGUUGGAGGAGCCAAGCAUUUUACAAGUUCCAAAAUGAGAGUAACAAUGAUUUCCAGCAUCUUGAAUCCUGACAACAAUGUAGAAAUGAAGAAGGCCAAAGGACAGUAAGAACAGAGAGACAACGAUACGACAAGCAGUUAUGGAGCUAAAAAUAAAUAACAAACAAACAGAAGCAAAGUGUUUUUCGAAUGAGAAGAAGGAAGCAAGAAAAGGGUUUCUAUUUAGAUUAAGAAUGAAUGUAAAGAAGUGACAAAGAUGUCACAUAAUGUAAUUAAGUACUGAAUCCAAAUCCUAUCCUAAAUGGUUAGAUAAAAAUAAGGGAAUGAAAAGAGUAAUGGUAGAUUAAUUUAUGAGGCCAAUUAACGAAACGACAGAUCUGGUUUCCAUGUUUGUAAUUUAAGUGUAUGAGUACGAGGUGAACCAACUCUUUGUCGAGUCAAGCAAUUAGAAGGAGAAAUUACUAAAACAAGAACCAGCAACUUUUACUCACACAAGAGCUAAUAAUGUAUUGAGAUUGUGCAGAGUAAUACAAAACCUUAAAACUAGUAUAAUAAAUUUGUCAUCAAGUUUUAGCCUUCUUCUUCAACCAAUUACAGCACUAUCUUGAGCUCUGAGUUUCUUUUUUUAAAAUUUUUCAAAAGAUCUUUGUCAUUAGUUUUUCAAUGAUAAAAAUUAUAUUUUUAUCUCAUAAAAUAUAAAAUUUUAAAAAAAUCAAACAUAUAUUAUAGGUUUGUUUGAGAUUAUUUUUAAAGGCUCAAAAGUCACUUUUUAAAGUUAAAUGUUAAUUUUGGUAUUUGGUAAAAUUUUUAGAAAUCACCUUUGGUAAAAUCACUUAUCCCACAACAAAUUUCGGAAAGCAAAAAAGGAAUAGUUUGUCAAAAUCUAAUUUUGAUAACCAGUUUUAUACUUAAUAUAAUUCUAUAUACAACCUUAUAUAUAUUAUAAAAAAAAAAUAUCCUUAUUAUUUAGGAAAUAAAAUUAUUAAUUUUAAAGAUAUUUUAACAAUUACAUUGAGAUAACAAAAUAAAAAUAAAAUUAAUAAUAUAAAAUAUCUAUUUCUGUUAUCAAUUAUUAUAUAUACAAGAUAAAAAAAAUAUGUUAUAUACAUGUUUAUAAAUGUAUAAAUAAAUUUUAUCUAACAUUAUGUUCAAUUAAGUCAUUUACAUUAAUAGCACUUUUACAAGUAAAUUUUCCUAAAUGUUUAACUGAUUAUCUUCACAGUGAUUAUUUCCACAACAUAACUACCAGAAAUUAUUGUAAAAGAUACAACAUUACCAAAAAAAUAUUGAGGUACAUUUUAAUUAAGUAAUUGACUUAAUUAUGAAUCAAUUUAUUAUUUUCAUCUGUGUUAUCUAAACCAGCUCAUUAAUGAGAUCACUCUUUUUCUUAAAUAAAAUAUUCCUGCCAAACAAUUGUUGCAAAAUUUCAAAUAUAAAUUACAAACAGCAAAAUUUUCUAAAGUCAUAACAAUUAUUUAUGUUUUGAAGGGUCCAGCUAGCUUGCAACCGUGAUUUGGUACCCCAUUUUUUGUCUUUUUGUGAUCCAACCAUUAGAUCCAACCCAAAAGUUGUAAAAGCUAUUCCAACGGCAAGGAUGCAAUUACUUAGUUAUUAACGCUGAAGCCCCUCUUGUUUCAUAAAAAAAAGAAAAGGUUAAAUUUCAAGAUUUUGACACAUAAGUCCAUCAAAAUAUUUUAUGAUUUUUAUAUGAGUCCAGGUAAUUUAAUAAAUGAAUAUAUUUAGAUAUACAAAAAUAUGGAUGGAUUAUUUUAACUUGCUAAAAUACUCCCCACAUCCAUUUAUUUAAAAUAUCAAUUACAAAAAAUCCCAUUUUUUAGUAUAAUUUUUUUAAAAAUAAAAUACCCAUUUAAUGUUUUACCAUUUAAGAUAGUGUUACUUAUAAGGAUAAAUAAUUAUUUUAACUAAAUAAAUGAAACUUAACUUUUAUUUCUAUAAAUUUGCUCAACAUCAUAUAACCUUAUAAUUGUUAGCAUAAGAUAUAAAUUUAGUCUAAAAAAUUUAUUCAAAGGGUCCCCUUAGGGCAAAAAAUUAAUUAUCAUAUGAUAAUUUGGUUGGCACAAACUCUAUUAUUCUUAAUUUACUUAUCCAUGCCAAACACUAUAUUGGAAUUAAAUUUUAGUAAAAUAAACAUAUGUCAACAUCUUUAACCGCAUUCAACUGACCCUAAUUGUUUAGAUUUUGUUAUAGAGAGCAAGAUAUAGUUCUUUUCUUAUUAUAGUAGUAAAAAUAAAUAAAAAUAAACACAAUAGAUUUCUUUUAAGAGAAUGCAAGCAUUAUUUUUAUGAGAUUUUGUGUUCAAGAAAUUAAUCUAAUUAUGUGGUUAGAAGACUCUCUAUUUUGUGAUAUUUUAGAAGAAUUAUAUGUUGGAUAAAUGAAUAAAUUAAGAUCAAAGCAAAACAAAAAUGAUUGAGAAGAAAACCGAGAGAGAAUAAUUUUUUAAAUUUUAAAAUUUUCAUUUUUUAAUUGGGGUUUAUUUUGUAAAAUUAUUGCAAUUUAUAGUUUUUAAUAUUACCAAAAACAGUAGAGAUUGCUAAAGAAAAUGCCAAACAAAUUUUUUAGAAUUAUAAAAUUAUUAUAUUUUAAUUAGGGCUUGUUGUGUAAAAUUUUUAAAAUUUAUAGUUUUUAUUAUUUACCAAAAACAAUGAGGAUUGUUAAAGAAAAUGUCAAAAUUGGGUGUUUGGUAUAACGGAGGCAAAGUAGUUUCGUCCUGUUUUGAAUACAUGUAACUAAACCACAUUGAAAGUUGUCAAAACAGGAGGACCUAAUGUUAGUAAAAUUAUUUUUCAAGCAAAUGCAGUGACGAAUUUGGUUUCAUGUUUCACCCUCGAUAACUUAAUUUUCAUAUCUAACAAAUCAUCCAUAUUAUUAACAAUAUCAUCACCAACCAUAAUCUACCUAAACAUAAACUAAACAUAACACAUACAUAUAACUAUAUACAUACCGAAUCAGGAAAACAAUGAGAGCUACACGUAUCCGGCUCCACAAUUCCUUGUUGAUACCCUUGUGCUUCUAAAAUUAUCAACCAAUUAUAAAAAUUAGCUUAGGCGCAACUUUACCCCUUUUUUUUGGAAAACUUAACUAUAAAUAAAGUAUACAAAUCUCUAAAUUAACUUUUUUCCCAUGAAAUUCAGCAUAAAUAGAAAUAGAAUUAUAGAAAUCUUACUUCCUUUUAUGAGAAAUCCAACUUAUAUAUUUGAGACCUCUCUCUCUAAGCACGCGCUUCCUCUCUCUGUAUACUUUCCACCUUUAAAUUCUCCUCAUUAAAUCUGUCUAAAUGAAUUUAGCAGUCUCCCAGUUUCUUUAGCAUUUUUCUCCGUGAAAAUAAGUGAAAAGCGAAAGUGAUUUGAUUAUUUUAAUGUAUGACAGAUCUGGUUUCCCAUCUCCGUAAUUUAAGUGUAUCAAAUUGUCGAGUCAGUCAAAUAUAAAAGACAAAUUACUAAACCAAGCAGAGCCAAAAAAAAAAAAAAAUUCCAAUUAAAUAAUCAUCAAGUCUUUUUCAAUUAAAAUAGGGAGUGCAGAACAACUGUCGAGAGAUAAUCAUUGUUUAUGGAGCCAUAUUAUAUUUUCGAUUAAAAUAUUUGCGCGUGAACAAUUGGCAGAAUUCGUAUAAAUUGUUGUAAGGUCUAUUAUAAUUAACAAGCGGAAUGGCCAAUGGAUGAAGAACCACUGUAAUUUCGUUUAUGAAUUUAAAAUGCUAAAGAAACUGGACAUCAACGCUAAAUGUUAGCCUGCGGUCCUUGCCUCAGUUUCUUUCAGGCGUUACUCUGGGUAGUUGAUAUACUGACCGUCCCUUUAUCAAUUAAUAAUCGAAAUAGGUUAAAAUAUGAAUGGAUUGGAAUGGUAUGACUUGGAAAUGGGAUGACAAUCAGAUUAAUUUAUUCAUUUAAACUGAGAAAUUAGAAUCAAAAUAAAUUAUAUUGUUAUUGAUAUAUUUACUUUAUCUUAAAAUUAUGAUAAGUUGUUACGAGUUAUUAAUAUGCCUUAUUUUUUAUUAUAAUAAUUAUUAUUUAUUAUAACAUUUUUCAUAUAAUAAUAAUAAUAAUAAUAAUAAUAAUUAAUAUUGAAAAAAUUUUAUUGUUAAUAAUAAAGUAUCAUUAGAGUACUAGACAAGCUCACCACGUCUAAGCUAAGUGAAGAAAUAGACUUCAUCAACAAAGCUUUUGUGAAUAUGCGUUACAUUACAACUGCGAUAUCCUUUCACUGUAUAUUCAUACAGUGGCAGGCCAUGUGACAUUGUGACCCAUGUGCUAGCUUUCACUAGUCAUAUUAUUUUUUUACACGGUGUUUAACAAAAUCUUCACGUAAAGAUUUCAGACGCGUGAUCCUAAUUCAAUAUGCAUUAUUUAUUUAUUUAUAAAAUGAAAAUAAAAAGAUAAAAGGAUGUGACUUAACUUGCUAUCAGUGCGGAUCCAGGACUUAAUAUUAUUUCGGGUUAAAUUUUAAAAUUUAUAUUUUGAAGUGAACAUAAAAAUUUAUAAAUAAAAAGAAGUAUAUUAAAUGAGGGGAGACAUGGAGAGCUUUAUCCCUAUGAAUAUGUAUUAUAAACAAAAAUAAUUAUAAGAAAAGAAUAGAAACCAAAAGGCAAUUCAAAUAUCAAAACACUAUUUUUCAAUUAUGAAAUCCGACAUUGCAACCUAAUAACAUGUAAUUAUAUAAGGAUUAAUAAAUCAAUUAAGAAUUUCAAACUAAAUUAGAUCAGUACAUGUAAUUAAAAUUAAUUAAAGAUUUCAAGUAAAACUUUUAUGUUUGAAGUCAAGUACUAAAUUACCAAGCUUAAAUAAAUUUAAAAAAUUAAAAUUCAUUCAUUCUUUCGAAUUAUAAAAGUAUCAUUAGUCAAAAGUUUUAGUAAUAAACUAAACUCAAUUCAACAAAAAGUUAUUUGGAUAUCGUUGUUUCAUUGCCAGUGCACUGACUUUCUUUAUAGAAGUAUAUGUUAAUGAUUCUUCUAUUAAAGCUCUUCAAAAUACCUAAAUUUUAUUUUCUAACUUCUUCUCGUAGUUAAUGUAACUAAUAAAUAGAAUCUGAAAAUUCACAUAAAAUAUUUAUGAAAAUGUUGAUAAUUGUUACUAUAUGUUGUUUUCGUAAGUACUUUUAAUGCUAGUAACGAUGUUAUAUUACAUUGAUUUAUAUUUUUUUCAAUUAGAAGUUUUUUAAAAUAAAUUAAAGCAAUAAUAAUAUUUUAGCUCCCUAAUGUUUUCAAUCUAUCCAAUAAGUAUAUAAUUUAAUCAUUUUAUAAAAUAAGUCACUAAUUUCAAUUGGAAAUAAUACAAUUGAAUUAGGGACAUAUUUGAAUAUAAAAUAAUAGCUCAAUUGUUAUACUAAAUUGAUGAAAAUAUAAGGGUAAUUGAGUUAGGAAAAUAUUUGAAUAUAAAGUAAAAACUUUAUUGUUAAACUAAAUUGAUGAAAACAUAAGAAUACUUGAGUUAGGGACAUAUAUGAAAACAAAAUAACAACUCUAUUAUUAUAAAAAAUUUAUAAGAAAACAAGGUGUAUAAAUGAUUUUUUCUGUUCUAGACCAAGCUACAGCCUAGUCUAGCCAGCUGUAGGUCUCCCACUACUUGCUAUUUACAUACAGACAUGUGGCCCUUAUUCUAAUAUCUAUAGGAAAAGACACCUAUACUCCAAGAUUUGAAGAAAGAUUUGAAGAAAUAGUCACGUAGAUCUCUAAGUUUUCAGUAACCACAAUUUCUCUUUGACUAUAAUAUUUUUUGUACUUAGAAAAAAAAAUGACUUUAGAUUUUUUUAAUAAAUAUAAAUAUAAGUUAAAUAGUUUAAUUUGUCUAAUAGACUAAUAAUAUUAGAAUAUUUUUAAUAUAUAAAAUAAUUUUUAAAUAAAAAAUAUUAUAUUUAUUUUAAUAAUAUAUUUUUAUUUAUCAUAAAAAUAUUAAAUAAAUCUUUGGGGUUAAAUAGAAUUUAAAAUUAAUAAAACACAUCUCAUUAAUAAAAUAUAUCUCAUGUACUAAUAAUAUUGAAAUUAUUUUAAUAUAAAAUUUAUUUUAAAAUAAAAAUAAAUUUAGAAUAUUGAAAAAUUUUAUAAAAUUUAUUUUAAUAUUAUGUUCUUAUUUAUUAUAAAAUUUAGUCUAAUAUAAUGUAAGAUUGUAAAGUAUAAAAAUAUUUUCCUAAAUUGAAGUUGUUUUAAAAUGUUAAUAUUUUAUGUUUAUUUCAAUAUUAUAUUUCUAUUUAUUAUAAAUCAUAGGAGUCAAUUUUUUUCAGUUAAUAGAAUCAAAGGGUAUUAUAGUCAAAAGAGGUAUUGGUAUUCCUUAUUAAAAAUUUAGGCGUCUACAUGACUAUUUCCCAAACCUUAGGGUGUAACUUUCUUUUCUCCAAAAUUUAUGAUUCUCUGUAGGUAUUUCAUGAAGGAAAACGAUAUUUACACUGAAUCAAAUCCCGAACUAAUUAAAAUGCACUAUUUCAGCUUAAAUAAUGGUAAAUAUUUGUUUAGUCUCUAUAUUUUGAAUUAAGUACCGUUUAGUCCCUCAAGACACCUUUUUCAGUAAGCACAAUAUAAUCCUACCCUUACUUUUUCUUUGAUUCUAUAAUAACAUGCUUGCAACAAUAUUUUUAGAUAUGUUAAUGUAAAGAAAAAUUUAAAUUUAUCAAAUCAGCCUUAAAAGAAAAAUACAAAUUAGUUGUUAUUAUUAUUAAUAAAAUAAUAAAAUAAUAAAAUAAUAAUAACAAUAAUUAACAUUAAUUAAAAUAAUAAAGUUAAUAUAUUAUAUAAAAAAUAAUAUUUACAUUUAUCAAUUUUUCAUGUGUUCAAAAUUUUUUAUGUGAUAUUACAUUAUUAUCUUUACACCAUCAAUCAUUUUUAUGAUCAAGUUAGGCUAAUGGAUCAAACUUUAAAAAAUUUAAAACAAUAGGAGUUAUAUAAAUAAAUAUUUAAAAAAUUUUGUUUUUAUGAUAUUAUAAUAAACGGUAGAGACUUAAGUGUUAAUAACCAAUUGAACACGUUGAACACUUUAGCUAUUAGAUCUGGCUAAAUUAGAAAAAGACAAAAUUUAGGGUACCGUGCAACUGUUGCAAGGUAGGCGGACCCGUUAUAUUUAAUAUAGAAUAAAUAAACUAAAUAUGUGUAAAGAAUCUAGGUUAGUAACCUUGCAAUACUUCAGAAAAUUAUAAAAUACAAAAGGUGAAAUUUCAAAAUAAGGAAUUGUAAAAAGUGUUAGGUUCUAAAAUUUUAUUAUUUUAAUAUUACAAAAAUUUACUUUUUUAUUACAUUUUUAUUUUUAAUAUUAGUUGACAUUUUAGUUUAUUUGUAUAUAAUAUAUGUUAAUUUACCUAUAAAAUACUAAUAUUACUCUUGAAAUUUAAAGAAGUCAUUUUAAUUUUUAAAAAUUUUAAAUGUAGCCCAACAAAGUCAUAGAAAUAUAAAUAAAGAAUAACAUAAAAGGAAGUUAAUUUAAUUUUUUUAAGAAUAUUUCAAAAGCAUUUGAGUUUUAUGUUUCUUGAGAAUUAUACCAUUUUUUUUUAGAUAUUUGAGCUUGUGAAACUUGUUGUAAUGAUAAUUUAUUAUUUAUUCUUGAUUAAAAAUAAUUGAAUAGUAAAUUUAUUGGCUUCUAAUUACUCUUUUAAAUGUAGGGUGGUUGCUUAAUUUUUAUUAUGUUUCCUUAAACUUUUUGAUGAUGGCUAAUCAACCAUUGCAAAAGACUCUACCUGAUUAUUGUUUCCUUAAACUUUUUGAUGAUGGCUAAUCAACCAUUGCAAAAGACUCUAGCAUGAUUAUUUUUACUUUCUCUACAUCCCUCUAGACCAUCAUCACUCAAAGAAUUAAGGGUUCACUUGGCAUACUGUAUUAUACUAUACUGUAUUGCAUUAUUUAAUAUGGGUAUAUUGUAUUAUGUUAUAUUACAUUAGUAAUAAAUUAUAAUAAUAUUUGUACAACAUUUGGUAAUUGGUAUUACAUUGUACUGCAUUAAUUUUAUAUUAAUAUUAAACUAACAUUAUUUAAAUUUAUUAUUAAUUAUAUUAAAUUAUUAUUUUUAUAUUAAUUAUUUUUAUAUAAAUAUAAUAUGAUAUAAUAAAAUAAUAUGAUAGUAUAAUUUACUUUUAUGUUUUUAUUUAUUAUAAUAAAAAUAAAAAUAUAUUUAAUGCUCAAUUAAGGUAAAAUAAUAAUAAUAACAAUAGUAUUACUUAAAAAAAAAUCUAUAAAGUUUAAUGAUGAUCAUGAUGUUGACGACAUUAAUAAUAACAUAACAAUUAAAAUAAUAAAACUAAUAAAUUUUAAUAAUGUUAAUAUUAAUAAAAUAAUAAUAACAAUAAUUAACAUUAAUUAAAAUAAUAAAGUUAAUAUAUUUUAAUAAUAGUAAUAAAAUUAAUAUUAAUGACAGUAAUAAAAUUAAUAAAUAAUAAUAUGACUUAAUUAAAAUAAUUAUAACAAUUAAAAUCAUAAAUUUUAACAAUAAUAAUAAUAAUAAUAAUAUUAUUAUUAUUAAUAUAAUAAUAAUGACAUUAAUAAAUAAUACUAAUAAUAACAUUCAAAUUUUUUUUAAAGCUAUUUUAUCCCAAAAAAGGGACUUAUAUAUAAAAUUUUGUAAAUUCUAGUGUCUAUUCAAAAUUUUCAUAAAAUAUAAGAUAGUGCAGUGUAAUUAAUAAAAAAAAGACAAAAUGAUAUGCUGCAACCGUUGCAACAUAUUUUCAUCCUUGUUUGUGAUCCUUAAUCAAUAAAAUAUCUGACAAUAUCUUCGCCAAAAGUUUAAGACAUGUGAUCCUUAUUCCACAGCGUCAAUGAAACUCCAGUCAAAUGCUGCCAUCAUUAUUGAACAGUCGAUAUCCAGCACGUGCACGAAGAUUCCAAGAAGUUGCAUGGCUAUCGACUUUUAGAUGCUAAGCCUCAUUGCGUUGAUGAUACACAAAACAGACGGUCAAGGUAAUUGCCAAAACUUAGAACUAAACAGUAGCUUAGUCAGAAAAUCAAACGCCAGUACCGGUAAAAUGACCGAUAAAAAUAUAAGGACAUAAAAAUUUUAAAGUUUUACUUUAUUGCUUUUUUAAUCUUAUUACUAUUUCUCCUUGCACUUCUAAAGAAACCAAAGCUUUAAAAGAAAUCAGCCAAAUCACAAAGAUUGAAGAGUAAAUCUAUGGUUUUAAAUUUUUAUUUUAUUUUUUUAGAUAAUAGAUAUUAUUUUGAUGAAUUUUUUAAUAUUAGAAUAAUGUUAGGAAUUCUAACAGUAGAAUUCUAACUUGGAACCCAAUUGAUAUGUGUCAUUUUUUCAUUGGAUAAUGAAUUUCAUCACUAGUAAAAUUAAUAUUUGGAUCAUCUAAUAAAUGACUACCAUAUCAAUUGGGACUCAAUUAUUGGGAUCCUUAAAAUUGCUCUUAGUAUUAUAUUGGACAUCUUAGCUAAAUCAAAUUAAAAAUUAAAUUAGAUUUUAGGCUUUAUUCAACAUCUCUUUUUGUCUUUUUUUUGGUCUAUUUGAAGUGAACGAAAUAAAAAUACAAUAGGGUCAACGACUGGGCAAUUGAUAGUCAAGUAGAAGCAAAUCAAGGCUAAAUGGGAAAGAGAAAUUAUAUUAGUGCAAAACAAGGAGAAAAACAGUGUAACAGAAGAGAAUCAAAGUGCUUUUGAGAUCAGAAAUUGAAACAAGAAAAGGGUCGCUUGAUCCAAUGAAAAUGCAAAGAGCUGACGGCAAAAGGGAAUAAAGUUAAAUAAGAAAAUAGCUAGCGCUAGCAGCAACCACAAUAAACAGAAAAUUUGAGAUGGAUUUACAAUAUUUCUGCCUUUCUUCAUGCUUUAACAAAUAUUGCUUUAUAAAAAAAAAGAAAUUGAGCGUUUUUAUUAUUGGAGUCACAAAAGACCUACACAAUAUAGCAAGUGACUGGGAAUAAAUAAAAAUAUAUAACUGAUAAGUGCAUAUUUUCCAUAUAUUUUGUUAUUAAUUUCUCCAUCUUUUUCUUGAUUUGAUCUUAAAUAUUCUAGUUAUUUUAGUUAAUUUUUAAUUAAUUGUAUUAUUUUAUUGAAUAGGGAAUUAAUUGGAGAUUGUGGAUAAAAAGGGCAUGAAGAAAUUCAAAUUGAGAAGGAAUAAGGAUUAAAUUGGAAAAGGAUUUCAAUUAGAAUGGAAAAAGGAUUUCUUUAUUCUUGUUGGAGAAGAAUUCGGUCAACUAGCUUUAUAAAAGGGGAGCUGCUGGAUGAAAAAAAAGGAGGAGAAUAUUCGGCAGCCAAGAGGAUUUGAGGAACUAGCAGCCGAAAGAAGGAAAAGCAAGGGAGAAACCGAAAAGGAAUUGAAGAAAAAGGCAGCUGCUUGAAUUAAUCUCCAUGAUUGGUUUUGUCAAUUCUCUUAUUUCCAAUUCAAUUAUGUUAGGCUAGAUUUUUAUUUGGUUGAGGGUGAAUUCAAAACCCUAAACAUGCUAUGCAAUUAAAUUUAAAUUCUAUCAUUUAAUUUAUUUAAUUGAGAUUGUUUAUGUUCUUCUAUAAUUAAUGUUCAUGGUUUGUUCUUGUUUUAUUUGAGUGGCCAAUUAGAUAGGACUUGAAUAAAUUUUAUUGCUAGAUUAAAAUUCUUGAUCCGUAAUUAUCUUGAUAUUUUAAUUAUUAGUAACAUGUUGGAAUUAGUGAUUUCAAUUAAAGAACAUAACCUAGGUUAAAUAAUCCGAGCUUGUGUGUUUAUUGCCUAGAUCAACCUAAUAUCUUUCUCUGUUUAAUGCUUCCAUUAUCUUAAAUUUAAAGAGCUUGUUUUAAAUUAUUUAAUGGUUAGAGAUUAGGUGAAGAGCUUAUUUUGCCUAACGACACACUAAGGAAAGAUUGAGACUAACAGAGCUUAUUGUUGUCUACGGUUGAUAGUUUUAAUAUAAAUUAAUGAUAGAAUUGAUAUAUUAUGUGCAUGUUUGGUGGUGGCGAAUGAUCCUUUAACCAAAGUUUUCAUCAUUAAUAUUUCUUUCUCCUUUAAUUAGAGUUUUUAUUAAAUUCUUGUUCGUAGUUUUAAUUUCUUUACUUCUUACUAUUUAGUUAAAAAUUCAUAAACCCCCUCUUUUAUUUAUAAUUGGUAAUUUCCUUAGUUAGAUUAAUUUAUAUUAUUAUUACUACUAUUAUUUUAUUUUAAAUCUUGCUUUAGAGUUGAUAAUAAAUAUAACUACAUAGUCUUUGUGGGAUCGAUCCUUACUCGCUCUGUACUAAUUAUUUAUAUUAGUGGUAAGGUUAUAAAUUUGGUGCACCUUAACGACACUACCAAAUUUUUGUAACUCUCUCUCUAAUUCUCACUCUAGCUUUUAAUUGUCACUCAAAACCCAGAAUUCAUCCUUAAAGUGUAAGCAAAUCAGAGAUGACAACGUCUGGCUGUCAUACGUGCCUUUUAGUUUUCGGAUGACAUGGCGUACACUUCUUCUGUAAACCGAACACGACAUGUCGUACUCUUUGUUUUGAGAUCAUAUUUCAAACUCUUCAUGCUAUGAAUGAAAGAUAAACUACAAUCAUAAACAUAUUUAGUGUUUAUUUGGUAAUGUAACGUUAUAGUUGUUGUGAAUUGAAAUUAUUUCUGUAAAAUAAAAGGAAUAUUUAUAAUAGUAUAAAAGGAAUAUUAAUAGAGGAUGUAUUAAUAUAAAAUUUGUUUAUUGGUGUUGAAGUUAAUUAUCUCAUUAAUAAUACUAUAAAAAUUUUAAUUACUAAGAAACACAUAGCAGUAGUUAAUUGGUGUCAUAUUAUUGGGAUUCAGGGAUAUAAUUUUAUAUCAUAACUUUGUAAGUGUAUAAUUACUCAUUAAAUUAAGAAAAUUAUUUAAAAAUAUUUAGUUGGAAAAAAUAAAUUAUAUUCUUUUUAUUUCAAAUAAUCUAUAAGUUAACUCAAAACAUAAUCAAGCUGAGAAUUAAAAUAAUGCUACUAUAUGAGAGGAUUUUUAUUUUUUCCCGAAGUUUCACUAGGAAAUUAUUGAUAUAUAGCUUUAUUCGGAUCAUCUCAGUUCAAACAACAAAUAAUUGAAAGACUAAGCUAAAUAGACCAGCCAACAACUUUGUGCAAGAGAGUUCAAAAAUUAAGGUCAUGGUAUUGAGGUGUUCUGUCUUGAAAAGUACAGCAUAGUGAUAAAAUAAAAACUAUUAAUCUAUGGUAAGGUAUGACUUUUAAAUAAUAAUUUUCACAAAAAUACAAAGAAUAUUUAUAAAGUACUUCUAUAGUGAGGAGAUCCUUACUUUGUUAAAGUAAAAAUAUCAAUAAUAUAAAAAAACAUAUAUUUUAACACAUUAAGAACUGUAUUUUCUUAAUCUAUUGGUGUAUUGAAAUAUGUGUUAUUUAGUUUGUUAGUGACAUCAUCACUUUGUUAAAAUAAAGAUGUCGUCACUAGAGAAUCAUUAUAUAUACAUAUAUAUAAAGUGUUUCUCUCCAAAACCUAGACUUUAUUAAAAUUUAAGAAAGCAAAUAUAUUUUAUAUGGUAUAAUAGUGUAAUAACAUCACACAAUUAUAUCAUAUAGAGUAAUAGUUUUUGGAACUUUAAUAAAGUUCAAGAUUAUAGAAUGAAUGAUUUAUAUAUAUUAUAAUUUUUUUAUCAUAGAGUGGAGGACAAAAUUAACAUAUUUUCUAAAUUAUAAUAAGUAAUUAUCAAAUAAUUUAACAUUGUAUUUCUCCUAACUAGUAUAGUAAAUAUGACCUAGGAGGUACAUUCAAAGCAUUUCAUAAGUUAGUUGUUAAUAAUAAAUGAUACAUGCAGCUCCAAUCAUCAUUGUACGGUGAGUAAUUUCCAGUUAUAAAUAGAUAUUACUCCCUUCUCAGCAAUUUUUUAUGGCUUAAUUUAGUGGGAUCAAAUCAAAAUCAACAUUGAAUAGUCAAAAUAUUAAUGACCAAACAGACCCAGAUAGAAUAAUAUUAAAUGUAGUUAUCUCAAACAAGAUAGAAUAAUAAUUGAUAAGGUAGGUGUAUGAGUGUGUGUGAUGUGUACUCUUUAUGCCAUUGUGUAUAUAUAUAUAUUUGUUUUUUUUUUCUAUUUCGCGUGGUUCCACCAUGCAUAAUUGAAGGGCUUCAAAUUCUUAAACGUUCGGUCACCGAAAUUGAAAUCCCAAUGGAACAAGUAAUUAAGCAUGUUAAUUCAACAAGAUUCACUCCCUUUAUUACUUAAAAGUUAUUUUCGCUUUUGAUAUUGAUACUUAUUUUUACAUUUGCAUGCACUAGGGCAGACGCGAAGCUAAAGGUGGGCUAACCCAGGCAGCAGCCUCGGUUAGCUUUUUGAAAAAAAAUAAUUAAUUAUAAUUUAUAAAUUUAUUUUAUUAAUAUAUAUAAAAAAUAAAAAUAAAUCUAAUAUUUGAUAAUAUUUUUCUUAUUUACAUUGUAUUUUUAUAAUUUUAUGGUUAGAUUUUUAUGUAUAUAGUGUGCUUAAUUUCGUUUAUAUAAAACAAAUUUUUUGAAAAGUAAAUUUCAUUUUUUAAAAAAAUCUAGCCCACCCAAAAAAAUACGCUAGCUUCGCCACUGCACUAGGGACAUAUUAAUCAGGUGGGUUAUAUUACAACCAGAGGAUUUAAAUUUGAUUUAAGAUAUGUGGGGUCUGCUUUUGGAUUUAGAAAAUUUGCCCAUUAAGAGUUGAAACCAAGUGACCUACCGUUAGAUUAGAUUAAUAGUGAUUUCUUGUAGUAAACAUUUGUGAAUUUGAAAUAUGUGAAUUCUAUCCUGGUGAUACAAAACAAGCUUCUUGUACACGAGAACUAUUUGUUUUUAUGAUUUGGAAACCAAUCUAUAAAGAUGAAUUAAGUUGGCAUAAUGGUACAAAGCAACUUUAAUUUUUCAAUAAAUUCAAAAGUUGGCAGGUUGGUUGUGAUUAUUAUCUUUUCUUUUUUACUAUUUAAACUACAAUUAAUUGAAUCCAAAGACUAAAGGGUUGGAUCGAGAAGAAACUAAUUUUAAGUAGACAUUCCGGCGAAAAUCACUCCCAUGAUCGAGACACUCAUGCAAUCAAUACAAAAAAUGGACACAAAAAUUGUCUACUUAAGUUUGGUUGAAUGAUUUUAAAAAUAGUUUUAUUUGUUUCACACUCGAAUUUGUAUUUUGAAAAAGAGUGGGAGUUAAAAAUUGAUUUACACUUUAUCAAUUACUCUAUUUUAAAAAGAAAUAAAUAUUAAAAAAAUAAAAACAUUAAUUUCUUGUUUGUUUGUACUUACCAUUGUAGGAUAAAUAAAGUGGUUGACAAAAAUUAGAUAUCUUAAAAAUAAAUUCUAAAUUUAUAACUAAUGUAUAAUGAUUUCAAUUCACAUGUUUCAAUCCCAAAUAAAUUCUCCUUUGGUUAUUUGAAUCUUAGCACGGUAAGAUUUCAUUCUCUUGUAUGCAUUUGUGUAAACUUCUCCCUUUACCUUUAUCAUUUUAUCAACUGUAUUGAUUGCCAAACAACUUUAGGGUUUAGGCAUGAAUCACACAAGGGAAUGAUAUUGUGGCAAUUUUUUCCCCCUUCUUUCUUCUUUUUGAAAAAAAAAAUUAAUUAUAGCUUUGCUUUGAUGGGUAGAAGACUAGAAGACCAAUUAAUUUCUUUUUGUUGCGUGGUGAUAAUAAUGGUGAAAAUUGCUAUGUGCGUGUUGGUGAUUGCAUUGCUAAUCACAUAUUGCUUCCCAUCAUGGAGACAAAGGGGACCCCUCUAUCAAAGCUAGCUGUUGAAAUAUCAUACCCAAAAUCACAUGAAUUCAAAGGUUGAAUGGGAAAACGAUCUUGCUUCUUUGUAUGUUUUAUUUUAUUUAAAGACUUAUUUUUCCCAUAAGAGAUAAGCUUGGAUCUAUCUUUCCUUUUAAUCAUUUUAGCCUCCAACUCCCAUCUUUUUCAAAAGUUUCGUUUAGCCCAUUUUGAAUGGCAAGGUAAGCUUCAAUCAACGCUACAAGUUCUAGUGAUUCCCGUCAAUAUUCGAUUGCAUGUAUGUAGCUUUGAAUGCUCAAAUUUAUUUUAUUUAUUAGUUGUUAUCACUUAUCAUUUUCUUUUUAAUAAUGAGAUUUGGGCAUUUUCUUUUUAAUAAUGAGAUUUGGGUCCCUAGAUGGUGAUUAGCCAACAGUCUAGUUAUGAGAAAUUAAUGUCUUAAUUACAAUGACAAAAAAAGGCAAGUGGGGAUCUCAUUUGCCAUUAGGUAACACAACAUCUUCAGCAUUGGAGCUUUUCUUCCUUUCUCUCCUUCUUUCUUUCUUUCUCAAAAUAAUUGAAAAUCUAAUGCAAUACAAUUAAAUUGAUCAACGAUCUAAUUUAAUCAAUACAUUAUAUUAAGAUAUUUAAAAUAAAAUCGGUUCAAAUGGAAUGAGAAAUUCUACUCACAAAAUAACAACAUUUAUUCCCGAAUUCAAAUAACCUUGGAUUCCAAAUGCAUUCAAGACUAGCCAGGCUGCAUAUCCAAGAAGAAAACAAAAUCAAAACUUUAGCCACAAACAUAUACGUGUGUGUGUAUGUGUGUGUGUAUAUAUGUGUGUGUGUGUCUGUGUAUAUAGAGAGAGAGAGAGUUCUUUCACUAGGUUCAUUUGCGUGAAACUUUUUGAUCAUUUAGGUUUAAGACUAUAUCAUAUAUCCUAUUGCAUGAACAUUGAUUAAUAUGAAUGAGUCAAACCCACUAAGCUUGUAACAAAAUCUUUUCAUAGUUACUAGAGAAUAUUUAUAUUUUUUUCAAACAUUAAUAAAAUUAUUGAAUUGCUUUAUUUAUAGUAUGUAUACAAUUAAUAGUGUAUGGAUUUUUUUAUCUAUUGGUAUAUUGAAAUAUGUGUUAUUUAGUUUGUUAGUGAUAUCAUCACUUUGUUAAAAUGAGAAUGUCCUUACUAGAGAAUCAUUAUAUAUACAUAUAUAAAGUGCUUGUGCUUCUAUCCAAGACCUAGAUUUUAUUAAAAUUUAAUAAAGCAAAUAUAUUUUAUAUGGUAUAAUAGUGUAAUAACAUCACACUAUUAUAUCAUAUAGAGUAAUAGUUUUUCGAUUUUUUUAAAGUUCAAGAUUAUAGAAUGAAUGAUUUAUAUAAAUUAUAAUUUUUUUAUCAUAAAUGGAGGCGAAAAUUAACAUAUUUUCAAAUUAUAAUAAGUAUUUAUCAAAUAAUUUAACAUUGUAAUUUCUCCUAACUAGUAUAGUAAAUAAUAUGACCUAGGAGGUACAUUCAAAGCAUUUCAUAAGUUAGUUGUUAAUAAUAAAUGAUAUAUGCAGCUCCAAUUAAUCAUCAUUGUACGGUGAGUAAUUUCCAGUUAUAAAUAGAUAUUACUCCCUUCCCAGCAAUUUUUGAUGGCUUAAUUUUGUGGGAUCAAAAUCAACAUUGAAUGUCAAAAUAUUAAUGGCCAAACAGACCAGCUGCCAACAACUUAUUCCAAUGUGAGUAGUUCACAGUGGGUACUGCACAUGAUGCUUGUUUCUCCUUUUGCAUCUAUUUUUGUUGUUAACAUUAAUUUCAAUAGCAGCUCUUUAAUCCCAAUUGUUGAUUUGGGACUAGAUAAGAAUUUAUCUUGGAACUCCAAUUCUCCCAAUUAUUUUAGUUGACAAUAUGUUUAACAUUAUUUUUUUAACAUUAUUAAUUACAUAUUAUUUAAUUAUCAGUAUAUAAUAUUCUUUAAUUUUCUAAUUUUAUAGGAUUAGACACAAAAUUGAUUAUGCCUUUUGAAAUUUAAGGGUUAUGUCAAUUGAAUAGAAAACUUGGAGUUAAACUUGUGGAUGUUUUUGUUGAUUAUCAAUUUAUGCAUGAAUUUUUGUACGUUUAUUUGGCUUAUUAUUAUUACUUUUAAACAUUUUUAUUGGUUUGAUUUAGGGUCAGUUUGGUAAUUCUAUAGCUUUUAAAAUAAUUACAGUUAGCUAUGCUGUAGAAAUUGAUCAAUCGUCAAGAGAAUCAGCUGAACAUUUAGUAAAAUUUAUUUUUAAAAGUACUUUUAGUUUUAAAAGCGUCGCAUGUGUUUCGUAAGUUAUAUACAUUGCUGAUUCUAUAUUAAUAAUGUUAUGUUCUAUUUUCAGAAAUUAUAAUACAAAAGUUUUUACAAUGGCGUGCAUCUACAAACUGAAUUGACUUGUAGAAUAAGAGCUUGGAGUAGUGUUAUGUUCUUGAAUAAAUGAAAGUUCAUAUGGUGUAAGAGCAUGUAGAUGUAAAGUGUCAUUACCAUUUCUAUAAAGGACUUUCAUUCUGUUCGGAUGCUCCUCUUGAACUCUGAAGGGUGCUUCAUUCAUAACACACAUAAUUUAUGCCAGGGAAGAGAAGAUGCCAAAAAAGUUGAAGGUGAUCAUUCAUAACUUUUCAGAAAGUUGUUGCAAAACAGAAAUCACCCAUCACGAUCGGUCGUACAAGUGUCUGCUACGAGUGCAGCAAAACGUUUGUCACGCUAGUUGUGCUAAAUGGACCUCUCCUGUGUGCCUCUAAAAUCAAUGCAUGUGAUCAUGUCGGUGAUUCAAUGGCUGGUGGGGAUGAGUCCACUCAAAUUCUGAAACUAAUCAGGUGAAAUAUAAACCCUUUUUGUCUCCUUCUUUAAUUGUAUGUUUUACUAUCCAUGUUUUACCCAAAAAAAUUGUAGGUUUACACUUUGCAAUCAAAUUUUGUAGUUGUGCUUUUUUCUUGCUUUUAUCCUAAUAAGCAAAAAAUCUAAUUAAUCCUAAUUAAAGGUGUUUUAAAAUUUAAAUAGAGAAAGUACCAUUGAGAUUUGAGAGAAAAUGAAUCGAUUGAUUUACUUCACAGUAUGAAUACACAGAGAGUUCGCUUGCUUUAUAUGCAGUAAUCUAACCAACUUGUUAACUAAGCUACUAUUCCCAGCAAAUCAAGCUAACCAAUCCCACUACUCAGCUUGUCUACUACAGAUCACAGAACCACUUGGGCUGAGCCGUAAUUCCAUGUCAUCAGUCUGUGCAACAACCUCAUUGAUCACUUGUUGUGCUGACUAUCGAACAACAGUGUGCCUCUUUAACAUAAUAGACUAAGCUCGUAUGCAUAGGAAUGGAUCUUUUAUUAUUGUCAUUAACUAUCUGUCCCUAAGGGUUUGGUUGAGUGAUUUAUUCCUUUAGUUGGCCCUCCCAAUCUUUUGGAUUGUUAUUGUCAUUAAAUAUCGGUCCCUAACUGCGUGAUGUAAGUACUUUCUAGAAGAUAUCUAAAUGGUAAAGCGACAUUACCAUUUCUAUAAAGGACUUUCAUUCUGUUCAGAUGCUCCUCUUGAACUCUGUAAUUCAGAUCCUAGCUAUAACUACUAGCUUUGAUUAAUUAAUUUCCUGUACUAGCUGAAACAGAUUUAUUUAUUUAAAUAAUUGUGUAUGUACUAAUUAUAAUGAAAGUAUAUGAAGAAAUUUUUUAACAUGAAUGACUUCUAAAUGACUUAAAAACCUAAACAAAUAAUGCUCAUUUCACUUGAACGAGCCUAUUAAUACUUGUAUGUCUAUGAUUUUUAAUAUUGGCUUAAGCGUUUCAGUUAAAUGGUUUACAUAAGAGGGAAAAAAAUUUAAUGGAAAACUUUAGAGUUCUAACAGAAAUAUAAUUGACUAUGCAGAUAUAGUUAUUUUAUGGUAUACAAAUCAUGUUGCCUUAAUCUCAAUGUCCUAUGACCUAUUUUAUUUUAUAUAGUCAUUCCUUUUGGCCAUGGCUUUUUGUUUUUAUGAGUACGGAAAUAGUGGGAUUUGGUGUAUCUUAGCAUCUUUGGAAAAUUCUCUUUAAAUGUGGCAAACAAAAAUAUACAUAUAAUCAAGUUUCUUAAUCAACUAUCAUAACUGGCUAGCUAGUUCUUGCCUGCCUUGCUGCCAUUACCCAGGCCAUUACAUUGCAUAGCAUAAGGAAUAGUGAUUAGGUGAUUAUUAGUGACUCGUUGAGCUUAUUAUUGACCAAACAAAUAUAUUUGCCUUUACCCACAACUUAGUUUGAUUAGUUAUUAGACCAUAAAGAGCGUAAAUCUGUUCAUUGGCUUUGUUAUUUUUGUUUGGUUUUUCUUUCAACAAUACUGUUAAUUUCUUAUAAAAAUAUUCAUUGGUUUUUAAACACCUAAUCAUUGGCUAUAAUGAAGCUAAUUGAAACUGAGGCUUUGGAUCAAUUCCUUCUGGCAAGAUACAAAUGAGCAUAACCUAUAUCCUCUAAGUAAAUUUUUCUAAUAUGCUUGAUUUGUUAGUAUCCGGAGGCUUGAAUCCUCUAGAUUUUUUUAACACUGUCAAUGUUCUUUUUACUCUGAAAAGGGAAAAAAAAGGUUAUAUCUUUCAUACCCUAAUAAUAAGUUGUCCUUGACUUAACAUGCCUUCCUGAGGAUUUGCAAGAUUCACAAGCAGCUCAACAACACCCCCCCCCAAAAAAAAGCAAAUACGAAGAUUUUGCAAGAUUCACAACCAGGUUAUAUUUAAUUUAUUAAUUGUGUGCACGUACUAGUUAUAUGUUGAAAGAAUAGGAAAAAGUAUUUUAACAUGAAUGACUUAAAACUUAUUGCUCAGUAAACUUAAUCUGCAUCAGUGCUAGAUAAUGUAUUUAUUGUUUGUAUUUUUUAUGGAUUUGCUUAAGAAAUGAUAUGCGAAAUAAUGCUAUAUUGUAUUAGGAAUAAAUUGAAGAGAUUUAUGAUAUUUAUGUGUUUUUAAAUUUCAGAUUGAAUUUUAAACUUUCAAUACAUGCAUUGAAAGCUUAGAUCGUUUAAGAAAUUAUUAAUAGACACAUGUUUUAUUAGUGUCAUCUUUGGAUGAUAGCGAGGAUCAUAUGUCUAUUAAUAAUUCUUGAAUUGUCUAGGCUUGAACUGUUUGGGAAUGCAUAGUUUUCUACGGUGGCUAGUAGCUGAAGUUUUUUUCCCACGUAAAAAUGGGUUUUUCGCUAGCUACUUCUCAUCUUCUUUGGGUGCAUACUAGAUAACACAUACACACUCAUAUAUCUAUGUCGUGUGCUAGGAGAACUAUUGGGAGAUGCUGCCGAAAUUCCUAUAAACGUAGAAGAAAACUUUAAAGUACUUGAGAUUGAAGAGACUUAUGCAUUCUUGAGAGGGAUAUAUGGGACCACUUACCUUUUGUAAAUAUGAAGGGAGUGUUGGACAUAUUGAUGGGAGUGAAGGAGCUGAGUUGGAUGGAUGUAAUUGGUUAUGGUUUUGCUGAGUUAACUUGGUUUUGACCUAGUAGUUUUGUUUAUAAAUGGAGUACUAUCUCCAAUGUUGGUUUAUAAAUAUGUUUCAGCUGGCUGACCUAAUUUUUUGUUUCUAGGUAACAGGCUUUAUAUCUGUAAUUGAUAGCCAACCGAAGUUCUCAGCUGUGGGUGAGGAUAUUUCUUUACAGAAGGUAUUGGAAACUGUUUUUUACAUUAAUUAUUGUGGUAUUUAUACUUGAAAAUCUUUUUCUCUGAUUCUUGUCGCUUUGCUUGCUUUCAUAUGUAUAAAUUCUAAUGAAAUUAACCAUAAAAUUGUAUAAUGAUUUUUUUUAAUUAUAUUGCAAAACUGUGCACACACGAAAAUAUCUUGGUCAUUAGUAGAAAUGAAGAACUAAAAUGAUUUAUCUAACUAAUUUUUGUAGUGCAUUAAAAGGAGAUGAAAAUGGAGAAGAGUUGGGUUGGUUUGGCAAAUAGAUAUCCAAGUUAUAGAUUUUGUAUUUGAGAAUGUUGUUGGUAAUGCAAGAAUUUAUUAUCCUUGUAAGGAGUGUCGAAUAUUUUGUUUUAAGGGAAGUAUCAAGAGACCAUAUCAUUAUAAAUGGUUUUUGGUUAAAAUAUUAAAACUGGAUAUUGCAUAGUGAGCCAUCUUCAUCUUUGGAAUCUAGCCAAGAAACAAGUUGGUCGUGACUCAGGUGCUGAUGAUGAUAUGAUUGGAAUGAUACAUGAUACAUCACAUAAUCAAAUGUUCAAUUCACACGCAGCAUUGUUAUGGACUAUCAGUGACUUUCUAGCAUAUGCCAACUUGUUUGAGUGGAGUAUUAAAGGUAAAUAAGCAUUUCUUGUUUGCCAACAAAACACUAGAUCUAAUUGGUUGAUACAUAGUCGAAAAUUUUGUCACGUCGGUAAUGUCGAUUUUUACCGACGAAUCAUAGGUUUUGAAAAUAUAGUGCCUUUUGAUAAAAGUAGAGAGUGGGGACAAGCACCUUCUCGGAUGUCUGGAGCUGAAGUGAAAAAGCAGUUGAGUAAUAUACUUACUGAGUUUAAGAUUGAAGACUUGAAAAGAGGAGAAUGAGUAAAAUGAGAGAAAUGAUAAGAUUACUUGGAAGAAGAAAAGCAUAUUUUAUGAACUACCGUGUUGGGAGUCCAAUUUGAUUCAUCAUAAUCUUGAUCUCAUGGGCUGUUUUGAUUUUUGUUAUGAACUCUGAUCAAAAGUUUAAUUUGAUCAAAAUUUCUUAAAAAUAGUGAAAACGACUCCUCCUAAUAACAUGGACGAUGGCUAUAACAGAUAAAAGGAAAGGAUUAAAAAGAAAAGCUAUGCCUGUUAAAAAAAGAAAAAAAAUUGGUGGCGUCAAGUUUAUAACAAAAAUUAAAACGGUGCGUUUGAGAGUGUAUAAAAUACAUUUAGAAUGGGAGCUGUGUUGUUUUUUGAAGGUAGAAUGAUUGUGAGAUAUUUGUCGACGAAGCCGAAAUCAAAGAUGAAGCCCAUAGAGCUCAAAACUCCACCAGAGCAAACUCAAGACAAUUAUUGACAUAGUCAAUGAUUGUAUUUGACAUAGUCAAGGAACAGGGUCCUCUCACUGUUGUCGAAACAUGGGAACGCGUCAAGGUGUGUGCAUCUGAUUGAGUGUGUUUUACAUUCAAUGAUCACUGAUCAUAAUACUAGUAGUUGUUUUACAUUUUCAGCAAGCAGGAGCGAGUGGAUUGACGGGCAAAAGCCACAUGAAGAUUGAGUGUGUUGAGUAAGCAAAUCCUGUGCACAAGUUGGUUCACCAAACCCAACAACUUGAAGCAACCAAAAUCAGGGAAUGAUCCUUCUCCGUGAUGGAAGUAAAGCACCAGUGAUGGAAGCUCCUCAGCAUGUAAACUUUUCAACAGUAGCACAGCUCUUAUUCCAGAGGCUGCACAGAAGAGCGACCUGAAUCCUCUUCAAAACUUUCAAAUUUUUAUCAAGUAAAGCUUUCAAAAUUUCUCAGCAAAUAGAUUAUUCAAAUGAAAGAAACACAAGGGAGUGACCUGAAUCCUCUUCAAAUCAGGAAAUUUAUUGCAUAAAUUACAAGAAGCAGUACACACCAAUGGUAAAUUGAUAAAUCGUUUUUUAACUUAAUAUAGUCAAAUGAAAGAAACACAGCGGAGGGUUAAUAUAACACUUUCAAAGCUGCAUUAGUAAUACGUUAAAGUGAAUACCCUCAGCAUGUAAACUUAACUUCAAAGGACGGAGCACAAGUUUCACAGAAAAGUAGCUCUUAUUCCUGAUGCUGCAAACACAGAGGAGUGUCCUCAAUCUUCUUCAUAACUUGGGAAUUCUGCAAUUAUAGAGCACGACAUUGAGCAUGAACUAUAAAAAAUAUUUAUUUUCUACAAUUUUCAUAUAACCUGACUAACCAAGAUUAAUUUUGUGGUAAUGUAUUGGGUCAUUAAUUCAUAUGUUUUUACUGUCAUCACUUUAGAAAAAACUAAUUUCUCAAUGUGAAAUGGCCCAUAAAAAGUAUUCUCAUUUAAAAACUAAAUUUGACAAACCCCUCGAUUAAAGCAGGGGAGAGAAAAGAAAAAAAAAAGAUCUGAAGGCUUUCCACAUGAAAAUGUUGUCACUUUGGAUGAUAUUUUCAAGGGAUUUCAUUCUAAAAAUAAAAUACCUGGGACCUUAUUCUUCAAAUUGACAGCUAGCCCAGUACUAAACGCGUAUGAGAUCAGUACUGUACUGUGACAAGUAACGAGACGACCCCUCCAACAGCUGAAAAUAUAAUUCGGAUUCAUCAAUUUAAAUUAAAAUUCAUAUUAUGAAAUAAAAACUAAUGAUUAAUGAAUUUUCGAGGAAUUUAAUAAGAUUCUCAUAUAUAAACGUGAUAAAAAAUUCUCUCGUCAAUAACAAAUAUUCUAACAGUUACCCGUACCUUUUCUUGAUGUAAUUGUUGUAUGAUUGUGUUAAGGUCAUUAUUAGACCAACGCCGUUUGUCCUCACUCCUUCCGUACCAGACGUUUACUCUCGGAGGCGUGCUUAAUUCUCCUUUGGUGAAAAUCUUCAUCUUGGGACAACUAAUCACCCACAAAUCUUGCAAAGAUGGGAAUUUGAAGGCGUAAUUGCCAGAGGAGAAGCUUGUGAGGCUGUCUAAAUCAAACAGGGACAACGUACUCAAUUUGCUGAAAACAAUCUCUUCUUCUAUAUUUGCUGUUUCAUCUUCGUCACUUAUUACGACUUCUGUGAUUGCUCUGCAUCCAAAUACACCCAAUGAUACGAGUCGCUCUAGACUUUUUGCUGUGGAGGAUGUUAGUAAGUUCAUCAAUUUCUUGCAAGCAAAAGCUUGCAGGCGUGUGAGAUUCCGAAAAGAUACCGAUGAUGAUGGCAAUAGACUUAACAGAUUUUGACAGUGAAAUGCUCUUAGAGUUUGAAGAUGUUGAAAAAUGAAGUCCGGCUGCUUGGAAUCGUGUUUCCAUAGUUGCUGCAGACGAUUAAGUCUGGUCAGGUCUAACCUUUUUAUCAGUGCCAGCUUCCUCGCAUGUGUCUCCAAAUAUCCUUCAUUUGAAAAUACCACUUCGUAUGAACAAUCCGACAGGAAGAGAAGUUCCAGAUUGUGAAACUUCUCAAGUAAACCAAGUGGAAAGCAAGCUAAGUCAUCAUCCCGAACCCGUAGUCGUUGAAGACUGCCAAAGAGGUGUUGUGGGAAAUCGUCUUGCAAAAUCAUCGUGAUGUCUUUUCCACUUAAUGCCAGUCCCUCCAAGUUGGGUAAGAUCUGAUCAUCAUCAAGCACAAAUUAUUAUCUUAGCACAUUGAUCCCUAAUUCCAGACUGGCAAAAUUCAUUGUGUAAUCAAAGUUUCAAUGAUCUAACUAACAUAUAUAUAUAUAUAUAGGUAUUUAUUAAAAUUCAUUGUGUAAUGCCAAAUCUCGUCGACAUUAAUAGCAUUCAGCUCCAAAGCCUCCAAAUUUGGCAACACUGCCUAAAGAUAAUUUUCUCUUUAGAUCCAAUAUCCAUAUAAGAAGUGCUUAUUGAGAGCUUAAUUAGUGAGUGUAUGAGAUUUUUUUUUUCAUUUUCUUUUUCUAAAUGAUUUUUUUUUUUUUUUUUUUUUUUUUGCACAUAUAGCAUCAAAUGCAAGUGCAUGAUAGAAUAAAAAAAAUGCAAUAUCCAUAUGAAAAACACUUGUGUGGGCCAAUUUGGUAUUACAGUUGCUGAUUAAAUAAAUUGCUUCUGCUGUACGGAUGUAAUAAGUAAUUGAUUAAAAAAGCAGGUAGGUGUUUGGUGAAUUAUGUUGUUUCAGUUGAUAUGAGUUUGAAAAGCAGCGUACAUGCGUUUGGUAAAUUUUAUUUUAAACUUGUUAUUUUAUCAUAUAAUGACCAAAAUAGACAUAAGUUUAAAUUACCUUUUAUUUUUUUGAAGUAUGUUUAAUAAUGUUUAGAUGUGUCAUUUUCUUUUUAAAACACGUAAAUUAUAUUAAGUGAAAAAACUUAAUAAUUUCUUACAUAAAAUACGAUAAAAAUUUAUACUAGUAUAUAAUCCAAAUAAAAUAAAAAAGUAAUAUGUAUUACUUUCAAAUUAAACUUGUUGCAAUAAACACCAUGACUAUAGAAAAAAUAUAAAUAUAUUGAAUGUUAAAAGCUAUGGUUAUGAAAUUGAUUUUUAAAGUUAUGAUUAAUUUUCAUGUAUAGUUCAAAAAAAAUUUAUAUAAUUACAUGCAAGUCUUUUUAAAUUUUAUUAUAGAAAAUACAAGUAUAAAUUGUAUAAUAUAAAAAAAAAUAUGAACUUAUUAGAUCAAAACUUUGAUAUUAGAGAGAAUAUAUAGUAGUUGUGGUGGUAAUAUGAUAUCUGAUGACUUAUAUAUUAGAGUGUAUGGAAAUAUAUGACAUAAUUAUCUUUGUUAAAAUAUUAAUAAGGUUAUGAUAGGAACUUUAAAAAGAUAUGGUAGCUUAUUUAAUAAGCUGCUCAUGAAAAGCAAUCUCUAUCUGCUUUUAAAAGUUACUGUCAAAAUGGAGAAAAUUAUAAAAUAAGAGUUUUUAUAAAAUUUACCAAACACUAUUUUUGUCACAGAUUAUGAAAUAGACAGUUUAUUGAGUUUUAACCUCAAUCCCAAACGGGGUCACAAUGCCACAUGAGAAGCACUUAUUGAGAGCUUAAUUUGUGAUUGCAGUUUUUACAAAAUUUACCAAACACUAUUUUUGUCACAGAUUAUGAAAUAGACAGUUUAUUGAGUUUUAACCUCAAUCCCAAACGGGGUCACAAUAGCCACAUGAGAAGCACUUAUUGAGAGCUUAAUUUUGUGAUUGCAUGAGUUUUUUUUAUUUAUUUUCUUUUUCUAAAUGAUUUAAUUUUUUUGCACAUAUGGCAUCAAAUGCGAGUGCAUUAUAGAAUAAAGGAAAAAAAAAGAAAAAGAAUGCAUUAGCCUACGCACCUUCUCGUUAAAAAGCAGAGUUGAAGUAUCCGAACUGAUCUCGUUGGAACUAGCUGUCAAUACCUCUUGUGACUCUUGUCUGUUUGGUGAUGUGGAAGGAGUCUUCACUUCACGGCAAAACCUUGUAACCUUUGGAAGCUUUCCCUGAGUCAAAGAUCUUAAUUGAUCAAACUCUAUCUUUUCAUCAACAUCAACAUCAGCUUCUCCUCCAGUUGCAAAAAUUUCUUCCAUGCUGCUGCAAUUGAUAACUGCAAUCCUCUCAAGUCUUGGAAGGCAUUUUGUACUACGAGAGAGCCAGAAGAUAUUACUCAACUCAUCACAAUUUUCCACUUUUAUGGUUUUGAGUUCAUUGAAGGACUCUUUUUUGAGUCGAUCAAUACAUAUCCUCUCCAUAUUGGUCAAAUUGUGAAGAGUAAGGGACUCCAAAAGAGGAAAGGCGAUACAAGGUUCCAAUUCUAAAACAACAUUCCUGAUUCCUUGCAACUUAUCCAAACAUAAGUAUUCAACGUUAUUGAUGCCCUGCAACUUCUUGGAGCAAAUGGCCAUAGAAUCAAGCUUGAGCUUCAAUGUUCUUAAACUCUCAUGAUUACUGAUCAUAAAGUGCGGCCGACUUUGAAACCAGUCCUUCCCAAUAACAUUGGUAGAGUCAAAAGAUCCAUCUCCUAUUGAUAUAUCAAACCUUUCCAGCUUUUUGGUAAAAAAGCCAUCUGGUAAAAUGCUAUCAUUUUUAACAUCUAUUUUUAAGGCGGUCAGUCGCUGCAAAUGCAUCAAUUCAUCGAGGCUGGCAUUACUUCUUUCACUAUUGGCUUUUCUCACUUCCCAUUCAAUAGAGCAGUUACCCAUAUACAGUUCUUCCAAUCGAGUGAAGCUUGAUAAGAUAUUGGGCACAAUAAAUUUUAGUUGCAAGCAAUCUGUUAAAUCUAGCAUCCUUAACUUAGUCAGUUGACCUAGUUCGUCAGGCAACAGUACAAUAUCAGACUUUACAAAGCUAAGGAUUUCUAGAUUCUUCAACUUUCCAACUAUGGCUAUGUCUCCCAACAUGCUUUGAUCAAGACACGGUGUUUGAAGAUUUGCUAGAAGACCGAUUGAAGAUGGCAAUGAAAAUAAUCGCACUCUUGUCAAAUCUACGACUCGAAGCUUUUUCAUCCCUUUGAAAAAGUUGUCAGGAAUAUUGACCUCGGAAAAAGUGAUUUGGGGAUCAAUAUAUAAAAAUUCAAGUUGCAGACAUUCAAAUUCCUCAGAGACUUCAUGAAUGCUACUAUUUAAUAAAGAGAUUGCAGAGCAUUUUUUAAGUGCAUCCUCAUCAGGCCACUCCCACACAACCUCAUUUCUCACCAAGAAAACAUGUUGGUCUCGACAUGCAAUUGAUACGGCAACAUCGCAGACAACAUCAUGCAUGGAAAAUUGUUCACUGCUAUCACCCUCAAGCAAUAAACAAGAGUCUCUAAGUUCAUGGACCAAUGCAUAUAAUUUGUUUCGUGCAUCUACCAUCCUGUUGACUCCUUGAAAUAUGCCCAAACCCAUGGAGUAUUUAAACAAGUCUGUAAACCAAAAACUGUUACCUAUUAGACUACAGAGCAGAAAAAUUUUCUUGAGUUGCUCACCUUUUAAAUACUUGAAACUCAGUUCAAUACUUGAAUAAGUCUCUGCAGGCACACCUUCGAAGUUUACCACUGAAGGCGUUUGGAGUUCUCGCAAGGCAUUCUUCCACUCAUGCAGACUCUUGUUUCUCAGUGCCCUCGCUACUGUAGUCAAGGCAAUGGGCAAACCUCCACAUGCCUGGGCUACAUUAAUUGCUGUAGACUUGAACUUACAAUUUUCAACAUCAUCACUAUUCAUUAUCUUCAACAAUCUCCAAGCUUCUUCUUCAUCUAGAUUGCCAAUCAAGAAGUUAUCUUUGGAGCCCAUACUUAAUAGUACAUUAUUGUCUCUUGCUGUCAGCAGUAGUCUACAUCCUUUAUGAUCAUUUCCGAAGGGACUUCCAACCGUCUCCAAAUCAACAUGUUUCCAGAUAUUAUCUAGAAUCACAAGAAUCUUAUUCUCACUCUUCAAUCGUUCAUACAGCUUGCUAGCUCUUCUAUAUUCAGCUUCAUCGGACAACUUCUCUGCAAUUUCCCCUCGAAUCUUUUUUACCUCUGGAGUUUAUGAAACCUCUGAAAAAACCACCCGAUCAAACAGCUUCUUUUCCCUGGCUUGCCUAGCAAACUCCUUCACCAGUGUGGUCUUUCCAAUGCCGCCUAUGCCGUACACCCCAAUAAUGCUGACAUUCGCCUCCGUCAAUGCAUUUUUUAUAGACUGCAAAGUAGAAAGUCUUGAUUCGAAGGCCUCGUAACCAUUGCUAGACUUAAGCCAUAUCUCCUCCCGAAUGGUACGGUGGGAAACAGUAUCAAACUUCUUAACUUCUUCUCCAAGUCAAUAAUGGCCUUCACCUCCGUCUCUGCUUUCUUGCCAAGCUGAUAGCGGGUCUUCAAAUUAGGACACAAGCCCUUGAGACAGCGCUUAUUUGUUGACUCCUCAUCUUCAAUGAAUUUGGCUGCCGGUCAAUGAUGCCGUUCGCACUAACCUGCCACUUUUCAACGUUCUCUUCAAUCUCUUCCCCUUUUUCUUCCGCCUCUGAAACUCUGUGCUGAAUGCUCGUACGUUCAACCUUCAACUUCUCCAUUUCCGCCUUGAUAUUCUCAAAGUUGGCAUUGUAGUUCCGCUUUCGCAAAUGCACAAGUUGGCGUUCAGUUGGAGGAGCCAAGCAUUUUACAAGUUCCAAGACGAUAGUCACAAUGAUUUCCAGCAUCUCGAAUCCUGACAAAAACGUAGAAGCGAAGAAAGCCAAAGGAAAGUAAAAACAAAGAGACAGCGAUAGGACAGGCAGUUCGUGUUUUUCAGAUGAAAUGCAGGAAACAAGAAAACGGUUUCUAUCACGACGUAAAGAGCUAAAAGAGCUGAUGGGUGCAGAAUAAGAAAUGAGACUGAGUGAGCAAAGCUAAAUAAUAACAGAACAAGAACAAUGAUGAAUAGAAGAAACAGUAGCAAAGAGCCGUUUAGAUGAUUAGAAUGAAACUAAGCGACUGGAAAGAGCCGAUGGUAGACUAAAGAGAAAGUGAUUGAUUAUUUUAGGAGGCCAAUUAACGUAAUGACAGAUCCGGUUUCGAUGUUUGUAAUUUGAGUAUGAGGUAAAUCGAUUCUUUGUCGAGCCAGUCAAAUACAAAGGCAAAUUAGUAAAACACGAGCCAGCAACUUUUACUCACACAAAAGCCAAUAAUAUAUUGAGAUCACGCAACAUUGCAAUAAAGUUAUCAUCAAGUUGUAGCCUUCUUAUUCAAUCAAUUAUAGCAUUAUCUCUAGCUCUGUAUUUUUCAAAAAAAAAUUAUUCAAAAGAUGUCUGUCAUUAAUUUUUCAAUGAUUAAAAUUAUAAUUUUUGUUUAAUAUAUAAAACGUAAAAUUUUAAAAGAAUCAGACAUGCAUUAGGGUAAAAAUAAAAAAUAUGGAGGUAGCUUUUAACUAGGUAAUUGGCUCAACUAUGGAUCAGUGUGACAUUUUAGUAUUAAGCAAACGGAACUUUUUUUUAAUUAAAUUAAUCUCAAAGUGAUAGGCUUCUCAUGAAUCAUGUAAUGUUGUCGUUUUUAAAGACUUGACAUUUUGGGGUAAUCAUAAUUAACAAUGCACAUCACUUGUUUGUCACAAUGUCCAAAUAAAUAAUUUUAAAAAAAAAAGUUAUUUUCAUUCUUUCUUUUCAGGUAUCCUAAUUCCUUUUGCAGUUUGAUUCCUCUUUUCCUGAAUUUUGUUCCUUCCAUUAAACUAAUAAUUUAUUUAAGGAUAAUUAAGCAUCAGCCCUCAAUUGUUCAGUAUUUCACACAGUGCACCCACAUCUUUUGACCAUGUGCACCUCCCCCUAUUUCUAUUAAAAAAUCAACUAAUCUAACUAUUUAGGCUGUUAUAAAUUUAAAAGACUAUACUACCCCUAUUUUGAAAUGAAUUGGGUAUAUAAGUACUAAAAUACCCUCACAACUAAUAAAAUUUAAAUCAAAAAGUAAAAAUUUAUUAUAAUAUUUUUAAAAUUAUAUGGAAACAAUUUUUUUUUCCGGAUUACGAACCCAAGAUUAUAACCUAGUAAAUUACAAAAUCAGAGGCAAAGCAUGAUUCCAAUGUGAAAGAAAAAAAAUCAAACAUUCAUCAGUACAUUACAAAAUAAGUCCAAUAAUCCCACUAGAAUAAAUAAAACCCAAUAGAAAGAAACCCUAAACUAAUGAUACCAAAAUCCAUGAGAGCAAAUUUCAUUGUAAAAUUCUAUUACAAAAUAAAUUUAUAUUAAGAAAAUUCGAUAAAAAGAAACCCAAUAAUCAAAAAUCUUAAAACUAAAGAUAUCAAACCCAAAAUUAAAUUAUAGAGGCGGCGAAGGAAAAAGGGUUUUUUUUUUAAUUAUAUAUAUUAUUUUAAUCUUGUGUUAAUUACCAUUCUACCCUUCUUUCCGUUAACAUUAGAUUUGAAAGAAAUGAGGGUGGUGGACAUGGUCGGAAGAUUGGGGGGCACAAUGCAAAAUGUCGAAACAAUUGUGGCUAAUGCUAAAUUACACAUUAUUUAAAUUAAAUUAUCCUAAUUGUAUUUGACUGUGACUGUGACCGGAACCGCUACAAUCACUUAGUAUUUUUAUUAAUUAAUUGACAAUAAUUUCAUCAUUAGACGGUACUAUGAUAGUUUUGUCACUAUGUUUGUUACCAUCUCUCAAAAAAAAAAAAUUACUUUUACAUGACGAAUUGUGUAACAACGAUUUAAUGAAAAAUAAAAAAACAGCACGACAUCUCGUGGCUUAACAUGGUAAUCAUGAAUAUCCCUUAUUUUCAAAUAUAUAUAUAGACCUCUUUUUGUAUUUAAAAAUAGUUACAUAGAUCCUGAAUUUGUGUGUCCGUGGAUAAAUUUUCAUGAUCAUUUUUUAAAAUAAGGGAUUUUUGUGACUAUUUUGUCACGUCCGAGGAUGCCGCCGUUCUUGUCACCAAAAAUUAUUCUCAUAAGAGUAAUGAUUAAUUGGACGUCAGCAAUGAGGGCAUGUAAUGAAAAAAAUUUGUUUUGGAUGGGAUCCAAUAAUUUUAAUUACCAUGGUGGUGACAGACCCAGUUGCAAAAUCAACUGAUUUUACAAUUCUAUUGAAAAUUCUUUAAAUGAUCACUUAUCUAGUUCUACUAUAUCCUUAAGCAUAUUGAUUUUGUUACUUAUUUUCUAGUACUUAUAUUUAGGCAUUGAAAUUGGAUUGCAUAACUAAGACGAUUACUUGAGCUGAAAAUUUUUCAAGUAUGGUGGAGGGGAAAGUGAGAGAGUCGCGGCUGAAGAAGAAAUAUUAUGAGAACUGCUAAGGCUAUAAGGCUGAUAAGCUUAAAGAGUCGGAACGAGGCUUACCAAUUCGCAAGCUUUUAUAAUUUGGAUUGUUGUGCUUGCAACUGGUAAAUUUUUCAACUUCAACUCGAUAUAAUGAUUUUUGAGAGAACCAUUUGUUGAUGCUGAAAUCUGCUCGUCCUUUUCCCGACCAGAUCUUUACACCAACGUUUAUGUAGUCAAUAGUGAGGAUGUCAAUUUCUUCUUGCUUCAACGAUCGCUCUAGUCACUGAAGUUGGAAUUGUCCUUCCUUCUCCCACUGAGCCUGCGUUCACAAAAGUAGAUAAGAGACGCCGGUGGUUUUACCGGCGUAAACCCUCCGAUGCCUAAGUUAGCACAAGGUGUUUACGGGAAAACGGUGCAAUUUGGAUUCGAUAAGUUGCUUAUAAUUGGCUCACAGUUUGUAUUAAAAAUGGUCUGGUUGCAAUUUGGUAGAGUUUUCCCUUCUCUCAAUUUUUAUGUCCCUUUCUUCAUUGAUUUCUUCCUCUUUUAUAGCCGUUGUCCCACGUUUCCGUUCACCCUUCAUCCCCCCUUAUCUCGGGUAGUGGCAGCCCCUCAUGGGACUCCAACCGCCAUAUCGUGGGUAAACGUGGGACACUGUGUCUCCCUCGACGGUUCUGGGCAUAGCGCAACUGUCGUGCUUUCGUGAGAUCGUGUUCCCGCUCUUUGGAGAAUGGGUAUAUGCUCGGUAUAUGUCUCUGGUCGGCCCAUGUUUGUAGAGGGCUCAUUAUCAGUGUUCUGCUCGUAUCAUUUGGCUGAGGUGAUCCAUGCUGGGGUGGGGGUGAUGGCCUGUCUGUGCUGGUGCUCUUAUUUACUCAACACCAGUCCCCCAAUUUCUGAUCUUGCGAGUGAAACGAGUUGAGAGUAGAAAUUGAAGUCUGCUCGUAUCUUAUCGAUCCUGGGAACUACCCAUCUGGUUCUCAUGUUAUUGUGGUGGGUCUGAGGUUCCAUCUCUCGUUUAAGGAGAUAUCGACCUUAAUAUGGGCCUUGACGAAUGUAUCUAGUAUCUACUUGAGCUUACAUCUCGUCGAGCCUUUUAUAACGGUUAGUGACGUGGCGCUUCCCGACUCUUUGUAUUUGAAAUUCGAAACGACGGGCUAUCCAUCCUCGAUAUACGGUGAGUGAGCUGGCAUCCCUAUCACUCAAACGCUUCCAUUUCCCCCUUUUUGUUUCAAAUCCCUAAACUAAAGUCAUCCUCGUUUUGCUUAUUCGCUUCUCCACCGGAAGACAACUCCUUCGAACUUUAUUCACACUUUCCGCGUCUGGGAUCUCCAUUUGCUGGGUCUUUUCUCUGUUACAGCAACGCUUAUCAGUGCCAGUCCAUUCCAGGUAUAGCCUUUAACCUCUUCUCUGGUUGUUGUUGAUUGGGUUUUGUAUUGUGGGUUCUGUGUUUGUCCCUUUUUUGUAUCCAUACUCUUAGAUAUUUUGUGCUUUCCCUUCUUAAACUUCGGUAUGUCCAACCGAAAAGGAAAAAGAAUUAUAGUCGAGAGCGAUGAAGAAAUAGAGGAUUCAUAUCCUCAUUUGUUUGGACCCAAUGAUCUUCUUCACUCCUCUCGCAGUGUAGGUCCCUCCUAUCAUAGGGAUACCCCUGAAUACCCUCGUCCCUUGGCCACUUCACCCUCCCCUGAAUUAGAGCUUGUAGGAAAUAGAGGUGGACCUGCGUCGGGCUCUAGUGAAAAUCAUGGUUCUGGUGGGGUUGGGGUUCCUGAAGAAGUGGGUGAUGGUAAGGGGAGCAGUUCUGAACCAAGCAGACCCCCUCAGAAGAGAAACCUCGGCCAUAGGGUGGAGGCAGAUUCUUACCCUAUUGAUUACAUAGCUUGUGCCACCACCCCAACUGACCAGUUCAAACUUAGGAAUCUUUACAACAUUCCCGAGGAGGUUCUCCUUGUAAUUCCUGGGAAAGACGACGUUCCUAGUCGGCCUCCGAGGGGGUAUGUGACGAUGCACCUGGAGAGUUUCAAACUAGGAGCUCGGCUGCCCCUUCAGCGCUACUUUGCCAAGAUACUGGGUGGUAUGCACCUGGCCCCAUGUUAGCUACACCCAAAUGGGUGGAGGGUUCUCUCAGCUAUGUAUGUGCUAUGGGAGAGGUGCGGAUCAGAGGAACCUUUCCUUGUUGAAGUAAAGCAUCUGUACCAACUGCGGAGUAGCCCAAAGGAAGCGGGUUGUUACUACUUCAUGUCCAGCUCUGCAAAGAGGAAGCCGAUUACCGGGUUUCCUUCUUCAUGUAAAAAUUGGAAGAACAAAUUCUUCUUUACUAGAGGAAAUUGGUGUCUAGCAGCCCGGUCGCUUGGUGGUGAUAUUCACCUUCCAACGCGCUUUGUCACCCCAGGUCGUUUAUUUAUUGCCUAUUUUCUUUCUCCAAUCGUCACUUAUUGGGUUCUUUAACCUUGUUUGCUAUUUCAGAGUCGUGGAGUUUGAUCGAGGGGAUUGAAGAGAGACCUUUGCUCCAGGUAGAGACUGCUUUGGUGAACGCGUCUACCUGCCAAGAUCUUUUGUCGUCAACAAACCUGGUCGGGUGGCGCUCAGUGGACAUAGCUGUCGGAAUGGACAAUAAGAUCCUCAGUGCAAUGACCAGAAAGCGUGGUCGGGCUUCAAGUAGCCCCAGUAACCCUCCUCCCCCUUCGAAGAAAACCAAUGUUGGUCCAUCCAAGGCUUCUGCUCCUGCUCUGCUCCCUCCUCCACCUCGAAAGAAUGGAGGAGAGAAGGUGACUACCAAGAGUCCUGAGGUCAGUAUUCAUUCAGGAGAUCGAUCCUCUCCUCUUCCACCUCGGGAUCAAGGUGACUAUCUAACCCCAUAUCAGAUGGACUAUGGGAAGUCCGUGGGGCCUAAAAUGAUUAAGAACAUCGAGAGCAUUAAUCUUGGUGAAUUGGCUGGUUCUGUCCAGCAGGUCUCCUUCAAGCUGGUUACUUUGGUGUCUUGUUAUAAGAACAGGGCCAUACGUCAUGAGAGGAGGCUUCAGACUAAUAACCAGGACCUGAAGAAGAAAGUUGAGUUUGUCGACCGCUCGAAGGAGAAGCUGCUUGAUCUGCACAAGCAAAUCAUGGACCUGGAGGAGAAAAUGGCCAUGGCUGAGUCCACCUCCAUCAAACUUGAGAAUGAGUUAGGUGAUCUGAAGUCUGAUCUCCAGGCCACUCAGAGUGAGUGGGACACCUUGAAGACGGCUCUUGAGGGAGAAAUCAAAUCUCUGAGUGAGCAGUUGGCCGAGGCGAAAGGCAAAUCUGCUGAUGUGGAUGAUCGGCUGGAUGCAGAGUAUGACUCUGGGGUUGCUUUCUACUAUAAAUGCAUUAUGUCUGUGCUUAAGGAAGAGUAUCCAGAGCUUAAUAUGAGCAAGCUUGAAGCUGGAGUGCAGAGGUAUAUGGCCGAGGUCGAUCAGGGGGACAAGGAGCAGGGUGACCAAGACCAGGUGGAGGCUCCCUUAGGUGGGGUGCAGGAGGAGGAAGCAGGGGAUCGUGCUCCUGAAGUAGGUCAAGGGUCAGUGCUUCCUCCCCCCGAUGCUGCUGAUCCUCUUCCUCUUGAGAUUGCUGAUCUUUCAGUUGCUGAGGUUGCUGAACCUCCUAAUCUUUAGGCUUAUUUUUGUAUGAAUUUUCAUUUUGUUUGCAAACGCUCGGAUGUUUAUAAAUUUUUGGAUGCUUUCUAUCGGCCUUUCUAUCUGGUUUUUUGCUCAUGGAUUGUUUUUGCAAAUUAACUUGACAACUUAUUUGAUUUUGCCUGCUGGCUCUUUGGUGGACCGAGCAGGAAUAUGCGCUUACUUGCCUUAGUAGAAUUUCAUAAAACUGCCUGCUGGUCCUUUCGGCGACCGAGCAGGAAUAAGCACUUGCUUGCCUUAGUAGAACUUCACAAAAUUACCUGCUGGUCUUUUGUUGACCGAGCAGGAAUAGGCACUUGUUUGCCUUAGUAGAAUUUUGUAGAAUUGCUUGCUGGUCUUUCGUUGACCGAGCAGGAAUAGGCACUUGUUUGCCUUAGUAGAAUUUUAUAAGAUGCCUGCUGGUCUUUCGUUGACCGAGCAGGAAUAGGCACUUGUUUGCCUUAGUAGAAUUUUGUAAGAUUGCCUGCUGGUCUUUCGUUGACCGAGCAGGAAUAGGCACUUGUUUGCCUUAGUAGAAUUUUAUAGAAUUGUCUGCUGGUCUUUCGUUGACCGAGCAGGAAUAGGCACUUAUUUGCCUUAGUAGAAUUUUGUAAGAUUGUCUGCUGGUCUUUCGUUGACCGAGCAGGAAUAGGCACUUGUUUGCCUUAGUAUAAUUUAAUGGGCUUGCUAGCAGGGGGAUUUCAUGCUGAAUUCAUCUUUAUUAAAACUUGAAUACAUUACAAAAAUGCGAAAUAUAUGCGUGUGCAACAAGUCAUCAUGCAUUUAAUAGAAAUAAUUUAUCAAAAUAAAGACUUAGUAGAGCACUUUGCUUACUGGAAAUACUUCUUCAUGUGCUCGGCGUUCCACGACCUCUUCACGUCUCGUCCAUUUGAGUACGCUAGCUUGUAAGCUCCUGGUCCAGUCACUCGUAUCACCCUGUACGGGCCUUCCCAUUUCGGGCCAAGAGCUCCAUGGUUAGGAUCCCUAGUGUUUUGGUUCACCUUCCUAAGUACCCAAUCCCUUGCUCGGAACUGCCUCACGCGUACGUUCUUGUUGUAAUAACGCAUGACUCUUUGCUAACACUGGGCCACUUUCUGCGAGGCCCCUUCCCUUUUCUCCUCUAGCAGGUCCAGGCUCAAGCAGAUCUGCUCGUCGUUUUGCUCCUCAUUGAAGUAUUCUGUCCGAUGUGUCCCCACUCCAAUUUCUGCUGGGACUACCGCCUCAUGACCAAAAGUCAAAGCAAACAGAGUUUCCCCUGUGGCGGUUUUGUGAGUUGUCCGGUAAGCCCACAAUACUCCUGGUAGCUCGUCGACUCAAGCUCACUUCUUCUCUCCUAGUUUGAUUUUCAGGAGUUUCUUUAUUACUUUAUUGGCUGCUUCCACAUGUCCGUUUGCCUGGGGGUGUGCGGAGGUGCAGAACUUCAGGUCCACCCCCAAGUUUCGGCAGAAUUCUCUGAAGUUGUUGUUGUCAAAUUGCCUCCCAUUAUCUGUAAUGAUGGCAUAGGGGAUCCCAUAUCUGCAGAUGAUAUUCUUCCAAAUAAAAUCCGUUGUUUUUCUCUCCUUGAUUUGGCUGAGGACUCCCACUUCUACCCACUUGGUGAAGUAGUCUAUUGCCACAAUUGCAUGUGUUGCCGCUCCUCGGCCCUUAGGUAAUAGACCAAUCAGGUCAAUUCCCCAUUGGACAAAAGGCCAUGGGGAUGUCAUGGUGGUCAGCUUUUCUGGGGGUUGUGCAGGAACCUCUGAGAAGCUUUGGAAGAUUUUACAGUUCUUUGCCAUCCUCUUCGCAUCCUGGUGCAUGGUUGGCCAGAAGUAUCCUUGCCGGAGUGCCUUAAAGGCUAAAGUUCUCACUCCCGAGUGAUUGCCACAUAUUCCUUCAUGAAUCUCCCUCAGUACAUAAUCUGCUUCCUCGUCAUCCAAACACCUCAAAAGGGGUAAGGUGAAUCCUCGGCGGUAGAGCACCCCAUCGUGUAGCGUAUACCUUGCUGCUCGGCAUUUUAAUUUCCUUGCUUGCCUCUUGUCCUCUGGUAAAAUGCCAUCACAGAUGUAUAAGAGAAUCGGGUCCAUCUAGGAUUCCUCGGUGCUUAUUCUCAUUACCUCAACUUCCUCCCUUAUAAUUGGCGAGGUCCUCACCUCUAGUGGAACUGACUUAGAUAAUUUCGGAUCUGCAAUUGCAGCCAUUCUCGCUAACAUAUCUGCUCGGUAAUUCUCAUUCCGGGAUAUCUGCUUUACCUCUACCUCUUGGAAAAGCCCAACCAUCUGCUUUGCCUUCUUCAAAUAAAGCCCCAUCUUCUCUUCCCUUGCUUGGAACUGAUCACUGAGCUGAUUACAGACUAAUUGGGAAUCUGCUCGGAUUUCUACCUUUUCUGCUCUUAGUGCGUCCGCAAGUCCGAGCCCAGUGAUAAAGGCUUCAUAUUCAGCUUGGUUGUUCGUGAGCUGAAACUCGAACUUCACUGCAUAAGUUACUUCGGUCCCUUCUGGGCUUCGUAUUACAAUUCCUGCUCCGGACCCUUGUUCACUACAUGACCCAUCAACCUUUACUAGCCACACCCCAUCCGGUUUAUCCUGCUCUAUUGGUUGCUCCUCCCGAAUUUCUUCCCCCGGUUCAGCACGGUCAACCAUAAAAUCGGCCAGGGCUUGGGCUUUGAUUGCUCCUCGAGGCCUAUAGGAUAGGUCAAAUUCGCUCAGCUCCACGGACCAUUUUACUAACCGACCUUAUGCAUCUGGUUUUUGGAGCAUUUGCCGAAGAGGCUGGUCAGUCAUCACAACUAUUGGGUGGGCCUAAAAAUAUGGUCAGAGUUUGCGCGCUGCCGUUAUUAGAGCUAGUGCCCAUUUCUCCAUCGGCGGAUACCUGGUUUCUGCGUCUACUAGGGCCUUGCUUGUGUAGUAUAUGGGGUGUUGCUUUCCUUCUUCUUCUCUGACUAGCACCGAGCUGGUUGCCCAUUUUGAGAUUGCUAAGUACAAAAAUAGUUGGUCACCCUCUCUCGGAGUUGAUAGUAACGGGGCGCGAGCCAGGUAAUCCUUCAACUGUCCAAACGCCUCCUCACAUUCUAAUGUCUACUCCAUCUUUCUCCAUUUUUUUAUGGUUUGGAAGAAAGGGUGGCAUUUAUCUGUGGCCCGCGAGAUAAAUCGGUUCAUUGCUGCUAAUCGCCCUGUAAGACUUUGCACCUCUUUAACUGUUCGUGGGGACCUCAUUUCUGUCACCGCCCGUAUUUUUUCCGGGUUGGCCUCGAUCCCUCGGUGGCUCACCAGGAAUCCCAAGAAUUUGCCCGAACUAACCCCGAAUGCACAUUUGUCUGGGUUCAGCUUCAUUUCGUACUUCCUCAGCAAUUCAAAGGUCUCUUCCAAGUGCUUCACAUGAUCCCUUGGUUCUUUGGACUUUGUGAUCAUAUCAUCCACAUACACCUCCAUAGUGUGACCGAUCAAUGGUUUGAAGAUCUUGUUCACCAACCUUUGAUAGGUAGCUCCUCCAUUUUUUAGACCGAAAGGCAUUACCCUGUAACAAAACAAACCCAUAUUAGUUAUGAAGGUGGUGCUUUCCUCAUCCUACUCGUCCAUGAGUAUCUGGUUGUAUCCGGAAAAGGCAUCCAUGAAGCUGAGCAGACUGUGGCCUGCUGUUGAGUCCACCAAUUGAUCUAUUUUUGGUAGGGAAAAACUGUCCUUCGGGCAUGCCUUAUUGAGGUCCGUGAAAUCCACACACAUUCUCCAUUUCCCGUUGGCCUUCUUUACCAGUACUACAUUGGAAAUCCACUCUGGGUAUUUGGCCUCCCUUAUAAAUCCUGCUUUCAGGAGCUUUUCCACCUCGGCAUUUAUGGCCUCGUACCUUUCCUGGUUAAAGCACCUCCUUUUCUGCCUUACCGGCCUUGCUCCUUUCUUGAUCGCCAAUUUGUGGCAUGCUACCAUGUGAUCAAUUCCUGGCAUGUCCUCAUGAGACCAGGCAAAUGUGUCUGCAUGGGACUGUAAACACCUCACCAGCUCGCCCUUUAUUGUCUCACCCAAACUUGACCUGAUCCUAACCACUCUGUUCGGGUUACUCCUACUUACAAAGACCUCCUCCAGAUUCUCAACAGGUUCCUGGCGGCCCUUUUUAGAAUCCCCUCGGUUAUCUAGAGAGGUAACCUGUAGCGUCUCCUUAGCCGCUGUAGCAUAACAGCUCCUUGCCAUUCUCUGGUCACCUUUUACUACCCCAACAACUCCAUUUACUCUAUACUUCAAUGCCAGAUAAUACGUGGAUAUAACGCAUUGGCUUAUCCUCAUGAACGGUCUCCCCAGUAUCAUUUAGUAAGGGCUUCUUUCUUCUACCACGACAAAGUCCAGCAUCAUCGUUCUUUCAAACGGCUUUGACCUCAUAGUAAUCGGGAGUUCGAUGAUCCCCAUGGGAGUUAACCGUCCCCCUCCAAAUCCCUUCAAAGAUGUAUUCGUCCGUUCCAGUUUCAAGUCUGAAAUUCCCAUAUCAUCUAAGGCCGACUUAAACAAGAUGUCAACCGAGCUGCCCGUGUCCACCAGUAUUCGCCGUAAUUCUGUACCAACCACCCUUGCUUUAAUCACCAGUGCAUCCUCAUGAGGAUAUAAAAUACCUUCUUCGUCGUCAUCUGUCCACAUAAUGGGAACCUACCGCACUUUGCCCUCUUGGCUGCUGGCAAAUUGAAAAGCACCUCUUUGCUGGUCAUGGCGUAUCUCCCAUAGUUCCUCCUUGCUCUGUUCGAAUCCCCGGCCAAUGUUGGCCCUCCUACUAUCACACGGAUAGUCGGUUGUUCAUGUUCCAGGCCCCUCUCAACUCCUUCAUCCCGCGUGUACUGUGAUUCAAUGACGGGGGACACUCCAUCUACAUAUUCAUCCAAGUACCGAUUUCUCACCAGAUCCUCCACCUGAAUCUUUAGGUCACGACAUUGGCUGAUAGUGUGACCAUGAGUAUCGUGGAAUUUGCAGAACUUGCUCUUAUCACGUCGGUGAGCAGGUUUUGUUAUAUGGGCCGGAGGGUAUAGCAGGCCUCGUCCUUCGAUCCUCUCAUACAAUUCUUCCAUGGAGAUUUUUAAUGGGGUGUACUGUCCAUACGCCAAGCUCUGGUCAACAAGUUGGACUACUCGGCUAUCAUGGAUAUCGCCCCGGGCUGAUAUCGUAGGCAACUAAUCUGGUCGUCCAGCCCUGGAGUUAGUUGUGUGUAGUGCUCUGGGAGCAUUGUGAUAAGGGUGGGCAGCCAACUGCCUGAAUUCUCGUUGCCGCUCCAGGAACGAGGGGCGCGGUGGUUGAGCUCGGCUGUGUUGGAGCUGUUGUGGUCUCUGAGCUAUGGGAUAGGGGCGGGACCGAGCUGAUAUUCUGCCCAUUACUGAGGAUUCCCUAGCUCGCUUUCCCGAUCCGCUCCCGUUCGGGGCUCUCCGUUCCUUUCGUCUCAGCUCUUCCAGCUGUUCGCUUUUUAUCCUCGCCGAUUUCUCCUCUUCGAUUUCUAUAUCUCUCCUCGCCUGAUCAUACCCCGCCGAAUAAUUCUGCACCAUGGGACUUAUCAAGUUAUACCACAGUCGGCCUAUUCUCACCCCUUCUUUUAAUCCCCUCAGUGCCUGCAGGUGAUUAAAAGCUCCCAGAUCCAGCACGGCUCGGUGAUAUCGUUUUAUAAAAUCCCGAAGGGAUUCAUGUUCCUCCUCUUUCAUCCCCAUCAGCUCCAUCAUGUCGUCCUCUAGGGCCACUGCUCCUCGAAACUGCUCGGCCAACUCUUGGCACGUCUGCUCGUACCCUUUUAUACUUCCUCGGGGCAGCUUGCGGUACCAUUCUUGGGCUUGUCCCUCUAGUGUCAACGGGAAUACCCUGCACCUCUGAGUUGGUGUCAGCCCCUGCACACCCGUCAUGUCAUUGAAACGUUCAAUAUGCACCAGAGGGUCACUUCGCCCGGAGUAUUUGAGGUCGGGGAAGCGAAAAUCUCUUGGGAUUACAGUACCCAUGAUUUCGGUUGAUAACAGAGACUCUUCAUCUAGCAUUAUCCUCCAGCUCGGGGGCUUUCUCUUGCCCUGAAUCUCCUCUAUCACCUGCGCCAAUCUGCGCACCUCUCCCUCCAAUUCUACAGCACGGUUAGGAUCGCGCGCAGCUAUCUGAUCUCGUUCCUGCUCGGCAUUCUGCAACCUCUGUCUGAGCUCUCCUUCAUUAACACUGGCCCCUCGGUCAUCAAUUUCCAGUACCUGUCCGGGGCGAGGUUGGUCCCUCUCUUCACCCACGCGCUCUCCUGGAACCCGACCAGUACUUCUAUGGGGAUGCACCCUAUUAAGUUGGUCCACCGGCGGAGGGAUUUUCUCGACUCUACGCCUCCGAAGGCUGGGUUCUGCUCCAACUUCAUCUCUCCCCAUGGGGGUUUCACAAUCCCUUCUCCGUUCAUCCCUCAGCUCAUAUAAUAUGGCCGUGAGAGUCUCCAUUUGUUUCUCCAUCCGCUCCAGUCGAUCUUGCAUUGUCCUCUCUUGAGCUUCAUUCGCAAUCUCCCUGAGAGUGAUUGUCUCAACAGUUUCAUUGUCAUCCCUCAAAGCAUCAUUCCUUGACGCAUCCAUAUCCAACCGUUCGCUGCUUCUCCGGUAACUACUAAUUUGGUGGUAGCUUUUUAUUCAACUCCCUACAGACGGCGCCAAAAUGUUGAUGCUGAAAUAUGCUCGCCCUUUGCCCGACUAGAUCUUUACACCAACGUUUAUGUAGUCAAUAGUGAGGAUGUCAAUUUCUUCUUGCUUCAACGAUCGCUCUAGUCACUGAAGUUGGAAUUGUCCUUCCUUCUCCCACUGAGCCUGCGUUCACAAAAGUAGAUCAGAGACACCGGUGGUUUUACCGGCGUAAACCCUCCGAUGCCUAAGUUAGCACAAGGUGUUUACGGGAAAAUGGUGCAAUUUGGAUUCGAUAAGUUGCUUAUAAUUGGCUCACAGUUUGUAUUAAAAAUGGUAUGGUUUCAAUUUGGCAGAGUUUUCCCUUCUCUCAAUUUUUCUGUCCCUUUCUUCAUUGGUUUCUUCCUCUUUUAUAGCCGUUGUCCCACAUUUCCGUUCACCCUUCAUCCCCCCUUAUCUCGGGUAGUGGCAUCCCCUCAUGGGACUCCAACCGCUAUAUCGUGGGUAAACGUGGGACACUGUGUCUCCCUCAAUGGUUCUGGGCAUAGCGCAACUGUCGUGCUUUCAUGAGAUCGUGUUCCCGCUCUUUGGGGAAUGGGUAUCUGCUCGGUAUAUGUCUCUGGUCGGCCCAUGUUUGUAGAGGGCUCAUUAUCAGUGUUCUGCUUGUAUCAUUUGGCUGAGGUGAUCCAUGCCGGGGUGGGGGUGAUGGCCUGUCUGUGCUGGUGCUCUUAUUUACUCAACACCAUUUACAAUGAUUUUGGCCUAUUGUGCUCUUCUAGUUUUGUCCUUAAUUCUUUGGUGAUUUUUUUUUUUUUCAGUUCUGCCGGUCGCAUCUCUCUUUCCCUUCCUUUAUUUUAUGGUGAGUGGACUGUUGUUGCCUUCAGCAGAGUAGUUACUAGUGAGAAAAUUUAUAUUUUUCUAUCAUGCUUGCUGAUUUUCUUAGAAAUAUAAGAAAAGACAAGUUUUAUCUGUCAAACAAUUCAUUGCUUUUUCACAGCAGUAUGUUAUGAUUUCUUUUCAGAUUAGGGAUUUUCACAUUGCAAAAAGGGAGUAAGAUAUUGGAUUCUAUGCUGGUUACGUGGGUGAGUUAUUUUAUGUAUUUUUAUUGUGUUUAAUAAAUGACACAUGGUAUGGAGUCCUUUUUUGGUACAAAUGUGCAGACUCGCGCCUUUACAACUCUGUAAAAACAUUCUAUUGAGGGCUUUACAACACUGUAAAGGCACUGUACAAGGGUUUUACACUGCAGACUUGCGCCUUUAUACUGUAAAGGGCCAAGUCUAUGCUUUAAAAAGUACAGAUGUUCGCACCUCGAAAUAAUUAACAUAUAUGUAUGUAACAUUUCAAAUUCCUCAAGAAGCCAUCCUGACAAACCUCUUAAUACCUUGAUGAAAUUGAAGGGUCUUCAUACAUGCUUGGCAGAGCUUUAACAUCUGUUUUGUGGGGAAUGGUGGCUGACCGCUGCGGUCGAAAGCCUGUAAUAUAAUAGGAUGCAUCACAGUAUUAGUGACCUCCAUUUUCAAAUGAUUAAGCUUGAAAUUGAUGAUACUUUGGCAAUUUCUGGGUUUCUUAUUUGUCUUAAAAUGCUCACAGGGUUUUUUUUUAACACUCUCUUUGGGCUUAGUGUGAAUUUCUGGAUGGCCAUAGCUACAAGGUUUCUCCUUGGGCUUUGAAUGGUUUACUUGGACCAAUAAAGGCGUUGAUUGGGGGUAUUUGUUGAUAAUUCCAAUUUAGUUCCUGAAAAUAUUUGUGCUCAAACUUCUCUUACACCACGAGGCAUAUGCAUGUGAAAUAUUGGGCGAUCAGCACCAAACUUAUUACGAAACUAAAAAUGUUACUUGUUUUCUGUACUUGCUUUCGCAUGCAUCACCCCCACAAAACUGCUUGACGAUUGUCCUCAUUUUGAACUUACUAUAGGUUUCAUUCUCCUUGUUUUUCAACUUACUCUGUACCCUUACAUCGAGAGGAUUAUUGGGCCAAUAAUCAUAACACGAAUUGCAGGGGGUAAUAUUUUGAACACCUCAUGCGGCAUUUGGACCAUUUGAUUGUUUGUUUCAAACAUAUCUGUUUAUAAAAUACUUUUCUUCAUGGUUUUGGUCCCAUAACUUUCUAUGUAUGUACGGGUUUUAUCGAUACCGCUUUUGACAAGUUACACUUACAUAGCAAUGCUAUCUGGGUUCAGCCUUGCCUUUUUGAUAAACUGUGCUUCUGUGAUGAAGAAUGUUUUAUCUGUAAGUGGAUAUCCUAAUCAUUGAUCCAUAUACUAAGGUUAUAUUAUCCAUCAGCAAGUAUGUAUAAAAUUAUUGUCUUUUUUAUUAGAAUUGUUGUAAUUCUUUUUUACUUUUCCUGAAUUGUAGAAUCAGGUGUCUAUAAUAACUGGAUUGUUCCUUGUGCAAAACAGAGCAGUGGUAAAUAUAUUUUCUUUUGUUUGUUUAGUACAUUUCCAUGCUUUCAGCUUUUUCAAAUUUUGUAUGUGCCAAAGUUUAAAUUAAUUGGUUGGUUUAUGGUAUAAUAAGAGGUAUGAUAAAUUUACUAAUGAAAUUUCUCACUAGUUUGUGAAUUACUUGGUGCUAAUUAGCUUAGUUAGCUGCUUAAACUAAAGUGCAGGUAACCAGAUGAUUUUUUCAUUCUGAAUUCGGUGGAGGCACUUGGAGUAAUAUUGACAUUCAAACCAUUUCUAACUCAACGUGCCCCGUGAAAUAUUCAAAUAUAUAUCAAGCAAAUUAAAGCUUUCAAAAUCUUUCAACAGUUUGAUUGUUUGAUGUGGUUGCCACUUGCCAUAUUUUGUGUUACUUUUCUAAAGGCUUAAAUAUGAAAAUGGUUGUUGGUGCUCACGCCAAUUGAUUGCUGGUAACAUUAAUUGUGCAGUACUUGUCAGAACUACCACAAUUUAUCUUCACAAUGAUGCUAGCUAGAAAGAAAAUUUCAUGUUAAGUAAAAUAUUGAAGCCAUAAAGAGUCUUAUUCCAGAGCCUUAUUAAGUACUAAGUUUUCUGCCAUGCUUUCAAAGUUUACAAAUUCGAAGCUUGGGAUUCUGUAACAAUGGAGGAUAAAAAUUAUAUAAGAAUAUUAUUUUGUACAAUUUUCAUACAACCAGACAGAAGCGAGCAUAAUUUUUUUUAUCAUAACUCAGAUCAAAAGACCUUCAAUGAUGUAUAAAAUGAAAUGAAAACGAUAGUUACCUCGAACUUUCUUCUUCAAAUUUCGCAGCACUAUGUAAUAAAUUAAAAAGCCUAUGGCAUCAGAACAUAUCGUACUGCGUCGAGAGAGACGACGACUCCUCCAACAGCUGAAAAUAAAUUCUCUCAUUCGUUAAUUUAAAGUAAAAUUUGUAAAUUUAGGUACUUGCACAUAGAGAUUUGCAAGGGGAGCGAGAGAUUCAAUAGCAGCAAUUUAAUUUGACAGGACUUUCAUUGAAUAAUGAAAUUAAAAACUAACGAUUAUUGAAUUUUUUAUAUUCUCUUAACUCUUGUGGAAAUGUCAGCUCUAAAUAGGACAGCUUCAAGAAUCUUUAUCUGAAAGUGUAAUUGGCAGAGCAGAAACUUGUGACACUAUCUAAAUCACAAAGACUCAACGUCUUCAAUUUGCUGAAAACAAUCUCUCGUUUUGAAUUUACAUUUGGAGCUCCAUCUUCUUCUUCGUCACCUAUUACCAUAUCUGUCAUUGCCCUGCAUCCAGCCACCUUCACUGAUACGAGCCGCACUAGACUUUUAGCUGCAGUGGAUUUUACAAUUCUUUGCAAUGGAAAACCACCAGUUCUGUUAGAUUCCCACAAGAUAUAGAUGAUCAUGGCAAUAGACUUAAAAGAUUUUUACAUGCAGUAAUAUACUCUUAAGUGGUGUUUGGUUGGGAGGAGAGAAUAGAAGAAAGGAAAGUAAUUUAAAUUCUCUUUUUAUUUCCAUUAUUUGGUUUGACAAAAUAUAUAAGAAUUUAAUUUCCAUUAGAAUUUGAAUUCCACACCAAGUAGUGAAAAAUUUAAAUUCCUCUUAUGUUAAAAACUAAAAUUUCCAAAACUAUCCUUCAAAUUUUUAACUUGUUUAAUGUCAUUAAUAAUUAUUAUUUAUAAUUUUAUUUUAUUGAUUUAAUAUUAUAAAUAGACCUCCACCGGUAAGUCGCCGGACCACUGUCGGACUUCGCCGGACCACCGCUGAACUUUCGCCAGACCACUGCCUAACUUCCACCGGAAAGUCGCCGGACCUCCACCGGAAUAUAGUUUUUCAUAGCGAAGAGCUUUGCUUUGAUGGCUUAAGGAUUUGUUCUAGGCAUACUGCUGUGAUUAGAUUUCGUUUAUUUUUAACUUUUUUUAAUCUUUUAUCCGAUGAAUGAUUUUCAGCUGUUCUUAAUUAUUUGUUCAUAGGGAAGAGCAUUUUCUAAGUACUUCCUUGCCUUCUAAGUUUCCGAAGAAAGAUAGGUGUGAAGCAAAGCAAACCAAACCAAAUGAACAAACAGAGCACAAACUAAAAUAACAGAACAGCAAUGAUGACAAUAAAUAAUUGGCAAAAAAAGAAAAGAAAAAAGCAUGCACAUUUUCAAGGAAAUAUAAAAUAUGAAGCUUUUAAUGAAAUUUUAUCAUAAAAAGUAUGCAAGUAUUUAACAAGAUGUUUGGAACGAUAGAAAAUGAAAGAAAAUUGAUUAAGAAGAUUCUGGAACAAUCAUAAUUCUUAUUGAUGAAACUGAUCAAAAUCGUACAUUGUGAACGAGCUCAGCACUAUUUAUAGUUACACACAUGCUGAUUAGAAAGUGUAGAGCUCAAAACUGCAAUAUUAACAAACUAAUUAACCUUCCAAUCAUAUUAAGCCAGCUGGACAGUUAGUUACAACCAAUCAGUACAAAUAACAACCUAAUCCAGCUUGGCAACUUUGUUACACAUCAUCAGCCAGCUCAGCUUAGCAAACUUACACUCUUAACAGCAAGGAAUUAUAAAAUUUUAGAAAACAAGGGGAACCCUAAAAAAAAAACUCAAAUUAAACUAGGCUAAAAGACAUUCAAUGAUGCAAAAUCUGUCCAUAAAAUUCUGAACGAAUCAUUAAAAUAGCAUUCCAAAUUUAACAGUAAACCGAGUGACCCAUUCUAAAUAAUUCAGAUGAAAUUGUGAAACAAGCCAUGAGAUCAAAUAAAUGAAAUAAAAAUUCGCAACUCCAAGUCAUAAGAAGCCUAUGAAAUUAGUCGUAAUGCGUAGACAACGACGACGGCACCGUCAACAGCUGAAAAUAAGAUUCUUAUUCAUCAAUUUAAACUUUUACUUUAUAACAAACAUCUUAUCUAUAUUUUAUUUAAAAAAAGAAAAUUUUGUAAAAUUUUUCCAUGGGAGAUAGAGAGUAAUAUGUAUAUACGUACCUUCUCAGCAUGUAAUUGUUGUAUGGUUGUGUUCAGAUCAUUAUUAGCCCAGCGCCGUUGAUCCGCUGUCUCUCCAUAGCAGACGUUUACUCUUGGAGGCGUGAUUGAUUCUCCUGUAGUGAAAAUCUUCAUCUUGGGACAACCAAUCACCCACAAAUCUUGCAAAGAUGGGAAUUUGAAGGUGUAGUUGGCAGAGCUGAAACUUGUGAAGCUAUCUAAAUCAAACAGUUCCAACGUCUUCAAUUUGCUAAAAACAAUCUCUUCUUUUUCAACUCCAUCUUUGUCAUUUAUUACCACCUCUGUCAUUGCUCUGCAUCCACAUACUUGCACUUUGACGAGUUGCACUAGAGUUUUUGCUGUGGAGGAUGUUACCAAGUGUAUCAAUCCCUUGCAACCGAAAGCCACCAGAGCUGUUAGGUUCUGAAAAGAUACCGAUGAUGAUGGCAAUAGAAUUAACAGACUUUGACAAUGAUGUACUUUUAGAAUUUCAAGAUACUGAAAAAUGGGGCCAAGUUUGGAGUCUUGUUUGCACAGCUGCUUCAGAUGAUAGUGCCGGUUCAGCUGUAAUUUUUUUAUCAUUGCCAACUUCCCCACAUGUUUCUCUAAGC